rnacentral:lncRNA from 1 species
UGCUCAGGAUCGCCAUCUGCCCCGAACUCCCGUACGUGUACGGCAGGAACAUCCGCUACUUCGUCUACCAGGCCGGCACCAAGAAGACGCCGCCGUCGGUCAAGCUCGUCCACUGUCCCGCCUACUUCAGGAUCUACGACCAAGAGGUUGCCUUACUGCACUGCCACCACCAAGAGAUGUUCUUCAUCGCCGUGCUCCGCUGGGCCUUCAUUGAUCGGGAUUACACCGACGGGCACUUUAAUCUCCACCUGUACAACUCCAAGACAAAGGCAUGGAACAUCAAGUUGAUGCUUCUUGAUUCGCCCAAGGAUUUUGAGUUCCGCUCUUUCAACAAGGGGAUCACCAUUGGAGGGGAGCUUGGUUCAGUGGGUUGGGUCGACCUUAGGCGGGGCAUUAUCAUCUGUGACCUUCUCCUUGACAACCACAGUCUUCGCUACAUCCCACUACCUUCGCCGCUGUCGCCCGAUCCAGUCAGGGGUUAUAUGUUGUUUGUUCGGAACAUCACUGUUCUCCAAGGUUACAUCAAGUAUUUUGAGAUGCACAGUAACGUCAGACCGGGCUCAGACACUGGAAGCUCCCUGAUAUGUGAAGGUUGGAUGGCUGCAACAAAAAAAAUAAAAAUUUCAAGCAUUGGCUCUACUUCUGGUAGUGGCAACUGGGAGGAGGACUGUACUAUCAGAUGCUCAGAUGAUGUACCAUUGGAUAGCCCUGUGUAUGCCCAAAUGCUACCUAAUCCGCAGGAGGGAGAUGAUGCCAAGCCAAGCCUGAAGAAAAUUCGUGUAGGCUAUCCUGCUCUUAGCUUGCAUGACGGUGAUGUUGUUUACCUUAUGCACAUGCCUGAUCCCCGUGGGGAUAAGGCCUGUGUGAUUGCUCUUGAUAUGAGGAACAAGGCUGUAAAAGGCGUGGCUAAUUUUGGCGGCUCUGGAAGACCCCUGGGUCAUUCUUACACCUACUUUCCGAGUGGGAUCUCCAAGCAUCUGGGCAUUUUCUCAUCAACCAGGUAAUUUCGUUAAGAGCUUUCAUAUCCUUUCGUAGCAAAAUGAUUUACAAACUGAAGUAUCAAAGGUAAACCAACUUGUACUGGCAGCAGAGAGUACUUUGGGUACUUUUACUGAGUGGAUGUGGAUUUGUUACAUCAAUGUUUUUAUUAUGUUGUGCAAGUUAAUAUCACAAAAGAAUGGGUUCCAUCCAUUACAAUUCUGGUCAUUAUUUAUUAUUUCAUUUGAUCAUGUGCAGCUACCAGCUAGUAUUCUUUAGAUCUACCUGAUUUGUUGUUUCAAAAUAACUACUGUAUUUGUUUGAGGACGGUGAACAUUGUGCCUGCAUUUAUCUCGCUAGCAUUUACGUUUCUGUCCAUAAAUUCAGCACUUACUGCUCCCCUGUCACCGCAUUUAAAUUCCGUGGUUUCUGUUUGAUUAGAUGUAUAAAAAAGGCUUCAUUCAACAGACAAAAUAACAAAAGUAAAGACAGUGUCCAGCUUAACUUCACCGCAUUGUUCCCUAACCAAAGUUUCUGCUUGCUUAUGGUGUGUUGCACAUGAAUGAUUUCAUGAGUGCGCCAUGUGCUGUAUCUUGCACGCCAUGUAGUGUAACUAACCCCUAUUGAAAAUAAUUCCACAGCCAUUGUUCAAACGGUGCAAAUGUGCACCAAGGAAAUAAAAUAAUCCUAUAGUUGGCUUAUUUGAGGGGAAAAUAUUGCACACCAUUGGUAGGUUAUCUCAUACCCAGGAUUCAGCUUUCAUGCAUUGCGUCUUUCGUGCCAUACUAUUUCCUGGGCCAUUGUCAAAACGAUAAGAUGCACUAUCUGCACGAAUUAAGCAAUGUUUUCUUUUGUUGUGUGCAGCUGUUUGGUAGAUAAUCUUGCUUCUGUAUUAAAUGUUUAUUUCUUUUGUGGGAACCGAAAAGUUUCCAUCGCACACAAAAUAAGCAAAGUGUAAGCCUAACCCAGCUGUUUUUCACCGGACAAAAUGGGCAAUUCCUAUGGUUGGCUUAUUUGAGGGAAAAUGUUGCAGUGGCUCCAUGGCUCCUGUAAAAAUGGCAAUACAUUUAGGUCCCUGUACCUCAUAUUAGUUGUAAUUCUAGUUUUGUUCAAAGACAAACCUUUCUUUCUAUCUGUAACUACCGAUUUCUAGAAAUGCGCAUAGUUUAGUCUUUAGUGUAACUCCAUUUUUCACCCCCUAGUUUAACAAUUGGCCCAUUUAGCAGAAAUUCUUCCCACUUGCCCCAUUUAGUAAAAGUUGUGCCAGCUUUCACCUCCUUUUAAACAUUACCCAUUCUGUAAGGUGGGCCGAGUCAUCAGGUCUACGUGGCUUGCCAUAUCAGAAGCAUAUUUAAUCUCCGACUACCUUCUCAGGUCCUCGUCCGCACCGUUGUGCGGCAACUGUUGCAGCCACAAUGUUCCCACCAUUUGCUAGCCAGACACAGCUAAAUGCCAGAGCUAGCUAGCGCAUAAUAGUGCACUAGUAGUAGUACACUUGUAUCAUCUUCAGCAAACUACUCCCUAUUCCCAAGAAAUUGCACGUAUAGGGAGAGUUGAGGCAAAAAACCUGCUUCAGCAGUCUCCCUAAACCCAAAAAAUUAUCUCCUCAAAUAGUGGAGAGUUGCAACCCUCCCCAUAAAUUUUCAAUGCUUGCCAUGUCAGUGCGCCGCCUCCAUUGACCGCCGCGCCACUGGACCACUGCCGCCUGCUGGAACACCACCGCUGCCGCCGGACUUCUGUGCUGCCGUUGCUGGACAUCCACGCCGCCGCCACCUGCCACCGCAGCCUCGACGAAAAGAUGCAAAUGAGAGAGAGGAAAAAAAAUGACCCACUGGCAGGCGUGGCCCAUUUGUUAGGGAGAGUUGUAUUGGGACAAAAUCGGCAAUCACUAUGGUUGGCUUAUUUGAGGGGAAAUAUUGCAGUGGAUCCGUGGCCCCUGUAAAAAUUGCAGUACAUUUAGGGUCUCCCUCUUCUUCAUAUUAGUUGUCAUUCUAGUUUUGUCCAAAGUCAAACCUUUCUUUCUAUCUUUAAUAACUACCGGUUUCUAGAAAUGCGUAUAGUUUAGUGUGAACUCCAUUUUUCAACCCCUAGUUUAACAAUUGGCCCAUUUAGCAGAAAUUCUUCGCACUUAUCCCAUUCAGUAAAAGUUCUGUCAGCUUUCACCCCCUUUUAAACUUGACCCAUUCUGUAAGGUUGCACCGAGUUAUCAGCUCACGUGGCUUGCAAUAUCAGAAACAUAUUUUGCCCUGGCAUAUUUAAUAUCCGACUACCUUCUCAGGUCCUCAUCUGCACCUUUGUGUGGCAACUGUUGCUGCCACAAUGUUCUCACCUUCUGCUAGCCAGACCGAAUUAAACACGAGAGCUAGCCAGAGCAUAAUAGGGCACUAGUAGUAGUAGUCCACUUAAGUAGAGUAUUUUGGUUGUAUUUUUCGUAAUUAUUGUUUUUGUUCUAGUACUAGUACGUAGCAUAAAAUUUCUGUGUGCCAUGCAUGUACAGGACAAGCGUGCAUGCGCUAGCUUCUCUCUUCAGGUUUCAGCCAAGCGAUCGAUGAAGCAAGGACAGUAGCUACAACAAAGAUCGUAGUAGAAGCAGCUAGGAUUGUUGAAGUCGCGCAUGGCCAUGUAGACCUGAUGAACGAGUCCUACCAAAUAGAACUGAAUAAACUGGCAAAUGUUUCACUAAAUGGGAAAUGUUAACUGGUGAAUGCGUUCAGUACUGUCCCUAUAUUUGUACCAUUCAUCAGAUAUUAGAGUUAGACUAAAUAGGGUGAACAGGAGGAAUUCCUAUUAAAUGGGGUAAUUGCUGUCACAAAUGUUAGACUAUGGAUAAAAAGUGAAAUUCACUCUAUAGUUCAAGAUUAUAAGAUUUAUAUUUUUAGAUUCACCAUGACAAUUAUGCUCAGUCAUUAUACUGUACAAAUUUCUAGGAAUUGAUGGCUAAAGAUAGAAAUGUUUGACUCGGGACAAAUCUAGAAUUUGAAACACAGGGAGUCGCAUGGAAUGGAAGAGAACUUGCAAGUUCCUGAAACUGGGUGUUGUAUGACAAGAAUACUCAAUACAGUCAGAAAGAGAUAGUGUGAACAAAAUUGCUAAUGUUAGUACUCCUUUGAUGGAGAGCAGAGCGGUUGUUGGAAUUUUAAUUUAAUUGGAUAAUAAUUUGUUUAUGGGUCUUCUGCUUUUUAUAGUCAAUGUUUAGAUGAUUUAACCUCUGCAAGUAGAUAUUUCAUAUCAUCUAACAGAAUUUUUUUACUCUCGUUUAUACAGGCAAAUAUCGAAUGCUGCUGAAACAAGUAGGGAUGGCAAGUAAGAAGCUUGUUACCGAAAUUUGAGUGCAUGCUGGAAAGAAGUUUGAGUUCAAAUUGUUCGAAGGCAUGGUCAAAGCCCCGGUACAAAGAAACCUUAAGAAGUCUUUCCUACCUCAUCCGUGAUGCGUAUGAUGUGUUGCAUUGCCAAUGGACUUGUAUUACUAAAAAUCUUAUGCAUUGUAUCGACUAUAUUUGUUGGCCGUGUGUGUCCACUAUGUUCUAUGCUAGCCAUGUGAGGUCUUUAUAAAUAGACUUGCUAAAAUAACCCUAAACCCAAUCUUUUUUUAUCAUUAAUUUCCUAGUGGUAACUGGAUGUAGUUGAUAACUAAUUUUAGUGAAGCCUUGUGCGUGCGCUGGUUUAUCUGGCUCCAUGGUCGCGGGCUGUUAGUCCAGUAGUGAAACAUUACUGCUUGUAUCUUGCUCUCGUAGUCAGGGCAUCUUCAAAGUCCACCCUUAGAUCACUUUCCUACGUCUGGACCUUCGAAGCCAUUCAACAUAGGCAUGGGCCGCCAUUCAAUAUGAGCAUGUAUUGGUUUGCUUGACGGUUUAGACCCUCAAAUCACGCGUUGUUCGUUCAGUAGUGAAACAUUAUUGCUCGUAUCUUGCUCUUGUAGUCAGGGCAUCUCCAAAGUCGGCCCUCAAAUCACUUGCAUAUGUCUUUGUUCAGUAGUGAAACAUUAUUGCUCGUAUCUUCUCGUAGUCAGGGCAUCUCUAAAGUCGGCCCUCAAAUCACUUGCAUACGUCUGGACCUUUGAAGCCAUCCAACAUAGGCAUGAGCUGCCAUCUAACAUGAGCAUGUAUUGAUCCGCUUGACGGUUUAGACCCUCAAAUCACUUGCAUACGUUCGGACCUUCGAAGCCAUCCAACAUAGGCAUAGGCCGCCAUCCAACAUGAGCCUGUAUUAGUUCGUUUGACGGUCUAGACGUGUUUUUUUUCUGCAGACAAAGUGAUGAACUUUUCAAAAAAAAACAUUGAUUAUUUUUUCAAAUUUGCUGAACUUUUUUUCAAAUUCGGUGUACUUUUUUCAAAAUCAAUGAACUCCAGAAUCGAUUUUUUCAAAUUCAAUGAACUUUUUCCAAAAUCGAUGAACUUAUUUUCAAAUUCGGUGAACUUUUUCCCAAAUUUGAUGAUUUUUUCAAAUUCAAUGAAGUUUUUCAAAUCGAUGAUUUUUUUUCUUCAAAUUCUAUGAUUUAUUGAAACUCGGUGAACUUUUUCAAAACAUUUAUUUUUCCAAAUUUGAUGAACUUUUCAUAAUCUGUGAACAUUUUGAAUUCAUAAUAUUUUUUUUGAUUUUUGCGAACUAAAAUCAUGGUUUUUCUUGGUUCAAAUGGUGAACUGUUGACCUUUUCUUUUUAGCGAAGUGAACCGUUGACCAGACAACCGUAAAACGAGCGUACAACGAGCGGGCGACCACCCAACUCGUGUAACUGGGUCGGCCCAUACCAAGCUGCUGCGUGCGCCAGCUCCUGGAUGAGACGCCUACAACGCCCUGUUUGAUCAGUAAUCCGUGCGUUGAGUAAACCUAGUUCCUCUUUAUUCGACAACAAUCGUGGGGGUACAUCAAGCCACACAUAUGUACCAAGAUCUAGUAAGGAAAGCUUUGCUAAACUACGAGCUUCAAAGUUUCUACGUCUACUGUAAAAAAUAAAGUUGCAAGAAGGAUUUAUGAAAAUAACACUUUGUUUUUUGGGUUAUAUUGGGCUGAUGGGCCAUAUUAUCCCCGUUCUUUCUUGUCGACCCUUCUUUUUUCACAAAGGUCCCUAGGAGCUCCUAGUCAGCGCCAAAGGCGCCAACUAGGAGUUUCGGCGCCCACGGCAGGCGCACUCUUGGGCCCGGCCCAAGCAAGUGUGCUCGCGUGGUCACGUCCCUUCGGUGUUGCUUGCUUUUGCUGCUGACUGGUCACGGUUGAUCUUUCAACAAUUGACUGGUUGGCUUUAGAAAAAAAAUCUGUGAUUAAAAACUGUACAGGAAAUUUUAAAAAAGUUCAUAAAAUUUGGAAAGUUCACCGAAUUAAAAAAAAUCAUUCAAUUCAAAAAAGUUCAUCAAAUUUGAAAAAAGUUCAUUGAUUUAAAAAAAGCAUCUGAAUUUAAAAGUUCAUCAAAUUUGAAAAAAAUCAUCGAAUUUAAAAAACAUUCAUAGUUUUUUUAAAACACGAUUUGUUUAAAAAAUAAAUAAAAAGAAAACUGGAAUAAAACCACCCCCGAAAUGACCAGCGAAUCGGUAAAAAGCUGGUUUGGGAAGCUUGUGUAAGCUUCCCAAUACCGGUGGAUUCUCGCGAUUGAAGAGAGAAAUAAAAUAAAGGAAAAAAAAACUUAGAAAGCACUAGUCCUUCGAUGGCCUAGGGUUACCGUCAUUUUCUUCGAAGAAGCUGGUCGCGAGUUUGAAGUCCGGUUUUGCAUUAUUUUUUUGAACGUUUAAAAUAGAAGCAAAAAAUGGAAAUGGGCGGAGCCCAACUAACGCGCCCGUAGGCGCCCUUUGCAGAAACAAUAAGAAUAGGGGGCGGGGCCUUUGUGGGCUACCACACCCUUGUCUGACUGCCCUGUCCCACCAAAAUAACCACCGCCUCUCCCGUGCUUUUUAUCGAACGCGAGCGCCGCAUUCAUGCUGACCUAGAGCAUGCAGCGGGUGACAUUGAUGCCCCCAAUUUGAUCGUAUGGGAGGGCGAAGCUGACGAACGUGACCUCUCGGGCGUCGCCGCUUCAAUGCAGACAACGCACCCUGAGAAACCAACUCCGGCCAGCGUCCCCGCUCCAGCGGGUCAAGGACGAGUCGGCAUCACCCAAGCGCAACCAUGGCGUCCAGAUCGGACACUGUGUCAAGGAUGAGACGGCGUCGCCCCCGCACUACCAUGGCGUCAAGAUCGGACGCCGGGCCAAGGACGAGUCGGCGUCGUAUGACAUCGUUUGCGAGCGGAGAACUAACCUACCCAUACCAAUGAUCUUGACUAGGCGGCACCAUUUGCGGCCUUCCGGGCCGAUUACUCCCCCGCCAAAGCCUUCCAGCAUUUCUUCGCCAUUGGCGGAGGCUCCACCAUUUCAUCCCCCUUCGGGGCCUCCUCGUUGGCCACGCGGUCAAGCUCCUCCUCACCUUUGGAGUCUUUGGAACUAGCAUCGCUCGGGAUCACCUGAAAGGCGAAUGGGUUUGGGUGCUCCACGCCCUCCAUACCCUCUGGGAUGACCCCCCACCGACCGCACGCUGUCAUCAUCCCGAGGAUUUCUUCGUGCUAUCUUCAUGAUAGAAUGGCCAGGUGGUCUCCGAAAGAGCGUCAAUGGCUGUCACACCCUGAUUUUUGGCCCUUUCUUUUCUUUUGAUUUUCCGAGAUUUUUGCUUGAGUUUUUUUCCCGUGGCUAUGUGGUCUGGAAACUGAAGAAGAUGACCUCUUCUUUCUUUCCAUAGUGGCUUUUCAUCCUCAAAUACAUCCCAAGACCUUGCCAUUUUCAUCCUAGCCCAACCCCAAUAUUCUUUUCCUUGGAAAUAUUCCUUUUUCUAUUAAAGGAAUAACCCAAUUUGCCCUAGGUUGUGAAGCAACCUAUAUUUCCAUCACUCCUAAAAUUCCCAAAUAAUUCUCAUAAAUUGCUUGGGUCAUAUCUUCCUCAAAUAUGGCGAAAUAUUUCAAUUGCCAUGUUCCUCAUCAUGCUCAAUCAAUUCCUUUUCUAUUCUGUCCUGAAUGGCAGUUUGUGAAGCAAGUGCCAUUUACCUUUGCCCAAUUGACCCCAAAUUUUUUGGACACCUUUUCAUGUCCAAAUAAUUGCCUCAUGCCAAAAUUCAACUUAAUUUGCCUAGUGAAUAUUCCUGAGCAAAUUUUCAAAGUUCCCGUUUGAGGGAAUUGUUUGUGAAGGAAGUACUAGCUAGGAUGAUCCAAAUGAGUUGAAAUUUUGCAUGGUCCUUCGUAUCAUCAAAUCAAAGCUCCACACAAUAUUUGAGCUCAUGCAAUGUAUAUAUGUGAGCCCAGCCCCAAAUCUUAGUUUCUGGUCAGAUUUUCAGUUUGUGAAGCAACCAUAUUUUAUCUUGCUUCAUUUAAGCUGAAAAUUUUCCAGGGCAUUCUACUAUCCAUAUCAACUCUCUCCACCAAGUUUUGGCUCAAUUCAUCAAACAAUUUGCCCUGUGUAAUUUUUCCAAGUUUCUGGUCAGAAUAAAGCAUCGUGAAGCAACUGCUAGUUUGGUUCAUCCAAAUGGCCUGAAACUUUUUGAGCAUCUUCAUAUCUUCAAAUAAUUGGGCCAUGCCCAAUUUUAGCCAACUCGCCUCUUCAUGUGAGUGCAACUUCAUCAUCUCUAAUUCUGGCCAUUAUGGUGGUUUCUACAGCAAGUACCAUAAAUAUUCAUCCUAAUGAGCUGAAAAUUUACAGAGGUGAUCAUCUUAGUGUUUGAUCACGCCAUGACAAAGCCCCGAGUCUACCCCCUCCCUUUUAUCCUCCUCACCUGAGCACAAACACCUUGCUGUUGCAAUGUUUUGGAGCUAGGUGCAAAUCUCUUCUUUGCCCCUGGACCAAUUUGUUUCUUCAUAUAUACAAAGGGCACUAAGGUCUACCCACUAGAUAUGGUUGGCCUGUCUAGAACACGCCGCUUGAGCCAGCUCACGCGGUGACCACGGGUCGUGCCAGCCAAAACUCGUGCUCUGGCAAGACCUCGGCGCUGUUCCCGUCGUCUCCCUCAAACCUUAUCCAGGAGCUUCCCCGUGCUCGACUUCGUCACCCCGUGCUCGGGCCCCCUCCUGUUUCGCCAUAAAUGCGUCGCUAGAGGCGUGCCCGUGCCAUGCCCAGCCACUGUCCACCAUUAGAGACCUGUUGAAGCUUGCUUGUGACGCUCCAGAACCUUCCCCGCGGAUAUAUAAGGCGUGCCCGACCUCUCCCGCACCUAACCCAUCUCUCCCUCGCCUCAUUUGGUCACCAGGAUCGCCACAUCUCGCCGGAGUUCGCCUCUGUCCUCCAUGGCCGCCUCGGCCUCGGCUUGGUUCCGACCAAACCGAGCCUCCUAUCCUCCUCCUACCACGUCCACCUAGUUCUCCUCGUUCCAUUCAGCCUCCCCACCCCCUUGCCCCCUCGCCGGAGUCGCCCGUUUCGCCGGAACACCACCACGGCCGCCGCCCCUGGCCUCCUCUGGCUCCGCCUCUCCCCUCCACCUCACUCAUCCCCGGCGGCCGAUGUCUCCCCUGAACGGAGGCGCCUCGGUCUCGCGCACCCGCCGGUGGCCUCGGCUCGGCCGGAGGUGGCCUGCGCCGGCCGGCCCCUUGGCCGCUUCCUCCCCUGUCCCCUGCUCUGUUCCACGAGAGGAACAGAGGCACGGGGGAAGAAGACGACCGAGGCCAGCGCCCCCCCUGCCGCUGGGCCCCUCCUGUAAGUGUCUCCCCCCUGGGUCCACGUGUUUAAGUGGGAACGGGCUUUCCCCGAACACGUUUUCCGUCAGUGAAAGCGUAUUCCAUUCUUCUCCAGCCAAGAAUACGUUUUCCUAUUCAGAAAGCGUAAUCCCUAAUAUAUGCCUCUGUCUUAUUCACUCAGGGACCCGUUGGUGAUGAAAAUAUUCACAGAUUGGUCCCUGAUGUUCUACACCUCAUAACUUCGCGACCGUAACUCCGAUUGAGGUGAAACCAACGCUCACUUCUUCGUCUCGUCGAGAUAUUUCGGUUGGUAACAUUUUCACUAGGUGGUCCCACAGUUAAAAUGACCAUUUUGCCCUUGCCUCUAAUCAUCCCCCUCCGAGAGAGAAUCGUCCGCGUUUCGUUCCGUGGCUUCACCGCACUUCUUCCUGGAGUCUCCGUCACCCCCAGGCAAGCCAAAACAACCACUUGCAUGAUUGUUUUCAACUUGAAUAUUUAAUAAAUGUCUGCUUGUUUUGAUACGAUUAUCGUUGUUUCCGUGAUGCUUAUGGAUUUGUGUUCACUGUCAUGCUAUGAUUUCUUGCACUUUGUUAUCAUGAACUACUUGCUAGUAUUACUUUCAUAUUGUCAUGCUUGAUAGUAGUACAUAUUGGGUUGGUCAUGUUCUGCGGUGCAUGACUAAUGUCGGUUACCGAGAACCGUUGCUAUGCAUGUUUCCGUUGCAUCUAUUUGUUUACAUGCUUACUUGGUAGUAUUAUUGCUAUGUUUUUGCUUGGUAUUUAUCGUUGAUGCUAGUGAUCAUGUUAUGCUAUGAGUAGUGUUAUGCUUGUGAUAUUCAUGCUCGUCCGUAUGCCCUGCUCAUUCGGAUAUAUGAUUUAAUGUUGUGGAUAUGCUCGAUGAUUAUGUUGCACCUCCAUGCUUAUGUUGAUAUCAUGCUCAUGCAUUAUGGUUGCAUCAUGUUAUUUUUAAUAUGGCUCAGCAUCAUUUGCAUUCAAGUUUAACCAGACUUAAAUGAACUUGAACAACUGUUGGCUGAGUCAUGGUGCCACCAUAUCGAGCUGACCAGUGCAGCCACAUUUGCCUUUUAUGGGAAGGUCCUAACUGGGUCUAUUGUCAUGCCUCUCGCCGGUGCCUCCAACAAGGGAAGGUUAUGCGCGGGCGCUACCUUGGCCGGGUAGGACGGCACAAGCCUUGUGAGCCCGAGUUUGGUUAUGUGCACAUUGUUGGGGAACGUAGUAAUUUCAAAAAAAUUCCUACGCACAUGCAAGAUCAUGGUGAUGUAUAGUAACGAGAGGGGAGAGUGUUGUCCAUGUACCCUCGUAGACCGAAAGCGGAAGCGUUAGCACAACGCAGUUGAUGUAGUCGUACGUCUUCACGAUCCGACCGAUCCAAGUACCAAACGUACGGCACCUCCGAGUUCAGCACACGUUCAACUCGAUAACGUCCCGCGAAAUUCGAUCCAGCAGAGCUUCACGGGAAAGUUCCGUCAGCAAGACGGCGUGAUGACGGUGAUGAUGUUGCUACUGACGCAAGGCUUCGCCUAAGCACCGCUACGAUAUGACCUAGGUGAAAUAUGGUGGAGGGGGGGGGGCACUGCACACGGCUAAGAGAGAUCAACAGACCAACUUGUGUCUAUGGGGUGCCCCCCUGGCCACGUAUAUAAAGGAUUGGAGGAGGGGGAGAGGGCCGACCCCUAUGGCGUGCCCUGGAGGAGUCCUACUCCCACCGGGAGUAGGAUUCCCCCCCUUCCAAGCAGUAGGAGUAGAAGUCAAGGAAAGGGAAGAGAGAAGAGAAGGAAGGAGGGGGCGCAGCCCUUCGGACUAGGCCUUGGGGGGCGCGCAUCCUCCCUUCUCUCUUUCCCCUAAAGCCCAAUAAGGCCCAUAUACUCCCCGGCGAAGUCCCGUAACUCUCCGGUACUCCGAUGAAUACCCGAACCACUCGGAACCUUUCCGAUGUCCGAAUAUAGUCGUCCAAUAUAUCGAUCUUUACGUCUCGACCAUUUUGAGACUCCUCGUCAUGUCCCCGAUCUCAUCCGGGACUCCGAACUACCUUCGGUACAUCAUAUCACAUAAACUCAUAAUACCGAUCGUCACCGAACGUUAAGCGUGCGGACCCUACGGGUUCGAGAACUAUGUAGACAUGACCGAGACACGUCUCCGGUCAAUAACCAAUAGCGGAACUUGGAUGCUCAUAUUGGCUCCCACAUAUUCUACGAAGAUAUUUAUCGGUCAAACCGCAUAACAACAUACAUUGUUCCAUUUGUCAUCGGUAUGUUACUUGCCCGAGAUUCGAUCGUCGGUAUCUCAAUACCUAGUUCAAUCUCGUUACCGACAAGUCUCUUUACUCGUUCCGUAAUGCAUCAUCCCGCAACUAACUCAUUAGUCACAUUGCUUGCAAGGCUUAUAGUGAUGUGCAUUACCGAGAGGGCCCAGAGAUACCUCUCCGACAAUCGGAGUGACAAAUCCUAAUCUCGAUCUAUGCCAACCCAACAAACACCAUCGGAGACACCUGUAGAGCACCUAUAUAAUCACCCAGUUACGUUGUGACGUUUGGUAGCACACAAAGUGUUCCUCCGGUAUCCGGGAGUUGCAUAAUCUCAUAUUCAUAGGAACAUGUAUAAGUCAUGAAGAAAGCAAUAGCAACAUACUAAACGAUCAAGUGCUAAGCUAACGGAAUAGGUCAAGUCAAUCACAUCAUUCUUUAAUGAUGUGAUCCCGUUAAUCAAAUGACAACUCAUGUCUAUGGCUAGGAAACUUAACCAUCUUUGAUUCAACGAGCUAGUCAAGUAGAGGCAUACUAGUGACAUUCUGUUUGUCUAUGUAUUCACACAUGUAUCAAGUUUCCGGUUAAUACAAUUCUAGCAUGAAUAAUAAACAUUUAUCAUGAAAUAAGGAAAUAAAUAAUAACUUUAGUAUUGCCUCUAGGGCAUAUUUCCUUCACUCUCCCACUUGCACUAGAGUCAAUAAUCUAGUUCACAUCGCCAUGUGAUUUAACACCAAUAGUUCACAUCACCAUGUGAUUAACACCCAUAGUUCACAUCGUCAUGUGACCAACACCCAAAGGGUUUACUAGGGUCAAUAAUCUAGUUCACAUCGCUAUGUGAUUAACACCCAAAGAGUACUAAGGUGUCAUCAUGUUUUGCUUGUGAGAGAAGUUUAGUCAACGGGUCUGCCACAUUCAGAUCCGUAUGUAUUUUGCAAAUUUCUAUGUCAACCACUACUAGGAAAAGUCCUGCUAGUGGCGCACCUGUUUUGCCUACUAACGGCGCACUACAGGUGCGCCACUAGCAUCACGCCAUUAGAAUUUUUUACUAAUGGCGCACCACAGGUGCGCCAUUAGUAUCUGGUAUACUAAUGGCGCACCAGGCAGUGCACCAUUAGUACAUCACACGGUGCGACAUUACUAUCUGACUUAGCAAUGGCGCACCACAUAGAAGUGCGCCAUUACUAACAAUAUUUUUUCAAAUUUUUUUCAGAAAUAUUUUUUUCAAUUUUUUUUCAAUUUUUUUUCAAAAUUUUCUUUUCGUUUUUUUCUUAAUCUAUGGCUUAAUCUCAAGUCAAAUCGCAUUCCAUGGUCAAACUUCCCGAAAGGUCACCCAUCCUCACACUACUCCAACCCAAGCAUGCUUAACUUCAGAGUUCUAUCCAACCCCAGCACCAGCUGACUUCACAGGCACUUGUUGAUAUAUCUAUCAUAUCAAUUCUAUUAAACAUUGUUGAUGUCUAGGACUUUGUUCAUGUUCAUGUUCAUGAGUGUGAUGAAAUUUUGAAAAAAUAUUUCAAACUUCCCGGUCAUAUUACGUAUCAUAUUUUGAAAAAAAAAUCCAAAAAAAGUUUUUUUGAAACCAAUUUUUUUCUGUUACUAGUGGCGCACCUAGCAAAUGGUGCGCCACUAGUAAGUUUGAUUUUUUUUCAUUUUCCCCCCUCUAGAUCUUAAAAGCCCCGUAUCUUUCGUUCUGUUAGGUUUUUGGGGAUUUUGAAGAUGUUGAACAUGGUUCCCCUGGUUCAAUCGUAUGUAACUUUUCGAGUAGAUGAUUUUUCAUAUAUAAAACUUUUUAAUCCGAGUUCGUAUGCAAAAGUUAUGCCCAUUUUACAAAUUUCAGAGAGAUUUUGCAAAUAAAGUCGAAAUUCAUAUUUGUAAAUUUUCCCAACAACUAGACCACAUAUCACAUGGGAAACUUAUUUUAUUUUAUUUUUUUGACAUUUCCAUCAUUUUCUUUUAAUUUUUUAAAACUGAAAAGGCAGUCCACAGGGGGGUGCAUUCGGUGGAAUUUUUGGGCAUAGUUAGUAAUGGCGCACCAUGGGUGUGGUGCGCCAUUACUAGCUAAACUAGUAAUGGUGCACCACACCCACUAGUAAUGGCGCACCACACCCACGGUGCGCCAUUACUAACUUUGAAAAAAAAAUUGUUAGUAGUGGCGCACCGAGGGUGUGGUGUGCCAUUACUAGUUAAAAUUAGUAAUGGCGCACUGUCCCCUGGUGCGCCAUUACUAGUUUUGAAAAAAAAUAAAAAAAAUUGUUAGUAGUGGCGCACCGAGGGUGUGGUGCGCCAUUACUAGUUUUGAAAAAAAUAAAAAAAAUGUUAGUAGUGGCGCACCGUGGAUGUGGUGCACCAUUAGUAUUUGGACACUAAUGGCGUACCAACACAUGGUGCGCCAUUAGUAUAUAGUAGUGGCGCACCACAUGUGUGGUGCGCCAUUAGUGUCCAUAUUAUCUAUAGCCCUUUUCCUAGUAGUGAACCCACUUUCAAUAUGCAUCAAGAAAGCUUUCCCCUUACUUACCAAUCAAAAAAAGGAAAUUUAACCACUUAAUUUGGGUGAAUCUAUGGUGCAAAUGAGGUGAGGAGGAGGAGGCAGCCGAGACCAAGCUUGGAGGAGGAGGUGGAGAGAAUGAAGUGGGGAAAGUGAGUGUGGUAGGUGGCUGUCAAAAAUAUCUAGCUGCUCUCAGGUUACCAAGGGCACACCUCCUAAGAGUGCGCCAUUAGUAACCCUGGUUACUAAUGGCGCACCUGGUGUGUGGUGCGCCAUUACUAGUUUUGAAAAAAAAUUGUUAGUAGUGGCGCACCGUGGUUGUGGUGCGCCAUUACUAGUUAAAACUAGUAAUGGCACACUAUCCCCAGGUGCACCAUUACUAGUUUUGAAAAAAGAGAGUAAAAAAACAAUUGUUAGUAGUGGCGCACAGAGUGUGUGGUGCGCCAUUACAUGUUAAAACUAGUAAUGGCACACUAUCCCCUAGUGCACCAUUACUAGUUUUGAAAAAAAAUUGUUAGUAGUGGCGCACCGUGGUUGUGGUGCGCCAUUAGUGAUAUGGACACUAAUGACGUACCUAUAUAUGGUGUGCCACUGCUAUAUAGCAGUGGUGCACCACAUACUUGGUGCGCCAUUAAUGUCCAUAUUAGCUAUAGCCUUUUUUCUAGUAGUGGUCGGAUCGUGAAGACGUGCGACUAUAUCAACCGCGUUGUCAUAACGCUUGUGUUUUCGGUCUACGAGGGUACGUGGACAACACUCUCCCCUCUCGUUGCUAUGCAUCACUUAGAUGGAUCUUGCGUGUGCGUAGGAUUUUUUUUGAAAUUACUGCGUUCCACAAUAGUGGUAUCAGAGCCAGGUCUAUGAGUAGAUGUUAUAUCCACGAGUAGAACACAAAGAGUUGCGGGCGAUAAUAGUCAUACUGCUUACCAGCAUGUCAUACUUUGAUUCUGCGGUAUUGUUGGGUGAAGCGGCCCAGACCGACAUUACACGUACGCUUACGCGAGACUGGUUCUACCGACGUGCUUUGCACACAGGUGGCUGGCGGGUGUCAGUUUCUCCAACUUUAGUUGAAUCUAGUGUGACUACGCCCGGUCCUUGUUGAAGGUUAAAACAACACACUUGACGAAAAUUGUUGUGGUUUUGAUGCAUAGGUAAGAACGGUUCUUGCUUAGCCCGUAGCAGCCACGUAAAACUUGCAACAACAAAGUAGAGGACGUCUAACUUGUGUUUGUAGGGCAUGUUGUGAUGUGAUAUGGUCAAGACAUGAUGCUAAAUUUUAUUGUAUGAGAUGAUCAUGUUUUGUAACACAGUUAUCGGUAACUGGCAGGAGCCAUAUGGUUGUCGCUUUAUUGUAUGAAAUGCAAUCGCCAUGUAAUUGCUUUACUUUAUCACUAAGCGGUAGCGAUAGUCGUAGAAGCAAUAGUUGGCAAGACAACAACGAUGCUACGAUGGAGAUCAAGGUGUCGCGCCGGCGACGAUGGUGAUCAUGACGGUGCUUUGGAGAUGGAGAUCAAAGGCACAAGAUGAUGAUGGCCAUAUCAUAUCACCUAUAUUGAUUGCAUGUGAUGUUUAUCCUUUAUGCAUCUUAUUUUGCUUAGUUCGACGGUAGCAUUAUAAGAUGAUCUCUCACUAAAUUUCAAGGUACAAGUGUUCUCCCUGAGUAUGCAUCGUCGCGAAAGUUCGUCGUGCCGAGACACCAGAUGAUGAUCGGGUGUGAUAAGCUCUACGUUCACAUACAACGGGUGCAAGCCAGUUUGGCACACACAUAAUACUCGGGUUAAACUUGACGAGCCUAGCAUAUGCAGAUAUGGCCUCGGAACACUGAGACCGAAAGGUCGAGCGUGAAUCAUAUAGUAGAUAUGAUCAACAUAGUGAUAUUCACCAUUGAAAACUACUCCAUCUCACGUGAUGAUCGGACAUGGUUUAGUUGAUUUGGAUCACGUGAUCGCUUAGAUGAUUAGAGGGGUGUCUAUCUAAGUGGGAGUUCUUAAGUAAUAUGAUUAAUUGAACUUUAAUUUAUAAGGAACUUAGUACCUGAUAGUAUUUUGCAUGUCUAUGUUGUUGUAGAUCAAUGGCCCGUGCUACUGUUCCUUUGAAUUUUAAUGCGUUCCUGGAGAAAGCUAAGUUGAAAGAUGAUGGUAGCAACUACACGGACUGGGUCCCCAACUUGAGGAUUAUCCUCAUUGCUGCACAGAAGAAUUACGUCCUGGAAGUACCGCUAGGUGCAAGACCCGCUGCAGGAGCAGCGCCGGACGUUGUAAACGCCUGGCAGAGCAAAGCUGAUGACUACUCGAUAGUUUAGUGUGCCAUGCUUUACGGCUUAGAACCGGGACUUCAACGACGUUUCGAACGUCAUGGAGCAUAUGAGAUGUUCCAGGAGUUGAAGUUAACAUUUCAGGCAAAUGCCCGGAUUGAGAGAUAUGAAGUCUCCAAUAAGUUCUAUAGCUGCAAGAUGGAGGAGAAUAGUUCUGUCUGUGAGCAUAUACUCAAAAUGUCUGGGUAUCAUAAUCACUUGACUCAGCUGGGAGUUAAUCUUCCGGUUGAUAGUGUCAUUGACAGAGUUCUUCAAUCACUGCCACCAAGCUACAAAAGCUUCGUGAUGAACUAUAACAUGCAAGGGAUGGAUAAGAUGAUUCCCGAGCUCUUCGCAAUGCUAAAGGCUGCGGAGGUAGAAAUCAAGAAGGAGCAUCAAGUGUUGAUGUUCAACAAGACCACCAGUUUCAAGAAAAAGGGUAAAGGGAAGAAGGGGAACUUCAAGAAGAACGGCAAGCAAGUUGCUGCUCAAGUGAAGAAGCCCAAGUCUGGACCUAAGCCUAAGACUGAGUGCUUCUAACGCAAAGGGACUAGUCACUGGAAGCGGAACUGCCCCAAGUAUUUGGCGGAUAAGAAGGAUGGCAAUGUGAACAAAGGUAUAUGUGAUAUACAUGUUAUUGAUGUGUACCUUACUAAAACUCGCAGUAGUCCCUGGGUAUUUGAUACUGGUUCUGUUGCUAAUAUUUGCAACUCGAAACAGGGACUAUAGAUUAAGCGAAGAUUGGCUAAGGACGAGGUGACGAUGCGCAUGGGAAAUGGUUCCAAAGUCGAUGUGAUCGCCGUCGGCACGGUACCUCUACAUCUACCUUCGGGAUUAGUUUUAGACCUGAAUAAUUGUUAUUUGGUGCCAGCGUUAAGCAUGAACAUUAUAUUUGGAUCUUGUUUGAUGUGAGACGGUUAUUCAUUUAAAUCCGAGAAUAAUGGUUGUUCUAUUUAUAUGAGUAAUAUCUUUUAUGGUCAUGCACCCUUGAAGAGUGGUCUAUUGAAUCUCGAUAGUAGUGACACACAUAUUCAUAAUAUUGAAGCCAAAAGAUGCAGAGUUGAUAAUGAUAGUGCAACUUAUUUGUGGCACUGCCGUUUGGGUCAUAUUGGUGUAAAGCGCAUGAAGAAACUCCAUGGACUUUUGGAAUCACUUGAUUAUGAAUCACUUGGUACUUGCGAACCAUGCCUUAUGGGCAAGAUGACUAAAACUCUGUUCUCCGGAACAAUGGAGUGAGCAACAGAUUUGUUGGAAAUCAUACAUACUGAUGUAUGUGGUCCAAUGAAUAUUGACGCUCGCGGCGGGUAUCGUUAUCUUCUGACCUUCACAGAUGAUUUGAGCAGAUAUGGAUAUAUCUACUUGAUGAAACAUAAGUCUGAAACAUUUGAAAAGUUCAAAGAAUUUCAGAGUGAAGUGAAAAAUUAUCGUAACAAGAAAAUCAAGUUUCUACGAUAUGAUCGUGGAGGAGAAUAUUUGAGUUACGAGUUUGGUCUUCAUUUGAAACAAUGCGGAAUAGUUUCGCAACUCACGCCACCCGGACACCACAGUGUAAUGUUGUGUCCGAACGUUGUAACCGCACUUUAUUAGAUAUGGUGCGAUCUAUGAUGUCUCUUACUGAUUUACCGCUAUCAUUUGGGGGUUACGCUUUUGUAAGGGCAUUUUUAUCCCUUAGUUGGUUUUGGUGAUUGAUGACAAUGCUUUUGUGGACUAAUCAUGUGCAUCAAAUAUUUCAGAUAUAUUGACUAGGCACAAGAUGAUUGGGUUCCCCUCAAAGGCUAUAGAAGACGGCGUUUCUCUUCGGUUCUUUUCGGUGGUAUUGAGUCAUAGGGAAGCCGUACUAUUAAGAGGGGGUCCGCUUUGGAAAGGUUGGGUGGAUUCAUCACGUACACAUCGCCCCUUGCACCUCCUUUCCUCUUGCCUUUGGAGCAUCCUAAGUUUUCCUUGUCUAUGCAAUUAUAGCUCUUGUCUGCCGAACUAGGAAGUGCGGUAGUACUGCUCGUCAGAGCGGUAGUACCGCAGGACCUUGCGGUAGUACCGCCCGCUGGUGCGGUAGUACCGCAAGGCCCCACGGUUGUACCGCUUCUGGUAAGCGGUAGUACCGUGGUCCCUGCUUAGUUCCGCAACUACGCGGCUGUAAGGGGCGGAUGUAAUUUUUUACAUCCGCACCUCGCGCGGUAGUACCGCGGCUGGCUUACGGUACUACCGCGUUGGGUUUUUGCAUCGACUCCAACUCUGCGAAAGUAGCCACGGAUGUAAUUUUUUAUAUCCGUGCCUUCCCAUCCGUGGACAGCCCCUGCCUUGUGGUAGUACCACAAGGGGGAGCGGUAGUACCGCGCCAGCAGUACUACCGCCCUCUGCCUUAGUGCAUGUGUGGCUGUUCUGGUCUCUGCUGCGUGGGCGGUAGUACCGCGGGGCUCUGCGGUAGUACCGCGUGCCCCUGCGGUAGUACCGCGCCUCAGGUGCGGUAGUACCGCGUGCCCCUGCGGUAGUACCGCGCCUCAGGUGCGGUAGUACCGCGCUGCGCAGGCUGAGUUGGUGGAUAACGGUUGGAUUUGUUCUUCCACUAUAUAAGGGGUGUCUUCCUCCUCUAGUUGACUACCUCUUCCACCUCCAAGCUCCAUUGUUGCUCCAAGCUCCAUUCUCGCCCGAUCUCCUUCCCUAGCCAAUCAAACUUGUUGAUUCUCUAGGGAUUGGCUGAGGAGGCCCCGAUCUACACUUCCACCAAGAGAUAUUUGAAUUCCCCCACUAAUCCCUUGUGGAUCUUGUUACUCUUGGGUGUUUGAGCACCCUAGACGGUUGAGGUCACCGUGGAGCCAUAGUCCAUUGUGGUGAAGCUUCGUGGUGUCGUUGGGAGCCUCGAAUUAAGUUGUGGAGAUUGCCCCAACCCUGUUUUUAAAGGUUCGGUCGCCGCCUCCAAGGGCACCAAUAGUGGAAUCACGGCAUCUCGCAUUGUGUGAGGGCGUGAGAAGAAUAUGGUGGUCCUAGUGGCUUCUUGGGGAGCAUUGUGCCUCCACACCGCUCCAACGGAGACGUACUUCCUCUCAAAGGGAAGGAACUUCGGUAACACAUCCUCGUCUUCACCGGCUCCACGCUUGGUUAUCUCGUGCCUUUACUUGUGCAAGCUUAUUUGUGCCUUAUCUCUUGCUUGCGUGUAUGCUUAUUGUUGUUGCAUCAUAUAGGUUGCUCACCUAGUUGCAUAUCUAGAAAACCUACUUUGAUGCAAAGUUUAAAUUGGUAAAGAAAAGUUAAAAUUUGUUAGUUGCCUAUUCACCCCCCCUCUAGUCAACUAUAUCGAUCCUUUCAAUUGGUAUCAGAGCCUCGUCUCUUUAUUAAGGACUUUACCAUUCGAAGAGUAUGGUUGACGUCGUAGACGGUGUGGAGGAGCACUCCGGUGUGAAUCCGGUCUCAUCUACGGGAGAUGGGGGAACCGCGGUCUCUCGUGAGGAAUUAAAUGUGGCGUUGGACACAUUGAAAACCUCCAUGACUACCGAGGUCGAAAGCAUGUUUAAUAAAUACUUAGAAGGGCUUAAACUUUCCACCGCACCAUUGAAAGUGGGUGGUCCCGCCAACAAGGUGACGGAUGCUACCUCCGACAAAGGGGAAGCUACUAGCGAGAAAGCUCCUUCUUCUAGUGGUAAAAAUGGCACUGUCAUCUUUGCCCAUGUGGAACCUCCACCUGUCUAUGGUGGACCGCUCCCUUCCACUCAUUUGAAUCAUGUCGGCCCGGCCCCUAAGAUUGAGAAGAAUGUAGAUUUUGAUUCUUGGGUCUAUCGUUUUAAGCGUCAUUUAAAUCAUGUGAACACUAACCUUUGAGAAUCAUUGAAGAAGGUUUUUAUCCGCAUGACCGAAGUAACUUCACUCCUAGAGAAGUUGUGGAUCAUCAAUUCAAUGAGAAUGCUCUCUUCAUCAUCCAAGAAGCAAUCCCACCCGAAGAUCUUCCUCAUCUUCGGCCUUACACCGUGGCCAAAGAUGCUUGGCUCCAAGUUGUUUCCCUCUAUCGGGGAAGCGCAAGCAUUCAACGCUCCAACUAUGAAGUGGUGCAAGAUGAAGCCGACGAGUUUGCAAUGAAAGAAGAUGAAGAACCUCGUGAGCUUUUUCGGAGAGUAACCAAACUCGCGGUCUCUCUCCGAGAUCAUGGUAGUAAGGACACAGAUGACAAUUGGAUCAAGCGCAAAUUCCUCAAGGCAAUGAUGACCUACCACAAAGCCAUGUCCUCCGUCAUGCGUCAAAGGCCGGACUUCCACACCUUGUCCUCAAGUGAAGUGUUGGAUGAGUUCGUUGCUAUGAGCAUCUUGGACAAGACCGCCGACAAUGCGGUUCUUCGCUCUCAAAGAGUAAAGAAGGCCAACCUUCGCUAAAGGCCAAGGUGAGUAUGGAGGAAGAGGAUGAAGAGGAAGAAGAGGAGAGCAACCUCGAAGAUACGAAGUAUGCCUAUCAUGAACACAUGGCUCUUGCUUCAAGGCAAUUUUGGAGCAAGAAGAACUCAAGGCCAAACUUCAACAAGAACUAUUCAAGUGGCGCAAAGGGAAAGCAAUGAGUGAGGACUUGCUUCAAUUGUGGCAAUGUGAGCCACUUUGUUGCGGAAUGCCCUUACGAGAAGAGGGAAGACAAUGGUGGCAAGCUCAUCCGAAAGGACAAGGGCAAGUCAUUCCCCAACAAGAGCAACUUCACCAAGAAGACUCCUCCCAAGGCAUUGGUGGUACAAGAAGAGUACAAUGAGGAUGAUGACGAUGAUGAAGAUGGUGAGUCGGUUGCCAUGGCCUCCGUUGCCAUUGCAAUGACUCCACGGAUGUCUCUCUUCAACUCACCCAAUGAGAACAUCAUCGCCAAAUGCCUCAUGGCUAAAGCCACCAACAAGGUAACCCCCAACAUCAAAACUACCAUCAUUAAUCAUCCUUCUUCGACGGAUAGCAUUGAUGAAUAUGAGGGGACAAAUGUGGAGGAAAAUGAGUUUGAGACCUUUAUGAGUAAACUCAAGGGUAAAUCCAAGAAGCACUUCGUUGCUCUCUUGGAACAACUUGGUGAAGCCAAUGACAUGAUCGAGGCUCACGAAGAUACCAUCUCUAAGAUGGAGGGGCAUAGUCGUGACUAUGCCGAUGAGAUUUCGGAUCUUUCCAAUGCUCUUGACGAAGAGCGUGGUCUUCGUUUGGCUCUUGAGGAGUCAUACAACGAUGAUCAUGCUAAGUUAAAGAAAGAUCUUGAUCAUGCUCUUGUUGUGUCUCGUGUGCUAAACUCCGAGAAGCCAAAGCUUGGGGUUGAUCUUGCUAGACUCAAAGAGGAGUUUGACAUUCUUGACAAGGCUCACAAAGUCUUGAAGGGUGUUCAUGCUAGCCUCAAGGAGUCUCAUGAUCAACUCCAAGUGAAGCUAACUAAGGAGAAAGCCACCUUUCCUCAUAUGGUGUUAAUUGAUAAUGCAAAUGCUACUAACCCUUGUUGUGAGCAUGUGCAUCUUGUUGAGGAGAAUGCUAAGUUGAAGGAGCAACUUGAGAAAGGCAUUGUGUCAUGCAUACAAGGUGAGAAGAACCUCAAUGACCUUUUGAGCAAUCAAAAGGAAGUUAUGGCCAAGGAGGGGAUUGGGUUCACACCCAAGCCCAAGAACAAGAAGAAGAAUGACAAGACCAAACGACCUCCUCCUCUCAAGCAAACUUUUGUGAAGGAGGGAGAGGGUGCUUCCAAGGAUAAGAAGAACAAUGCGAAGGGUGGCGGUGUCAAGAAGGGCAAUGGCACCCCUUCCAACAAAGCCGGCGACUUUAAUCCUUCUUAUGUGCUAUGCCGUGCUAGUGAUGGGCAUGUUUAUGCCAAAUUUGUUGGUUCUCCUUAUGAGUAUAUUGAAUGGUCUAUUUGGGUUCCUAAGACCCUAAUUACUAACAUCAAAGGACCCAUUACAAAAUGGGUACCUAAAACCAAGCAUUGAUCUCUUGUAGGUGUUUGCUUCUGGUGGGGGAUCAUGGUUGCUUGAUAGUGGAGCUACAAAUCAUAUGACCGGAAGCAAGGACUUGGUGGUGGACGUGCACAAGAUUCCAUCUAUGCCCACCAAUGUCGAGUGGGGUGAUGCCUCGUCUUCUAAGGUAUUGGGACUCGGCAAAGUUGUCAUUUCUCAUGAUCUCACGAUCGAGAAGGUCAUGCUUGUUGAGUCCCUUGCAUACAAUUUACUUUCCGUUCGUCAACUUGCAAUCAUGGGCUUUGCCACUUUCUUUGAUAUUGAUACCGUGGCCCUCUUGUGGAGCAAGACUCUUAAAGUAGCCUUUGUUGGGCAUGUCGAGAACGGUCUCUAUGUGAUUAACUUUUUGGAGCGACCCACUAAGACCGCGACAUGCCUAAUGGCUAAAGUUGACGUGGGAUGGCUUUGGCAUCGCCGGUUAGCGCAUGUCAAUAUGAGAUCUUUGCAAAGUCUUCUCAAGGGGGACCAUGUCCGUGGACUAACGAAUGUUAGUUUUGCUAAAGAUCGUGCCUGCAGUGCUUGUAUCGAAGGAAAGCUACAUGAGACGGCUCACCCUCCCACAACUAUCAUUUACUCGAAGAGGCCUUUGGAGCUCCUUCAUUUGGAUCUCUUUGGGCCUCCAUCCUUUGAUAGUCUUGGGGGUAGGAAGUAUUGCUUGGUGAUUGUGGAUGACUAUUCAAGAUACACUUGGGUGUAUUUCUUCAAGAGGAAGAGCGAGACCCAACAAACCGUCAUUGACUUUGCGAAUGAAGCCCAACGUCAACACAAUACAAAGAUCUUGACAAUAAGAAGUGACAACGGCACCGAGUUUAAGAACUACACUUUGGAUGAGUUUCUUAGUGAUGAGGGGAUCAAGCAUCAAUAUUCCGCACCUUACACCCCUCAACAAAACGGUGUUGCGGAGAGGAAGAACCGGACGUUGAUGGAUGCGGCAAGGACCAUGAUGGCGGAGUUCAAGUCUCCAUACAACUUUUGGGCCGAAGCCAUCAACACCGCGUGUCAUGCAUCCAAUCGGCUCUACCUCCGCAAGGGCUUGAACAAGACUCCAUAUGAGAUUUUCACCGGUAACAAGCCCAACCUCAAGUACUUUCGGGUGUUCGGGUGUAAGUGUUUCAUUCUCAAGAAAGGUGUUCGGUUGUCUAAAUUUGAGGCUAGAGCUUAUGAGGGCAUAUUUGUUGGUUAUGUGACAAACUCUCAUGCUUACCGUGUCCUCAAUAAAUCUACGGGGCUUAUUGAGGAGACGUGUAACAUGGCGUUUGAUGAGAAUAACGGCUCCCAAGUGGAGCAAAGUGGCACUUGUGAUGUGGUGAUGAAAUUCCUCCUCAAGCCAUAAGAAUAAUGGGUGUUGGUUUUAUUCUACCCAUUGAGGAACCCCUUGUGGCCGAAGGAGAAGGACAAUGCUCCACUCAAGUGGAGCCAUCACCAACCCAAGGCCCACACGCUUCCGAAGAACAAAGUGAAGACCCUCAACCUCAUGAACAAGACCAAGGGCAAGAUCAUGCUCAAGACGGUGGUGACACACCAAGUGAUGCCCAAGGUCAAGUUCUCUCCUCCAAUCAAGUUCAAGAUCAAGAACAAGCUCAAGACGGCGCUCAAGAUGAUCAAGUGACCGCUCCUCGACUCACCACCGAGGAGGAAUUGGAGCAUUGUGCCGCCAAGAUUGCAUCCAAGCUCUCCACCAAGGGUCAUCUCAUGAAGAAUGUGCUUGGAAGCAUUCAAAAGGGGGUAAGCACUCGUAGACAAUUGGCAAACUAUUGUGAACAUCACGCGUUUGUCUCUUGUGUUGAACCCCAUAAGGUAUAUGAAGCACUCGAAGAUCCGGAUUGGCUUAAUGCCAUGCAUGAAGAACUCAACAACUUUGAGUACAACAAGGUGUGGAGAUUAGUGCCGAGGCCAACGGGGAACCACAAAGUCAUUGGAACCAAGUGGAUAUUCAAGAACAAGCAAGAUGCUCAUGGGACCAUCAUUCGCAACAAGGCACGAUUGGUGGCACAAGGCUACUCCCAAGUCGAGGGUAUCGACUAUGGUGAAACCUUUGCUCCCGUUGCUCGCCUUGAAUCUAUUCGUUUGUUGAUUGCUUAUGCUUCUCAUCACAACUUUAAUUUGCAACAAAUGGAUGUGAAGAGUGCUUUUCUUAAUCGUCCCAUUAAUGAGUUGGUUUAUGUCAAGCAACCCCCCCGGUUCGAGGAUCCCUACUUUCCCGAUCAUGUGUAUCAACUCGAUAAGGCACUCUAUGGCCUUAAACAAGCCCCACGUGCGUGGUAUGACCACCUUACCGAGUUGUUACAAGAUCGUGGGUUUGAAGUUGGGCUAAUCGACCCCACUCUUUUUACUAAGAAGGUCAAAGGGGAGUUGUUUGUAUGCCAACUAUAUGUUGAUGAUAUUAUAUUUGGUUCCUGUCGUGGAAUUGUCACGGCAGAUGUCCUCGAGCUAGGACUUAGUCGUGGAGCCAUCGCAGCUAGGAAGCUUGAAGGGGUUAAACGGGACAAGGAACACGAGGGUUAUACUAGUUCGGCCCCUUACGGUGAAGGUAAAAGCCUACGUCCAGUUGAGGUGGUAUUGAUUAGGGUUUCGAUGACCAGGGAGCUUAACUGCUAGGCCUGGCUCUCGACGAGAUCUUCCUUCUCCUUGACCCGCCGCCGGGUCGUCCCUUUAUAUAGAGAGGUUGACGCCCAGCAGCUCUCAGAGUCCCGGCCGGCUCAUAAGAGUGUCCGGCUCGGACUCUCAACUAUUCUUGCCUUACACUACAAGUUCUACCAUAAUAGCGGUUGCAACUAUGGGCCUUAAGCCAUCUCCGGGUCUUAAGCCCAUAUCUGGCCCGCCGUCUUCAAGCUUGGCGCCGGGCUUCAGGCGAUGACCAUUAUGAGUAACCCGGCCCCUCCGGGUGGGUGACUGUAAGGGUUAUAUCCUCAACAUUAGGCCCCAGAUUGAUUUGAGCCGGCUCAUGUCAAUCUUCAAUCCUUUUGACAGAAAAUCUCCGGCUUACAAUUGUGUGAAGGCUAUAACCCGUCGUGAUGUCAUCUUCUGGAUUCCAGGUAACCCGCCGUGACGUCAUCUUCCAUUAAGUCCAUUUUUUACUCCACCAUAUCCGCAACGGAUCUUAUCUUUAACUGCCGUCCCAAAAAUCGAGGCGUUUUUGUGGUGAGAUUACCGCGCCGUGGCCUCCUCGUUUCUCGCUCCCACUUAUGAGCCUCACCUUAUAAAUAGUCCGGCCCGAUGAGCCUCCAGCCACUCGUCUUCCUCCUCUCGCCACUGUUCUCUCGCUCGAGCUCCAUCGCCGCCGCCGCCGCGGGUCUUCCUGUCUUCUCCGACUCAGGCCGCUGCACCAACCUGACGUGACCAGAUAAACGGCGGCGACCUCCGCAACUCUCCAGUACCUGUAAGCCCUUGUUACUCCGUAGAAUAGACCUGCAUUAGGGUUCUUGCUAUUCUUCCCGUGUUCGUCGCCGUUCAUCGCGAGCUCUUGGUAGAUUUCAUUAUUACCACCCCUUCUUGAUCUGUAGACUGUAGAGGACUGUUGCGGUAGUUGUUUCACACCCGUUUCCAAUGUAUAUAGAUCCCUUUUCCCUGCAUAAAGGCUCCGUUCGAACCUAUGAACUUCUUCUGCGUCUGUUUUAGGUCUAGAAACUUUUCCUUUUAGUCAACCAUUUUGAUCCAAAAUAUUCACUGCGAUCGGUGAAACUUGUUUUCACCACACUUAGUAAAAAACUGCAUCUGCUGAGCUAUGGCGGCUUAUAUUUCCGGCUCAGAGAAGCCACGCGCCGUAAAAUUUGCCGGCUCAUUUAUGAUAAAGCUGUAGACAAUUUGAAUUACUCUCGCUACCUGCAGCGGCUUAGAUAACCCGAUGCACUUAGCCAUAUGUCAUUAGGCCCCUUCAUAAGCCGCCAUUUUAAACAUUGAACUGUAAACUUCCUCUGGCUUAUAAUUGAACCGGACAUUUCCUUUUAUCAUAGGCUUCCGACUUUCACCAUGCCUCCCAAAGCUCCCAAAGCACCCAUCACGUGCAACUGGCUGAGGUCCAACAUCACUGAGGAAACCUUAGCGGACUUUGUGAAGACGGGCUACCUGCCCAAAAAGGAUGUCAUGUCUUACCGUGCCCCUGACCCGUCAGAGGAGAGACCGCAACCCAAGGAUGGUGAAGUGGUAAUAUUUGCGGAUCACAUGAGCCGGGGCUUCGCACCGCCCGGCUCAAGGUUCUUUAGAGAUGUGCUGAAUUUCUUUGAUCUGCGGCCACAAGACAUAGGACCCAAUUCUGUGUCGAAUAUAUGCAAUUUCCAAGUGUUCUGCGAAGUCUACCUUGGAGAAGAGCCCAGCCUUCUGCUCUUUAGAGAGCUAUUCUAUUUGAACCGCCAAAAUGAGUGCGCCAACGGACCAAGCCUGGAACUUGGUGGAAUCUCCAUUCAACGCCGGAGAGACUGCCUCUUUCCUUACGCUGAGCCGCCCAGCCAUCCAAAGGACUGGAACCGGACGUGGUUCUACUGCUAGGACACUUCGCCGGCUGACGAGAGCCCGCUGCCCGGCUUUCGUCCCUCGCGUCUGGAACCAACUCACCCUCUGUCAGACAAGCUAUCUCAGGCGGAGCGCCAACCUCUGAUCCCCACCAUCAACAAAAUCAAGGCUCUACUGGGAAAUGGCCUCAAUGGCAUUGAUCUGGUCCGGGCCUGGAUCUCGUGGCGGGUGAUUCCCUUGAGCCGCCGCCCCAGCUUAAUGUGUGAUUACACGGGCCGGAAAGAUGACCCCCUGCGACACAGCCGCAACGAUCUUCCUGAAGACGCUGCUGAAGACAUGACCAAGGCCCUCUUGAACGAGAGCUUGGCAGACUGCGGCAGGACCAGCUUAAGCCCCUUCUGUAAGACCAACCCGGCCCCAGCGGUAAGCCGCUGAUCUGAAUAUCAUAUUUUCUCCUUUAGAUAGUUUCCAUCUGAACCUUAAGAAAUCUUCAUUGUAUUUUUCAGGCUGAUGAUAAAUUCUGGAAGGUCAAGUAUGACCAUGAGGCGGCCAAGAAGGCCAGGAAGGCUAAGAAAGCCGCCAGGAGAGCCUCUCCCCGCAAGAAGGGAAGCAGGCCUACUGCCUCAGAGCUGCUUCAAUUAAGUGAUAGCUCCGAGUCAGAGGUAACCCCUGAACCUGUAAGCUCUUGUUGCAUUCCUUGUUUAUUCCUGUCCACCUUAUUGAUACUGAUCAUUAGCAGGACGACACCGGAGCAAGUAACCCGGUGGUUGAAGAGGUAAUGACACUUUCCUCCGACUCGGAGCCCUUGCCAAGGCUGAAAGUCCGAAGAGUAACCCGGAAAGUAAGAUUUUCACAUCCUUUAGCUUAUCAAGAUCCUCAAUUUCUUUUGAAGCGACAGAUUCAUGAGAGCCGGCGGCACACCCGGACCAACAAAGACGCAGACCUCUCCUCUGGCUUACCUGAAGCGUCGAGGAAGCACCGGACCGAGGUCACCUCCAACUUAUAUCCUUUUCAUCCUUUGGCGGGUGUUAUACGUCAACCGCUCAAUUCUUCUGAUUCAAAUUAUCAGGAAACUUCACCCUCCUCUGGCGACUCUAUGCAAUCGAACCUGCCGGCUUUCAAGACCGUACCCGGGUAAAUGAUGAUCAUCUCUUGUUAUGCUUAUCUUUACUCAUACUUUUGUACUAACCUUAUGUCCUUUCAGUGCUCAAGCAAAGCUCAGUAAAAGAGCAAAAAAUAACAAGCCGGUCGAAGAACCGGUCUUGCUUGAGCCGGAGGUUGCAGCUCAAGAGCCGCCAGUUGCCUCUGCCCCUGAAGCCACCACUCCAACCGAUGAGCCAGCCACGGAGACUUCCACCAACCCGGACAUCUCCAGCCCGGCUCAACCGGCCGAUGACCCGGACGUGGUAAUCACCCGGACGGAGUUUGUCGAGCCGGGGAGACCCACUGCGCUGGCUAAGUGCUCUGCGAAGGAAGAGUUGCUAGAGCGCCGCCGGGCCAAGCUGGACAUCACCAACUAUCCUAACUUGAGCAUCGGAGAGAUCGUCUCCGGCUAUGUCAGUCAGGUGCACAACAGCCGGGAUUUGGAGAUCAACAUGGUGAAUCAGAUACAGCAGAAGUCUGAGGUACCACUCUAUUGCUUACUGCAUAGUUAUCUUUACCAUACUCUAGCCCCCAAGCCUACUACUUAUGAUAGAAUAUGUUGUAGACUUAUCUUCCGGCUUACUCUCAGGAACCGGUAAUUUUGUAGAUAGAAAACUUUCGACAUGCAUUAGCCCCCAAGUGCCAAGUGUCUUUGCUUGGAAAGUGCUUGGGACUUUAAAGUUGCAUAAUAACUGUUCAUACUAUAACCCGGAAAUUGUGCAGGCUAUUUGCAAGAAAUUUGAGGCUGAUAUCUCAGAGCUGAAGAACCGCCUGACGACUCAGGAAACUGAGACCCGGACGGCCAACGCCAAAUUCGAAUCCAGCAUUGCCGCUCAAGAGAAGCUGAAGAAGACGUUUGAAGCUGAAAGGAAAACUUGGGCCGAAGAGAAGGCUGCUCUGGUCAGCCGGGCCGAAUAGGCGGAGAAGGCUCUGACGGAGAGAACCGCCGAACUCUCCGGCUUAAAACGCCAUGUGUCACAAAUGGUCACCGCAAUCUUCGGUAAGUCCUUCUGCAGGCUUUGAACAAGUUUACAGUCUUUAUGUCCCAUAACUCCCAUCAUUGAGAACGAAUUACCUUACUUUGUUAAACAGGUCCCAGAAGCGCCAACCUCAAUCAGAACGUGUUGACCAAGCUGAAGGCCGUGUACACCCUGGUGGAGCAACUCUACACCGGGUCACAGCGCGCUUUGGCCGUGGUGGCCCUAUCCAACGAGGUUCCGACUCACCUGGCGGAAGUUCUUCACCGGCUUGCCGUUCUUCCUCAGCGUGUCCAAGAGCUGCGACGGGCCUCUGCAAGAGCCGGAGCCAUAGCUGCUAUGAGCCGGGCCAAGGCUUUCCUUCCAGAGCUAGACCCGGCAGACAUCGCACUUGGUUACCCCAGCUUGAAGGAAGACGGCACCCCUUUCGACCAAAAGGACUUUGCUGCCUGUGUGAAGAUCGUGCGCCCGGUGGCCACCCUGAUUGGGAAUGACACUGAUCUGACCAAGUAUCAACCGAGCUACGAUGCAGAGAAUCAGAGGAUCCCCACUCCGCGUUACGAAGCCAUCAGCUUAGUCCCGCCGACUCGUAAGCACACCUUUGCCCCGGAAAUUGACCCGGCCGGGUUAAUUGACGAGGAAGCUCAAUUUGAAGCUUUGAGCGGCAUUGACUGGAAAUCGUCAACCUUCCAGGUCUUGGGAACAGCCGGAGGAGCGGAGAGGGAUGAGCCGAAAGCUUCGUCCCGGCAAGCAUCUUGACUCUUUAGGCGGCUUGUUAAACAAUGCUUCACCCUUUUGGACUCGGGGAGUCUUGUAAUAGCAUAGGACCAACAUUUUAACUUUGUCAUGCCAUCGUGCACGUGCUGAAUGCUUAAUUCCAUUGAAGUUGCUUCCUUAUAUUCCUCCGGGUCAUAAUUGAUCAUUCAUUUUCCUUAAGCUCAAAUAGUUGUCUUUAACUAUCCUGCAUAGAAAAACAAAUCACAAGUCUCUAGGCGGCUUACCGCACUGAGAGUCAUAGUCUCAUACAUAUAACCCGGAAUAUAAAUCUAAGUCACGAAAGACUGGUCCUCAAUUAUGUCUUUGACAUAACCGUAAUAACACACUUACCGGCCUUCAAGUACACUUCCAGAUUAUAUAACCCGGAUAAUAAGGUUGGUACCUCAACUCCGGUUUACCAGUCUUGACAAUGCUGAUUGUGCAUGACUAGCAUCGUGAGUCAAACUUAAGCCGGCGGAACAAAAACCGCCGUGUACACUGUUGAUACCACCAGAAGAACUUGUUGUAAAUCAGAAAAUCAAAACUCAGGGGCUUCCGGUUCAAAUACGACCAGAGACCCGUCCCAAAGGGGUUAAGCUAAGAUUCGAAUGCGAUCAUAUAGCCCCCAGUGGGUUUGGCGAUGCCGAUCAAGAGGGUACCGACAGCUAUGUUCUCUUUGGUUCGAAUACGACCCAUGUUUGAACAUGAAGCCCCCAAAUGACCUUAAGAGUUGUUUAACGACGCUGAUUCGAAUACGAUCCACGUCGGUUCCCAAAGGGGGUUGAGCUAUGAUUCAAAUAUGAUCAAAGAAGACUCCCCAAUGAGCUCGGCACUUUGCCAAUCAAAUGGGUAUCGACAGCUAUGUUCUCUUUGGUUCGAAUACGACCUAUGUUUGAACAGGAAGCCCCCAAGUGAUUAUAUUGCGUAUGGCUAGAUUCGAAUACGAUCAUAAGCCGGAUCCAUCUCCAAGUUACCAUGUGAUCUUGUAAUGGAAACAACACCUUUACCUUUGGAGGAGAAAAAAGGACAGAGGUCUUGCUUUAUUGCUUAUCAUAAUAUAUACAUGGCUUAUAGAAAUAUGUACAUUAUGAGAGCCGGUGGCUCAAGUGUAAUAAGGCCGGAGCUGAGCUACGUUCCACGGCCGACGGGUCUCUUCCUCCGACUUAUGUAAAUCUUUAUGCUCGCGAACGUCAAUAAGGUAGUAUGACCCGUUGUGCAAGUUCUUGCUGACCACAAAGGGUCCUUCCCAAGGCGGGGAUAGCUUGUGCGCAUCUGUUUGAUCUUGGAUGAGCCGGAGCACCAGAUCACCUUCCUGGAAGACCCGGGAUUUAACCCGGCGACUGUGAUAACGGCGCAGGUCUUGUUGGUAAAUCACUGAGCGAGCUGCUGCCACAUCACGCUGUUCGUCCAACAAGUCAAGAGCAUCUUGGCGCGCCUGUUCAUUAUCCGCCUCAACAUAAGCCGCCACUCGAGGCGAGUCAUGACGGAUGUCACUGGGGAGGACUGCUUCCGCUCCAUAAACCAUGAAGAAGGGCGUGUAACCCGUAGACCUGUUAGGAGUAGUAUUGAUGCUCCAUAACACGGAGGGUAACUCCUCCACCCAACAACCCGGCGUCCGUUGCAAAGGGACCAAGAGCUGGGGCUUGAUGCCUUUCAGAAUCUCCUAAUUAGCUCUCUCAGCUUGACCAUUAGAUUGAGGGUGAGCCACUGAUGAAACAUCAAGUCGAAUAUGCUCUCGUUGACAAAACUCCUCCAUGGCGCCCUUGGACAGAUUGGUACCAUUGUCAGUUAUAAUGCUAUGUGGAAAGCCAAAGCGAAAGAUCACCUUUUUCAUGAACUGAACCGCCGUGGCUGCGUCACACUUGCUAACUGGCUCUGCUUCCACCCAUUUUGUGAAUUUGUCAACUGCCACCAAGAGGUGGGUCUUCUUGUCCUUAGACCUUUUAAAAGGCCCAACCAUAUCGAGCCCCCAGACCGCAAAUGGCCAAGUGAUUGGUAUCAUCCGCAGCUCUUGAGCCGGCACAUGAGCCCGUCGUGAGAACCUCUAGCAACCGUCACAUUUACUGACCAAGUCCUCCGCAUCAGCAUGAGCCGUCAACCAAUAAAAACCAUGACGAAAAGCCUUUGCAACAAGGGAUUUUGAGCCGGCAUGAUGGCCACAAUCCCCUUCGUGAAUCUCACGCAAGAUUUCUUGACCUUCCUCAGGGGAGACACAACGCUGGAACGCUCCUGUAACACUGCGGCGAUGCAGCUCACCAUUGAUAACAACCAUUGACUUAGACCGCCGGGUUAUUUGUCUGGCCAACGUUUCAUCCUCAGGCAAAUCUCCCCGGGUCAUGGAAGCCAAAUAAGGCACCGUCCAGUCCGGGGUGAUGUGGAGAGCCGCCACCAACUGUGCCUCCGGGUCAGGGACAGCCAAGUCUUCCUCUGUAGGAAACUUAACAGAAGGGUUAUGCAAGACGUCCAAAAAAGUAUUAGGCGGCACCGGUUUUUGCUGAGAGCCCAGCCGGCUUAAAGCAUCAGCCGCCUCGUUCUUCCUGCGAUCGAUGUGCUCUACUUGGUAACCCUGAAAGUGUCCAGCAAUAGCAUCAACUUCACGGCGAUAAGCCGCCAUGAGAGGGUCCUUGGAAUCCCACUUGCCUGAUACUUGUUGAGCUACUAAGUCUGAGUCGCCGAAGCACCUUACCCGGCUCAAGCUCAUCUCCUUAGCCAUCCGAAGACCAUGGAGCAAGGCCUCGUACUCAGCCGCAUUGUUAGUACAAGGAAACAUCAACCGUAGCACAUAAUGGAACUUGUCACCUUUAGGGGAAGCCAAUACAACUCCAGCCCCCGAGGCCUCCAAUUGCCUGGACCCAUCGAAGUGAAUAGUCCAAUAUGUGUUAUCCGGCUUUUCUUCGGGCACUUGUAGCUCUGUCCAAUCGUUGAUGAAAUCCACCAAGGCUUGAGAUUUAACAGCAGUGCGUGGUAUGUAUUUCAGACGAUGAGGUCCGAGCUCUAUAGCCCACUUAGCCACUCUCCUUGUGGCCUCUCUGUUUUGAAUGAUAUCUCCAAGGGGGGCAGAACUGACCACAGUGAUAGGGUGACCCUGGAAAUAAUGCUUAAGCUUCCGGCUUGCCAUGAACACACCAUAAACAAGCUUCUGCCAAUGUGGAUACCGCUGUUUGGACUCGAUGAGCACUUCACUGACGUAAUAAACCGGCCGCUGAACCGGGUGCUCCUUACCCUCUUCCUUGCGCUCCACCACCACAGCCACACUGACGGCCCGUGUGUUAGCAGCUACAUACAACAAUAAAGGCUCCUUGUCAACCGGAGCAGCAAGGACUGGGGGCUCUGCCAGCUGUCUCUUCAAAUCCUCAAAAGCAGUAUUAGCAGCAUCAUUCCAGACAAAGUUAUCAGUUUUCUUCAUCAACUGGUACAAUGGCAUGGCCUUCUCACCCAAACGGCUUAUAAACCGGCUUAAAGCAGCGAUACGACCCACCAGGCGCUGGACGUCAUUUAUACACGCCGGCUUAGCCAGAGAGGUGAUUGCCUUGAUCUUCUCCGGGUUAGCUUCAAUGCCUCUGUUAGAAACCAAGAAACCCAAGAGUUUGCCUGCAGGAACACCAAAAACACACUUGGCCGGGUUAAGCAUCAUCUUGUAGACCCGGAGAUUAUCAAAGGUUUCCCUCAGAUCAUCUAUCAAGGUUUCCUUCUCCCUGGACUUAACCACAAUAUCAUCCACAUAGGCAUGAACAUUGCGCCCAAUCUGGUUAUGAAGACAGUUCUGCACGCAACGCUGAUAAGUCGCCUGUGCACUCUUGAGCCCAAAGGGCAUAGACACAUAGCAGAAGGCUCCAAAGGGAGUGAUGAACGCCGUCUUCUCCUGGUCCUUAACUGCCAUUUUAAUCUGAUGGUAUCCAGAAUAAGCAUCCAAGAAACUUAAGCGCUCGCAACCCGCCGUAGCAUCAGUGAUUUGAUCAAUACGGGGAAGAGCAAAAGGAUCAGCCGGACAUGCCUUAUUUAAGUCCGUGUAGUCCACACACAUCCGCCAGGUGCCAUUCUUUUUGAGCACGAGCACCGGGUUAGCUAGCCACUCCGGGUGAAAGACUUCAACAAUAAACCCGGCUGCCAAGAGCCGGGCCACCUCUUCACCAAUGGCUUUCCGCCUCUCUUCAUUAAACCGCCGAAGGAAUUGCCUGACCGGCUUAAAUUUUGGAUCAACAUUGAGAGUGUGCUCAGCGAGUUCUCUAGGUACACCCGGCAUGUCAGAAGGCUUCCAUGCAAAGAUGUCCCUAUUCUCACGGAUGAACUCGAUGAGCGUGCUUUCCUAUUUUGGAUCCAGAUUGGCACUGAUGCUGAACUGCUGAGAUGAAUCACCUGGAACGAAAUCAACAAGUUUAGUCUUAUCAGCCGACUUAAAUUUCAUUGCCGGCUCAUGCUCCGUAGUCGGCUUUUUCAGAGAGGUCAUAUCUGUUGGGUCAACAUUGUCCUUGUAAAAUUUCAACUCCUCUGUUGCACAAACAGAUUCUGCAUAAGUUGCAUCACCUUCCUCACACUCCAAGGCCACCUUCCGGCUGCCAUGAACCAUAAUGGUCCCAUUGUGACCCGGCAUCUUGAGCUGUAAAUACACGUAACACGGCCGUGCCAUGAACUUGGCGUAAGCCGGCCGCCCAAAUAUGGCAUGAUAUGGACUUCUUAUCUUGACCACUUCAAAGGUCAAUUUUUCCACCCUGUAGUUGUACUCGUCUCCAAAGGCCACUUCCAACUCGAUCUUACCAACUGGAUAAGCCGACUUACCAGGCACCACACCAUGGAAAAUAGUAUUGGACUGGCUGAGGUUCUUAUCAAUCAACCCCAUACGACGGAAAGUCUCAUAAUAGAGGAUGUUGAUGCUGCUGCCUCCAUCCAUGAGUACCUUAGUGAAUUUAUAUCCUCCCACCUGAGGAGCCACCACCAGGGCCAAGUGACCCAGAUUAUCAACCCGAGGAGGGUGAUCCUCCCUACUCCACACAAUAGGCUGCUCAGACCAUCUUAAGUAGCGUGGAGUUGCCGGCUCAACAGCAUUCACAGCCCUCUUAUGAAGCUUCUGAUCUCGCUUACACAGACUGGUGGUAAAUACGUGAUACUGUCCCCCGUUGAGCUGCUUUGGGUUGGUCUGAUAACCCCCCUGUUGCUGUUGAUGACCCUGGCCAGACUGCUGAUUAAAGCCCCCUUGACCGUUCUGAGGAUUAGAAUUUGAGCCGCCGCCCGGGCCAUGAAAACCGCCAGUGCCUGAACCGCCGCCCGGGCCAUGGUUGUCAUUAAAGGCAUUGGAAUUCUUAAAGGCUUUCAUGAUUGCGCAAUCCUUCCAUAGAUGAGUAGCUGGCUUCUCCCUAGAGCCAUGCCUUGGACAAGGCUCAUUCAACAGCUGUUCCAGCGUCGGGCCUGACCCGCCGGCUCGGGGAGGUGGCCUCCCCUUGCGUCGCUGGUUAUUCCCCUGUGAGCUGGCGUUGGCCACGAACUCUAGGCUGCCGUCGGCCUUACGCUUGCCACCUCCUUGGUUCCCCGGGUUAUGCUGAGGACCCUUGCCAUUGCCGUUCUUCUUUCCCUUCCCUGUCCUUUCAUCAUCUGAAGCGGGGUCCUUGGUACUAUCAGAAUCGGCAUACUUGACGAGAGCCGCCAUCAGCGUACCCAUAUCAUUGCAGUUACGUUUAAGCCGCCCGAGUUUCAUCUUCAAGGGCAGGAAACGACAAUUCUGUUCCAACAUUAAGACUGCAGAGCCGGCAUCCAUCUUAUCAGAUGAAUGUAUUAUCUCCUUGACCCGGCGAACCCAAUGUGUCGUAGACUCACCCUCCUGCUGUUUACAGUUAGUCAAAUCCACAAUUGACAUAGACUGCCUACAGGUAUCUUUGAAGUUUUGGAUGAACCGGGCCUUCAACUCAGCCCAAGACCCGAUGGAGUUCGGUGGUAGCCCUUUCAACCAAGUGCGGGCAGUCCCAUCUAACAUCAUGGUGAAGUACUUGGCCAUCGCUGCUUCACUGACCUCCAGCAAUUCCAUGGCCAUCUCAUAACUCUCGAUCCAGGCUCCGGGUUGUAAGUCAGCCGUGUAAUUAGGCACCUUCCUAGGCCCUUUGAAAUCCUUGGGCAGACGCUCAUUGCGGAGAGCCAGCACUAAACAAGGGACACCUCCAGUCCUCGUAGGGAUACCCACAUCGACGGAAGUCAUCGGAUAAGCCGGGGGAGUCUGGUAAGCCGUCAACUGAGGCACCUGCUCCACCUCCUGUCGCGCUCUGUCUUGGUCUGUUGCGUGAAAGGCUCCGUUAUGAGCCGGGCCAUGGCCAGGGGGCGGGUCAUGGCGUCGGACAUUACUUGAGCCGGUCGCUGAGACCAUGUGUCUGCUAUAACUCGGGCUCCGGCCUGGACGAGGGGUUGAGUGGAUCCUGUCCUGGCUGUAAGAAUACGCUUCUUGCUGCGCCAGUGCUGUCUGAAGGAGUUCUCUGACCCGGCGGGUUCCAAUAGCCGUUGGAGAGUCGCCGUCAAUCGGGAGAGCCGCCAGCCGUGCUGCUGCGGCGACCAUAUUCUCCAGCGGGUUAGCAUAAUGACCCGGUGGUAUUGGCACAUACUGAGGCGGGGCGGGGUUCACCCGGGGAGGCCCCAUCACUUGUGGCUGAACAGGGGUCCCAGACCCGGGCACUAUGAUCCCCGGCGGGUUACUAGACCCUGCACCUGGCGUAUUGAAGAGGUUUCGAGGAUCGUAGACCGGAGGGAGUCGAGAUUGGGCCUUUUGAUGCCUCCUUCUCAUGACCUCAUUGGACGUGUUCUGAUCCAUCGUGAGCCGGAAGGACUGCGCCUGAAUCAACUGAGUCUGGGCGUCGAGAGCCGCCCUCUCCGCAGCCAUCCUGAUCCCUUCCGCCGCCAGAUCCUCCUUGGCUUUCACUAGAUCUAACUUUAACUGCGCCACCUCCGCGUCAUGCUGAGCUUGAUCCGCCGGGUCAACCGUGGCGGUCAACAGGGCUGUCAUCUUGUCCGUGAGAUCCCUCAGCACCUGAGCCGGCGAGGGUACCGGGUUUCCUGACCCAGCGGCGGGGUUUUGAACAGGUUGCGCACCGGCCAUGAAGAUCCCAACCCGGCUCGGCGGCUCAAAAGGAUCCGGAAUACUGUCACCAUCGGAACAACCCCUGAGCCUGCCAUCUUGAAGUUGAUACAACGAGUUUGACUCAUCUGUGGAUGACUCGCCGUCAGAGCCGGCGGCCGUCUCAUCACCAGAUCCAGACCCUUCGGAGAGUCCUCCAUGAACACAUCCCACAAAAGCAUGCCUCAAGGCAGGUAGAGCCCGGGCAGGUCGUGCACGCUGAGCCAUCUCGAUGAGGUCGGCGCAGAGAUCCGGCUCAGGGCCCGGCUCAUCAAUCUUGCCAAUGAAGACAUGAAUUCCGCCGAAGGGGACCCGGUACCCGUACUCAAUUGAGCCGGCGUCGGGGCCCCAGUUUGCAUCGUCGAUGUAGAGCUUGCCGCGACGACUCUUGGUCAUCCGGCUCACAGCGUAUCCCUUGAGCCCUUCGAAGCUGCCCUUCAAGAACUCAAAUCCACCGUGCGCUGGCCCCACGGUGGGCGCCAACUGUCGUGGAAUUGUCACGGCAGAUGUCCUCGAGCUAGGACUUAGUCGUGGAGCCAUUGCAGCUAGGAAGCUUGAAGGGGUUAAAUGGGACAAGGAACACGAGGGUUAUACUGGUUCGGCCCCUUACGGUGAAGGUAAAAGCCUACAUCCAGUUGAGGUGGUAUUGAUUAGGGUUUUGAUGACCAGGAAGCUUAACUGCUAGGCCUGGCUCUCGACGAGAUCUUCCUUCUCCUUGACCCGCCGCCGGGUCAUCCCUUUAUAUAGAGAGGUUGACACCCAGCAGCUCUCAGAGUCCCGGCCGGCUCAUAAGAGUGUCCGGCUCGGACUCUCAACUAUUCUUGCCUUACACUACAAGUUCUACCAUAAUAGCGGUUGCAACUAUGGGCCUUAAGCCAUCUCCGGGUCUUAAGCCCAUCUCUGGCCCGCCGUCUUCAAGCUUGGCGCCGGGCUUCAGGCGAUGACCAUUAUGAGUAACACGGCCCCUCCGGGCGGGUGACUCUAAGGGUUAUAUCCUCAACAGUUCCCCUAACAAAACUUUCAAUGAGGAAUUUGCCGCACUCAUGACCUCAAAGUUCAAGAUGUAUUCCAUGGGAGAGUUGAAGUUCUUUCUCGGUUUUGAAGUAAAGCAAAGAAGAGAAGGAACCUUCAUCAACCAAGCCAAAUACACUCAAGACAUGCUCAAGAGAUUCAAACUAAGUGAUGUCAAGCCGGCGUCCACUCCAAUGCCCACCAAGUGCCAACUUGACAUCGAUCCCAAUGGUAAAGCGGUGGAUCAAAAGGUAUAUCGCUCCAUGAUUGGUUCCUUGCUUUAUCUUUGUGCAUCUAGACCGGAUAUCAUGUUGAGUGUGGGAAUUUGUGCACGGUUUCAAGCCGCACCUAAGGAAAGCCACUUUGUGGCGGUCAAGCGGAUCUUUCGAUAUUUGGCUCAUACCCCAAACUUUGGCUUAUGGUACCCAAGAGGAGCAAACUUCAAGCUUGUAGGAUAUUCGGACUCCGAUUGGGCGGGAGACAAAGUGGAUAGGAAGUCCACUUCCGGAGAGUGCCAAUUCCUUGGUUGCUCUUUGGUAAGUUGGUCUUCUAAAAAGCAAAGUCUCAUCCACCGAAGCGGAGUAUGUGGCGGCUGGGAGUUGUUGUGCACAACUCUUAUGGAUGAGGCAAACUUUAAAGGAUUACGGUAUCAUUUGUGACAAAGUGCCUCUUUGGUGUGAUAAUGAAAGUGCCAUCAAGAUUUCUCUUAACCCCGUGCAACACUUCAAGACGAAGCAUAUUGAGAUUCGAUAUCACUUCAUCCGAGAUCACAUUAGGCGAAGGGAGAUCGAGCUCAACUACGUCAACACCCAUGAUAACCUUACAGAUAUUUUCAUGAAGCCUUUGGAUGAAGCAAGAUUUCGCGAGUUAAGGCAUGAGCUAAAUAUCAUUGAUUCGAGCAAUGUUGCUUGACCCCUUGCACACCCCACCACACUCAACUUGUUGUCUAAUCUAGGUGUAGGCAUGGACAUAGGGGGAGUAUUGUUCUCUCAAUGAACUCUCCCUCCCCCCAUUAUGCAUAAAGUGAUCAACUCUUUCACAUUAUCCAUUUUUGAUGGUACUUGUGCUUCAAAGACGAGUUUUGGUCAUGGGCCCAAGGAUAAUUCUUCGCGGUGCCAUACCAAUUGACUCAAACAUAGGUGGCUCCGGCCACCGCCCUCUUCUUGGAGAGGUUGUGUCUCGUUUUUGGUCAGUGUUGGUUCUUGCCUCUCUUACUUCAUGGCGAGCUCGUGCUUGUGGUGUCCAGUGUGUUAGUUCCUUGUUGUGGUCUCUCGCUUGAAGGUUCCGUUCUUAGUUGUUAUCUUUGGUUGAAACUGUUGUUUUUGAGCCCACGGUACUACCGCGGCCUACCACGGUACUACCGCAAGGAGGGCGCGCGGUACUUCCGCACCCAGUGCGGCAGUAAUUUUUUACUGCCGCCUGGGGGAGCGGUACUACGGCCUCGGUGCGGUACUUCCGCCCGGGCGGUAGUACCGCGAUGACGUGCGGUACUACCGCGAGAGGAGUGAGCAGUACUUCCGCACCCAGCGCGGCAGUAAUUUUUUACUGCCGCCUGGGGGAGCGGUACUACGGCCUCGGUGCGGUACUUCCGCCCGGGCGGUAGUACCGCGAUGACGUGCAGUACUUCCGUGCGGUCAAGGGCGCGUGGGGGUUAAACACGGGCAGGGGGAGUUCUAACUCCCCCAUACCCAUUCGUCUCUCUCCCCACUUCGUCUCUCUCUCCCUCUCUCUCUCGCUCAAGAACAGCGUCGGAGGUCCUCGCCGGAUCUCCGUCUCCGGCCGCUCUCCUCGGAUUCCGACCGGUGGGAUCGUUCCCCACCACUCCCUCUUGCCAAGGAACAAGGUUUCUUCCCAAUCCCUCUCUUUUUCUUUUUCGUCUUGUUGCUUUUAGGUUUUGGGAGAUGCAAGUUGUUCUUGAGAUUUUAGGCCAAAUCUAUGCAAGAGUAGGAUGUAGGAGAGUAGUUUUGUGUAGUGUUGGUACUUGCUAUAGUUGUCCCGUGAUGGAUUUGAUUGACCGUAGUACCGUGUGUUGACAUGGUUGUGCUCAGAUCUCCAUGGCUAUUUUGGAUCUGCAACCGUGCGGUACUACCUCACGUCCGGUACUACCGCCCUGCGGGUGCGGUACUACCGCACGUCCGGUACUACCGCUCCUUGGAGCGGUACUACCGCACGUGGCACAACACGCGUUACUACCGUUAUCUCAAAUCCCUCUUGUGGCACUUCUCACGUGCCAAGUCUAUUUGUUUCUCCUGCUUUGCUGUGGUCUUUGCAUUGAUCCUUCUCGCGUUUUGUGCGUGUUUGUUUUGUGGUGUGUGUUUAGGUGGUGGCUCAGGUGCUCCGGCUCGCCGCUCCAAUCCAAGCCGUGACACGGGAUCCAAGCGUAUGCGCAACACAGAGGAAGCAGAGGGCUCCAAUGCCCCCCAACGCAGAACCAAGACCUCUGCCACCAAAGAGAAGGAACCCGCCAAGGGUAUGGAUGAGAUACCGCUUGAUGAGUUCAUCGCUCAAAGAAAGAUCAAUCCGUAUGGAAACCCUCGUGCUAACUUUCGAGGGAAUGACCUAUUCUAGACCAAGCAGCAGAACCUCAUUUAUCUGGAUGUCAUCAAGGCCAAGCAAAAUACCCAUGUGGAGGUGAAGUGGAUCAACAUGCAUCACAUGCGCAAAGAGGCGCACCGGGAAUACUUUGGUGAGGCUUUGGACCUCGUAGAGCAAUUUGGCAUUGAGCAUAUCAUCUCAUUCCACAAAGACUAUGAUCCUGAGAUCCUUGCUCGGUUUUUUGCCUCCGUGCAUUUUCAUCCCAAUGAGGAAAGGACCAUGACUUGGAUGACCAAUGGCCGACAGCUGACUGCUACUUGGAAGGAAUUCAUGACCCUGCUUGGGGUUCCGGAUGAGGGGCUCGCCACACCCCAAGGUGUUCGCCCUCAUGCCAAUCCCGAGUCUGCCAACAAGAACAAGCUCAUGCCCUACCUUGUGGAGAAGAAGCUCUCCAAUGGCAAGUCAACUUGGGUACUCAACUCCUUUCUUGACAUCAUGCACCGGAUCUUCCGCAACACUCUCUUCCCACGCAUUGGGGACAAGGACAAGGUGCAUGCCUAUCUGGUGGAUAUGAUGCUCCUGUGUGAAGAUGCUCGCAACUCUCAGACACAACCACUUGAUGUCUCACAUAUCAUGUGGAUUGAGCUUCGGUUUGCGGUCUACAACCGCAAGGUCCCCAUCUAUGGACCUUAUUUGUUUCUGUUGAUCUCGGCUACUUGGGAGCGGGUCUACCCUCAGGAUGAGUUUGAGGCCCCUGGUUGGAUCCGGCAUGAGCCCAUCAACCUCCGUAUCAAGCCUUAGUAGGCCAACACUACCUCUCGUGCCGAUACUGCGGCUGCCAUGGACGUAGAUGCAGAUGAGGAUGAGGAAGAGGCAGCAGACAAGGACAGCUCUGAGGGUUACAUCCCUCCCACCUCUGAGCCUUCUCGGGCUAAGCGACUGAAGAACAAGAUGAAGAUGCUAUUCUGUAUGCAAGCAAAGGGGCAGUACCAGACCCAUGUGGCUUCCAAGGAGACUCGCCGCCGCGACAAGCGGAUUUUCAGGACCUUUGGCGAGAACAUAUCUAGCGGGUCAGAGGUGAACAUCACCCCAGAGGCAGAAUGGCUGCACAAGCAGAGCUAUCGGUGGACCGAGUCUGAGGAGGAGUCCGUCCCAGCUGCAGAGUCCGACGAGGAGUGUGCCAGUGACUACUCCGCUUGAGCCACCACUAUUGCUGUAGGUGUCCUCUCUACCUUUUUGGCGUCUCGAUGCCAAAGGGGGAGAGAGUGUAGGAUUUGCUGCGAGUUGUGUCGUGUUUGGGUCAGUUGAACUUCGUUUAUUUCGUUUGCUUUGGUUUGCUUUGGUUUGUGCUCGUGAGACCUUCUAUCAUAUGGUGUAAGACAUAUGCACUCUAUCGUACCGUAGUGAGCUUAUUCUAUCUUGUUCUUAUUACAUUUUGCUCCUGUCUAUCUUGCUUAGCUUUAGCCUAAUUGCAAGAUUUGCCAUGUCUAUAAAAUAUAGGGGGGGGGGUGUUGAUCCUAGUAUGUGUGCCGUGCAGUCCAAAGCACUCAUCGAGAUAGCACACAUCUAGGGGGAGCCCGUCUAUAUUUUAGAGACUUGGGGUUUGCCCUUGCUCUUUGCGUUAUACCCUCGUGCAAAUCCCGUGUUGUCAUCAAUCCACCAAAAAGGGGGAGAUUGUAAGGGCAUUUUUAUCCCUUAGUUGGUUUUGGUGAUUGAUGACAAUGCUUUUGCGGACUAAUCAUGUGCAUCAAAUAUUUCAGAUAUAUUGACUAGGCACAAGAUGAUUGGGUUCCCCUCAAAGGCUAUAGAAGACGGCGUUUCUCUUCGGUUCUUUUCGGUGGUAUUGAGUCGUAGGGAAGCCGUACUAUUAAGAGGGGGUCUGUUUUGUAAAGGUUGGGUGGAUUCAUCACGUACACAUCGUCCCUUGCACCUCCUUUCCUCUUCCCUUUGGAGCAUCCUAAGUUUUCCUUGUCUAUGCAAUUAUAGCUCUUGUCUGCCGAACUAGGAAGUGCGGUAGUACUGCUCGUCAGAGCGGUAGUACCGCAGGACCUUGCGGUAGUACCGCCCGCUGGUGCGGUAGUACCGCAAGGCCCCACGGUAGUACCGCUUCUGGUAAGCGGUAGUACCAUGGUCCCAUCUUAGUUCCGCAACUACGCGGCUGUAAGGGGCGGAUGUAAUUUUUUACAUCCGCACCUCGCGCGGUAGUACCGCGGCUGGCUUACGGUACUACCGCGUCGGGUUUUUGCAUCGACUCCAACUCUGCGGAAGUAGCCACGGAUGUAAUUUUUUAUAUCUGUGCCUUCCCAUCCCUGGACAGCCCCUGCCUUGCGGUAGUACCGCAAGGGGGAGUGGUAGUACCGCGCCAGCAGUACUACCGCCCUCUGCCUUAGUGCAUGUGUGGCUGUUCUGGUCUCUGCUGCGUGGGCGGUAGUACCGCGGGGCUCUGCGGUAGUACCGCGCCUCAGGUGCGGUAGUACCAUGUGCCCCUACAGUAGUACCGCGCCUCAGGUGCGGUAGUACCGCGCUGCACAGGCUGAGUUGGUGGAUAAUGGUUGGAUUUGUUCUUCCACUAUAUAAGGGGUGUCUUCCUCCUCUAGUUGACUACCUCUUCCACCUCCAAGCUCCAUUGUUGCUCCAAGCUCCAUUCUUGCCCGAUCUCCUUCCCUAGCCAAUCAAACUUGUUGAUUCUCUAGGGAUUGGUUGAGGAGGCCCCGAUCUACACUUCCACCAAGAGAUAUUUGAAUUCCCCCACUAAUCCCUUGUGGAUCUUGUUACUCUUGGGUGUUUGAGCACCCUAGACGGUUGAGGUUACCGUGGAGCCAUAGUCCAUUGUGGUGAAGCUUCGUGGUGUCGUUGGGAGCCUCCAAUUAAGUUGUGGAGAUUUCCCCAACCUUGUUUGUAAAGGUUCGGUCGCCGCCUCCAAGGGCACCAAUAGUGGAAUCACGGCAUCUCGCAUUGUGAGAGGGCGUGAGGAGAAUACGGUGGUCCUAGUGGCUUCUUGGGGAGCAUUGUGCCUCCACACAGCUCCAACGAAGACGUACUUCCUCUCAAAGGGAAGGAACUUCGGUAACACAUCCUCGUCUUCACCGACUCCACUCUUGGUUAUCUCGUGCCUUUACUUGUGCAAGCUUAUUUGUGCCUUAUCUCUUGCUUCCGUGUGUGCUUAUUGUUGUUGUAUCAUAUAGGUUUCUCACCUAGUUGCAUAUCUAGACAACCUACUUUGAUGCAAAUUUUAAAUUGGUAAAGAAAAGUUUAAAUUUGUUAGUUGCCUAUUCACCCCCCCUCUAGUCAACUAUAUCGAUCCUUUCAGCUUUAGAGACGGCUGUAUUUACGUUAAAUAGGGCACCAUCUAAAUCUGUUGAGACGACACCUUAUGAACUGUGGUUUGGCAAGAAACCCAAAUUGUCGUUUCUUAAAGUUUGGGGCUGCGAUGCUUAUGUGAAAAAGCUUCAACCUGAUAAGCUGGAACCCAAAUCGGAGAAAUGUGUCUUCAUAGGAUACCCAAAGGAGAUUGUUGGGUAGACCUUCUAUCACAGAUCCGAAGGCAAGACAUUUGUUGCUAAAAAUGGAUCCUUUCUAGAGAAGGAGUUUCUCUCGAAAGAAGUGAGUGGGAGGAAAGUAGAACUUGAUGAGGUAACUGUACCUGCUCCCUUAUUGGAAAGUAGUUCAUCACAGAAAUCAGUUCCUGUGACUACUACACCAAUUAGUGAGGAAGCUAAUGAUGAUGAUCAUGUAACUUCAGAUCAAGUUACUACUGAACCUCGUAGGUCAACCAGAGUAAGAUCCGCACCAGAGUGGUACGGUAAUCCGGUUCUGGAGGUCAUGUUACUUGACCAUGACGAACCUACGAACUAUGAGGAAGCGCUGAUGAGCCCACAUUCCGCGAAAUGGCUUGAGGCCAUGAAAUCUGAGAUGGGAUCCAUGUAUGGGAACAAAGUGUGGACUUUGGUUGACUUGCCCGAUGAUCGGCAAGCCAUCGGGAAUAAAUGGAUCUUCAAGAAGAAGACUCACGCUGAUGGUAAUGUUACUGUCUACAAAGCUCGACUUGUUGCGAAAGGUUUUCGACAAGUUCAAGGAGUUGACUACGAUGAGACUUUCUCACCUGUAGGGAUGUUUAAGUCCGUCCGAAUCAUGUUAGCAAUUGCUGCAUUUUAUGAUUAUGAAAUUUGGCAAAUGGAUGUAAAGACUGCAUUCCUGAAUGGAUUUCUGGAAGAAGAGUUGUAUAUGAUGCAACCCGAAGGUUUUAUCAAUCCAAAGGAUGCUAACAAAGUGUGAAAGCUCUAGCGAUCCAUUUAUGGACUGGUGCAAGCAUCUCGGAGUUGGAAUAAACGUUUUGAUAGUGUGAUCAAAGCAUAUGGUUUUAUACAGACUUUUGGAGAAGCCUGUAUUUACAAGAAAGUGAGUGGGAGCUCUGUAGCAUUUCUAAUAUUAUAUGUGGAUGACAUAUUGUUUAUUGGAAAUGAUAUAUAAUUUCUAGAUAGCAUAAAAGGAUACUUGAAUAAGAGUUUUUCAAUGAAAGACCUCGGUGAAGCUGCUUAUAUAUUGGGCAUCAAGAUCUAUAGAGAUAGAUCAAGAUGCUUAAUUGGACUUUCACAAAGCACAUACCUUGAUAAAGUUUUGAAGAAGUUGAAAAUGGAUCAAGCAAAGAAAGGGUUCUUGCCUGUGUUACAAGGUGUGAAGUUGAGUCAGACUCAAUGCCCGACCACUGCAGAAGAUAGGGAGAAAAUGAAAGUCAUUCCCUAUGCUUCAGCCAUAGGUUCUAUCAUGUAUGCAAUGUUGUGUACCAGACCUGAUGUGUGCCUUGCUAUUAGUUUAGCAGGGAGGUACCAAAGUAAUCCAUGAGUGGAUCACUGGACAACGGUCAAGAACAUCCUGAAAUACCUGAAAAGGACUAAGGAUAUGUUUCUCGUUUAUGGAGGUGACGAAGAGCUCGUUGUAAAUGGUUACGUUGAUGCAAGCAUUGACACUGAUCCGGAUGACUCUAAGUCACAAACCGGAUAUGUAUUUAUACUGAACGAUGGAGCUGUCAGUUGGUGCAGUUCUAAGUAAAGCGUCGUGGCGGGAUCUACGUGUGAAGCGGAGUACAUGGCUGCUUCGGAAGCAGCAAAUGAAGGAGUCUGGAUGAAGGAGUUCACAUCCGAUCUGGAUGUCAUACCUAGUGCAUCGGGUCCAAUGAAAAUCUUUUGUGACAAUACUGGUGCAAUUGCCUUGGCAAAGGAAUCCAGAUUUCACAAGAGAACCAAGCACAUCAAGAGACGCUUCAAUUCCAUCCGCGAUCAAGUCAAGGAGGGAGACAUAGAGAUUUGCAAGAUACAUACGGAUCUGAAUGUUGCAGACCCGUUGACUAAGCCUCUCUCACGAGCAAAACAUGAUUAGCACCAAGACUCCAUGGGUGUUAGAAUCAUUACUGUGUAAUCUAGAUUAUUGACUCUAGUGCAAGUGGGAGACUGAAGGAAAUAUGCCCUAGAGGCAAUAAUAAAGUUGUUAUUUAUAUUUCCUUAUAUCAUGAUAAAUGUUUCUUAUUCAUGCUAGAAUUGUAUUAACCAGAAACUUAGUACAUGUGUGAAUACAUAGAAAAACAGAGUGUCACUAGUAUGCCUCUACUUGACUAGCUCGUUGAAUCAAAGAUGGUUAAGUUUCCUAGCCAUAGACAUGAGUUUUCAUUUGAUUAACGGGAUCACAUCAUUAGAGAAUGAUGUGAUUGACUUGACCCAUUCCUUUAGCUUAGCACUUGAUCGUUUAGUUUGUUGCUAGUGCUUUCUUCAUGACUUAUACAUGUUCCUAUGACUAUGAGAUUAUGCAACUCCCGAAUACCGGAGGAACACUUAGUGUGCUAUCAAACGUCACAAUGUAACUGGGUGAUUAUAAAGACGCUCUACAAGUGUCUCCGAUGGUGUUUGUUGGGUUGGCAUAGAUCGAGAUUAGGAUUUGUCACUCCGUGUUUCGGAGAGGUAUCUCUGGGCCCUCUCGAUAAUGCACAUCACUAUAAGCCUUGCAAGCAAUGUGACUAAUGAGUUAGUCACCGGAUGAUACAUUACAGAACGAGUAAAGAGACUUGCCAGUAACAAGAUUAAACUAGGUAUUGAGAUACCGACGAUCAAAUCUCGGGCAAGUAACAUACCGAUGACAAAGGGAACAACGUAUAUUGUUAUGCGGUUUGACCGAUAAAGAUCUUCGUAGAAUAUGUAGGAACCAAUAUGAGCAUCCAGGUUCUGCUAUUGGUUAUUGACCGGAGAUGAGUCUCGGUCAUGUCUACAUAGUUCUCAAACUCGUAGGGUCCGCACGCUUAACGUUCGGUGACGAUCGGUAUUAUGGUUUUUGUGUUUUGAUGAACCGAAGGUAGUUCGGAGUCCCAGAUGUGAUCACGGACAUGACGAGGAGUCUUGAAAUGGUCGAGACAUAAAGAUUGAUAUAUUGGAUGACUAUAUUCGGACACCAGAUUAGUUCCGAGGGUCACUGGAUAAUUGUCGGAGUGCCGGGGGGUUAUCGGAACCCCCGGGGGAACUAAUGGGCCAACAUGGGCCUUGUGUGAGAGAGAGAGGAGGGGGCCUUAGGGCUGGCCGCCCCCCCUUGAGGAGUCUUAAUUGGACAAGGAGGGGGGCGGUGCCCCCUCUUUCCCUCCCUCUCUCCCUCUCCUUCCUUCCCCCUCCUAGUAGGACUAGGAAAGGAGGAAUCCCUACUCCUACUAGGAGGAGGAUUGCUCCCCUCCUUGGCGCGCCUAUAGGGCCGGCCGGCCUUCCCCUUGCUCCUUUAUAUACAGGGGCAGGGGGGCACCCUAGAACAUAUAAGUUGACAGUUGUCUUAGCCGUGUGCGGUGCCCCCCUCCACAGAUUUCCACCUCGGUCAUAUCGUUGUAGUGCUUAGGCGAAGCCCUGCGUCGGUAACUUCAUCAUCACCGUCAUCACGCCAUCAUGUUGACGAAGCUCCCCCUCGAUAUUCAGCUGGAUCUAGAGUUCGUGGGACGUCACCGAGCAGAAUGUGUGCAGAUCGCGGAGGGGCUGUACUUUUGGUGCUAGGAUUGGUCUGAUCGUGAAGACGUACGACUACAUCAACCGUGUUGUCAUAACACUUCCGCUUUUGGUCUACGAGGGUACGUGGACAACACUCUCCCCUCUCGUUGCUAUGCAUCACCUAGAUGGAUCUUGCGUGUGCGUAGGAAUUUUUUUUAAAUUACUGCGUUCCCCAACACAUGCCCCGUCCAAAAAGUCUGAAUCCUUCCUCAGUACGCCUCGGGCCUCCUUUUAUAUGUCAAAGGGGUUGCCACAACAGCACACAUGAGAUGGAAAGUAUGUACAGUCUACUAGUCUAUCGCCUGGCACCAUAGGACAAACGCAUUUAAUGCGCUGCCGAUGUGCCCUCUUGCUUUAUCGGGGGCGGGUAAGAAGCUCGUCCCGUCCGUCGCCGCCUCGCCUCACUCCGAUGCACGUCCAAGCUGACGAGGCAUGCAGCGCCACGCUGGCUGGCUGGUUGCUGAGAUUGCGGUGCCAGGGUCUUCACGAAGAUAUGUAUGCCACCACGUAGGUGCUUGGCUAGUUGGCCUAGAAGCUGCAUGCUGCCAUGCAGGCACUCACCUAGUUGGCAGGCUGGCCGCCAUGUCGGAAUGGGCGCGGGGCAGCGAAACCUUGGUAGGUGUGGGCCUGACUGCGGCUCUGCAGAUGUCCCCGGCAAGGGUCUUGCCGGGGUCUCGUGGGCGUCCCCGUCAAGAGUCUUGCCGGGGGUCUUCGUCUUCUGGUUCUUAUCUAGUCUUGCAGGCCUUUGGUCUUCACAAAGAUCUGCAUACCACCACGCAGGCGCCCCCGAGCCUUGGUCCUGACGUUGUCAAUGGUGUCAGAACUCUCAGGCUCAAGGCUGGCGGUCUUGCUGGUGUUGGGCAAGUUGCCCCGGCAAGGCUUUUUCCGGGGCCGCAUAGGCCGCCCCGGCAACUUGCCGGGAGAAGCCCAUCUUGCCCCUUUGCUCUUCGCGCCUUUGGCUUGAGCGCUGCUUUGGUAGUCUUGUAUCUUUGCUUCUUCUGCCUCGCCAAGCCCGGCCGCAGGUGCGGCUACAACUGACCGUGCACAAGUAAAGGGGUACAGAAGGCCCCUACUUUUGAACACUGACAGGAGCCCCCGGGCCUGGGCCACACAUAAGCGCGGAGCGUUGUUGGGCCAGGCCCAGAACGGUGCGCGGGCACGCGUGGCAGAGCUUUAACUGCGGUAACUCCUUCGCUAGUUGCGCUUCCCCACGACCCGCAUUGAGUACAUGACGUGGGGGUCGUGCAUGGGACGGUUUGUAGGGGACGCUUUCGGAGGUUAGGGCUUGUGAGGAGACCCUGAACAAGGCCCUGGAGGACGAGAAGUGGCUGCGGAGCGAUGACGCCGCCGCCCACAAGGAUUACGUGAAGAGCGUAAACCUCUAGAUCGGCCGCCUCGUCGUCGUCGCGGAGAAGCUCACCACCCAGCUAGCCGACAUAGGCAUGCCGGACGUCAGGUUCUCCCAGGAGACGAAUGUGAGCCCCAACGCCAGGCUGACCUUGUUCUUUGAGCGCAUCCUCGAUGCCCUGGAGCAGCUGCGCUCCAACCGAGCAGCUUAUCUCGCCAAUGAGGCUCGGAAGCUCUGCUGGGGCGCCCUGACCAAGGUGCUCACCAAGGUGGCAUUCUGGAACCCCAGCGUCGACUUCGCCAACGCAUUGGAGAGCUUGCCGGAGGAUGCGGACCUCACGGCGCUCGAGGAGCGUAUCGAGCCCAUCAUCAGCUGCGUCGAUGGAGUCAAGAGGGUGGAGGGCCAGCGCCGGGACUAGGCACCCCGUUUCUCAUCGCCGCUGCGAGUUCAUGACCAAGACAAUUUUAUCUUAAGUUAGAACUGCAGCAACUUAUUGAUGUAAUAUAACUCUGUAGUACUUUGAAACGAAGCAUGCUAUCUUCCUGUUCGAUCUUUCCUUGUAUGUACACAUCCUACGCCUAGUUGGAUAGGUUUGCCGACGCGUAAACCCAUGUUGUGGCGCUUUGAGGAAGGAUCCUUAGCAGCCUGCCGGGGGGCGCUUGCUGCCGGGCAAGCCACCUUGCCAUUCUCAGCGCGGCCGCAUGAACUGUUGAGCGGACUCGAAACAGAACAAGGGUGUUGCCAAUAGCGGAAGGGUUCCAUUGCGUACAGGUUUUCCAUACAAGGAGCAAGAUCUUUUGAGGAAAAUAACCGUACAAAAAGGAAAUUACUCAAGGUUUUGCGUGACUUAGCUUUUCCGUCGUCACGUGGAUGAUCGUCGCGGCUGCGGACGGUACCGGAGUGUGGCUGAUCGACGUCGCCUUCUCCUCUCGAUCCAUCCCGAUGAGGGAAUCGAUGUGUUGGCUUCAAAACCGGAUUAUCACAGCUUCAGCGCUCCCCCUACCUGGCGCGCCAAAGAUUUCGGGGGAAACGACACCUAUGGGAUCACAGGGAAUCCCUACUACGGUCGGUGGGGCGUGGGGCUGUGCAAAGAGCGGGUCUAGAAGAUCAACAUGGGGGAAUUUUUACCCAGGUUCGGGCCGCAAACGAUGCGUAAAACCCUAGUCCUGCUUUGUGUGUAUUUAGUGUUCUUGAGCUCUUGAACUAGCUGCGGUGCAUGCCCAGUCCAAAAAUUCUGAAUCCUGCCUCAGUACGCCUUGGGCCUCCUUUUAUAUGUCAAAGGGGUUGCCACAUCGGCACACAGGAGGUGGAAAGUAUGUACAGUGUACAAGUCUAUCGCCUGGCACCAUAGGACAAAUGCAUUUAAUGCGCUGCCAACGUGCCCUCUUGCUUUAUCGGGGGCGGCAAAGAAGCUCGUCCCGUCCGUCGCCGCCUCGCAUCGCUCCGGCGCACGUCCAAGCUGACGAGGCAUGUAGCGCCACGCUGGCUGGCUGCUGAGCUGGUGCGGUGGCAGGGUCUUCACGAGGAUCUGUAUGCCACCACGCAGGUGCUUGGCUAGUUGGCCUAGAAGAUGCAUGCUGCCACACAGGCGCUCGCCUAGUUGGCGGGCUGGCCGCUACGUCGGAACGGGCGCGGGGCAGCGAAACCUUGGGAGGUGUGGGCCUGACUGCAGCUCUGCAGAUGUCCCCGGCAAGGUGAUACGUCUGCAACGUAUCUAUAAUUUUUUAUCGUUCCAUGCUAUUAUAUUACCUGUUUUGGAUGUUUAUGGGCUUUACUUUACACUUUUAUAUCAUUAUUGGGACUAACCUACUAACCGGAGGCCCAGCCCGAAUUGCUAUUUUUUUUUGCCUAUUUCAGUGUUUCGAAGGAAAGGAAUAUCAAACAGAGUCCAAACGGAAUGAAACCUUCGGGAGCGAUCUUUUUGGAACAAACGCGAUCCAGGGGACUUGGAGUGGACGUCAAGCAACAGAGGAGGCGGCCACGAGGGUGCCCGGUGCGCCCCCUAUAGGUGGGCGCUCCCCCCACCCUCGUGGGCCCCUCGAGCGUCCACCGACCUACUUCUUCCUCCUAUAUAUACCCACGUACCCUGAAACCUUCGGGGAGCACCACGAAAAAUUAUUUCCACCGCCGUAACCUUCUGUAUCCGCGAGAUCCCAUCUUGGAGCCUUCGCCGGCGCUCCGCCGGAGGGGGAAUCAACCAUGGAGGGCCUCUACAUCUUCUCCAAGGCCUCUCUGAUGAGUCGUGAGUAGUUUACCACAGACCUUCGGGUCCAUAGUUAUUAGCUAGAUGGCUUCUUCUCUCUAUUUGAAUCUCAAUACAAAGUUCUCCUCGAUCUUCUUGGAGAUCUAUUCGAUGUAACUCUUUUUGCGGUGUGUUUGUCGAGAUCUGAUGAAUUGUGGGUUUAUGAUCAAGUUUAUCUAUGAGAAAUAUUUGAAUCCCUCUGAAUUCUUUUAUGUAUGAUUAAGUUAUCUAUGCAAGUCUCUUCGAAUUAUCAGUUUGGUUUGGCCUACUAGAUUGAUCUUUCUUGCAAUGGGAGAAGUGCUUAGCUUUGGGUUCAAUCUUGCGGUGUCCUUUCCCAGUGACAGCAGGGGCAACAAGGCACGAAUUGUAUUGUUGCCAUCGAGGAUAAAAAGAUGGGGUUUAUAUCAUAUUGCAUGAGUUUAUCCCUCUACAUCAUGUCAUCUUUCUUAAUGCGUUACUCUGUUCUUAUGAACUUAAUACUCUAGAUGCAUGCUGGAUAGCGGUCGGUGUGUGGAGUAAUAGUAGUAGAUGUAGAAUCGUUUCGGUCUACUUGUCACGGACGUGAUUCCUAUAUACAUGAUCAUGCCUAGAUAUUCUCAUAAUUAUUCGCUUUUCUAUCAAUUGCUCGACAGUAAUUUGUGUUGGAAAUAUGCCCUAGAGGCAAUAAUAAAAUGGUUAUUAUUAUAUUUCCUUGUUCAUGAUAAUUGUCUAUUGUUCAUGCUAUAAUUGUGUUAUCCGGAAAUCGUAAUACAUGUGUGAAUACAUAGACCACAACGUGUCCCUAGUAAGCCUCUAGUUGACUAGCUCGUUGAUCAACAGACAGUCAUGGUUUCCUGACUAUGGACAUUGGAUGUCAUUGAUAACGGGAUCACAUCAUUAGAAGAAUGAUGUGAUGGACAAGACCCAAUCCUAAGCAUAGCAUAAAGAUCGUGUAGUUCGUUUGCUAGAGCUUUUCCAAUGUCAAGUAUCUUUCCUUAGACCAUGAGAUCGUGUAACUCCCGGAUGCCAUAAGAGUGCUUUGGGUGUACCAAACGUCACAACAUAACUGGGUGACUAUAAAGGUGCACUACGGGUAUCUCCAAAAGUGUCUGUUGGGUUGGCACGGAUCGAGACUGGGAUUUGUCACUCCGUAUGACGGAGAGGUAUCUCUGGGCCCACUCGGUAAUGCAUCAUCAUAAUGAGCUCAAUGUGACUAAGGAGUUAGCCACGGGAUCAUGCAUUACGGUACGAGUAAAGUGACUUGCCGGUAACGAGAUUGAACAAGGUAUUGGGAUACCGACGAUCGAAUCUCGGGCAAGUAACGUAUCGAUUGACAAAGGGAAUUGUAUACGGGAUUGAUUGAAUCCUCGACAUCGUGGUUCAUCCGAUGAGAUCAUCGUGGAACAUGUAGGAGCCAACAUGGGUAUCCAGAUCCCGCUGUUGGUUAUUGACCGGAGAGGCGUCUCGGUCAUGUCUGCAUGUCUGCCGAACCCGUAGGGUCUACACACUUAAGGUUCGGUGACGCUAGGGUUGUAGAGAUAUUAGUAUGCGGAAACCCGAAAGUUUUUCGGAGUCCCGGAUGAGAUCCCAGACGUCACGAGGAGUUCCGGAAUGGUCCGGAGGUGAAGAAUUAUAUAUAGGAAGUCCAGUUUCGGCCACCGGGAAAGUUUCGGGGGUUAUCGGUAUUGUACCGGGACCACCGGAAGGGUCCCGUGGGUCCACCGGGUGGGGCCACCUGUCCCGAAGGGCCCCAUGGGCUGAAGUGGGAGGGGAACCAGCCCCUAGUGGGCUGGGGCGCCCCCCUUGGGCCUCCCCCUGCGCCUAGGGUUGGAAACCCUAGGGGUGGGGGCGCCCCACUUGGCUUGGGGGGCAAGCCACCCCCCUUGGCCGCCGCCCCCCCUCAGAUGGGAUCUCCAGGGGGCCGGCGCCCCCCAGGGCCCCUAUAAAUAGUGGGGGGGGGGGAGGGCAGCAGCACCACAGCCCCUGGUGCCUCCCUCCCCCUGCAACACCUCUCCCUCCCGUUUGUGCUUGGCGAAGCCCUGCCGGGAUCCCCGCUACUUCCACCACCACGCCGUCGUGCUGCUGGAUCUCCAUCAACCUCUCCUUCCCCCUUGCUGGAUCAAGAAGGNNNNNNNNNNNNNNNNNNNNNNNNNNNNNNNNNNNNNNNNNNNNNNNNNNNNNNNNNNNNNNNNNNNNNNNNNNNNNNNNNNNNNNNNNNNNNNNNNNNNNNNNNNNNNNNNNNNNNNNNNNNNNNNNNNNNNNNNNNNNNNNNNNNNNNNNNNNNNNNNNNNNNNNNNNNNNNNNNNNNNNNNNNNNNNNNNNNNNNNNNNNNNNNNNNNNNNNNNNNNNNNNNNNNNNNNNNNNNNNNNNNGCUUGCGCUUGGCGAAGCCCUGCCGGGAUCCCCGCUACUUCCACCACCACGCCGUCGUGCUGCUGGAUCUCCAUCAACCUCUCCUUCCCCCUUGCUGGAUCAAGAAGGAGGAGACGUCACUGCUCCGUACGUGUGUUGAACGCGGAGGUGCCGUCCGUUCGGCGCUCGGUCAUCGGUGAUUUGGAUCACGACGAGUACGACUCCAUCAACCCCGUUCACUUGAACGCUUCCGCUCGCGAUCUACAAGGGUAUGUAGAUGCACUCCUUUCCCCUCGUUGCUAGUAAACUCCAUAGAUGGAUCUUGGUGAUGCGUAGAAAAUUUUAAAAUUCUGCUACGUUUCCCAACAGUGGCAUCAUGAGCCAGGCCUAUGCGUAGUUACUAUGCACGAGUAGAACACAAAGCAGUUGUGGGCGUAGAUGUUGUCAAUUUUUCUUGCCGCUACUAGUCUUAUCUUGUUUCGGCGGUAUUGUGGGAUGAAGCGGUCCGGACCGACCUUACACGUACGCUUACGUGAGACAGGUUCCACCGACUGACAUGCACUAGUUGCAUAAGGUGGCUAGCGGGUGUCUGUCUCUCCCACUUUAGUCGGAACGGAUUCGAUGAAAAGGGUCCUUAUGAAGGGUAAAUAGAAAUUGGCAUAUCACGUUGUGGUUUUAAGUAGGUAAGAAACGUUCUUGCUAGAAACCUAUAGAAGCCACGUAAAAACUUGCAACAACAAUUAGAGGACGUCUAACUUGUUUUUGCAGCAUAUGCUUAGUGAUGUGAUAUGGCCAGAAGAUGUGAUGAAUGAUAUAUGUGAUGUAUGAAAUUGAUCAUUUUCUUGUAAUAGGAAUCACGACUUGCAUGUCGAUGAGUAUGACAACCGGCAGGAGCCAUAGGAGUUGUCUUUAUUUUUUGUAUGACCUGCGUGUCAUUGAAUAACGCCAUGUAAAUUACUUUACUUUAUUGCUAAACGCGUUAGCCAUAGAAGUAGAAGUAAUUGUUGGCGUGACGACUUCAUGAAGACACGAUGAUGGAGAUCAUGAUUAUGGAGAUCAUGGUGUCAUGCCGGUGACGAAGAUGAUCAUGGCGCCCCGAAGAUGGAGAUCAAAGGAGCAAAAUGAUAUUGGCCAUAUCAUGUCACUAUUUGAUUACAUGUGAUGUUUAUCAUAUUUUGCAUCUUAUUUUCUUAGAACGACGGUAGUAAGUAAGAUGAUCCCUUAUAAUGAUUUCAAGAAAGUGUUCCCCCUAACUGUGCACCGUUGCGAAGGUUCGUUGUUUCGAAGCACCACGUGAUGAUCGGGUGUGAUAGAUUCUAACGUUCGCAUACAAUGGGUGUUGACGAGCCUAGCAUGUACAGACAUCGCCUCGGAACACACGCAAUACACUUAGGUUGACUUGACGAGCCUAGCAUGUACAGACAUGGCCUCGGAACACGGAAGACCGAAAGGUCGAGCAUGAGUCGUAUAGAAGAUACGAUCAACAUGGAGAUGUUCACCGAUCUUGACUAGUCCGUCUCACGUGAUGAUCGGACACGGCCUAGUUAACUCGGAUCAUGUUUCACUUAGAUGACUGGAGGGAUGUCUAUCUGAGUGGGAGUUCAUUGAAUAAUUUGAUUAGAUGAACUUAAUUAUCAUGAACUUAGUCUAAAAUCUUUAAAAUAUGUCUUGUAGAUCAAAUGGCCCAUGUUGCCCUCAACUUCAACGCGUUCCUAGAGAAAACCAAGCUGAAAGAUGAUGGCAGCAACUAUACGGACUGGGUCCGGAACCUGAGGAUCAUCCUCAUAGCUGCCAAGAAAGAUUAUGUCCUAGAAGCACCGCUAGGUGACGCACCCAUCCCAGAGAACCAAGACGUUAUGAACGCUUGGAAAUCACGUGCUGAUGAUUACUCCCUCGUUCAGUGCGGCAUGCUUUACAGCUUAGAACCGGGGCUCCAAAAGCGUUUUGAGAAACAUGGAGCAUAUGAGAUGUUCGAAGAGCUGAAAAUGGUUUUCCAGGCUCAUGCCCGGGUCGAGAGAUAUGAAGUCUCCGACAAGUUCUUCAGUUGUAAAAUGGAGGAAAAUAGUUCUUUCAGUGAGCACAUACUCAGAAUGUCUGGGUUACACAACCGCUUGUCUCAGCUGGGUUAAUCUCCCGGAUGACGCGGUCAUUGACAGAAUCCUUCAGUCGCUUCCACCAAGCUACAAGAGCUUUGUGAUGAACUUCAAUAUGCAGGGGAUGGAAAAGACCAUUCCUGAGGUAUAUUCAAUGCUGAAAUCAGCGGAGGUGGAGAUCAAAAAGGAACAUCAAGUGUUGAUGGUGAAUAAAACCACUAAGUUCAAGAAAGGCAAGGGUAAGAAGAACUUCAAGAAAGACGGCAAGGGAGUUGCCGCGCCCGGUAAGCCAGUUGCCGGGAAGAAGCCAAGGAAUGGACCCAAGCCUGAGACUGAGUGCUUUUAUUGCAAGGGAAGUGGUCACUGGAAGCGGAACUGCCCCAAAUACUUAGCGGACAAGAAGGCCGACAACACCAAAGGUAUAUGUGAUAUACAUGUAAUUGAUGUGUACCUUACCAGUACUCGUAGUAGCUCCUGGGUAUUUGAUACCGGUGCGGUUGCUCAUAUUUGUAACUCAAAACAGGAGCUGCGGAAUAAGCGGAGACUGGCGAAGGACGAGGUGACGAUGCGCGUCGGGAAUGGUUCCAAGGUCGAUGUGAUCGCCGUCGGCACGCUACCUCUGCAUUUACCUACGGGAUUAGUUUUAAACCUCAAUAAUUGUUAUUUAGUGCCAGCUUUGAGCCUGAACAUUGUAUCUGGAUCUCGUUUAAUUCGAGAUGGCUACUCAUUUAAUCCUAGAAUAAUUGGUUGUUCUAUUUAUAUGAGAGAUAUGUUUUAUGGUCAUGCCCCACUGGUCAAUGGUUUAUUCUUGAUGAAUCUCGAACGUGAUGUUACACAUAUUCAUAGUGUGAAUACCAAAAAAAUGUAAAGUUGAUAACGAUAGUCCCACAUACUUGUGGCACUGCCGCCUUGGUCACAUUGGUGUCAAACGCAUGAAGAAGCUCCAUGCAGAUGGACUUUUGGAGUCUCUUGAUUACGAAUCAUUUGACACGUGCGAACCAUGCCUCAUGGGUAAGAUGACCAAGACUCCGUUCUCCGGAACAAUGGAGCGAGCAACCAACUUAUUGGAAAUCAUACAUACUGAUGUGUGCGGUCCAAUGAGUGUUGAGGCUCGCGGUGGCUAUCGUUAUGUUCUCACUCUCACUGAUGAUUUAAGUAGAUAUGGGUAUGUCUACCUAAUGAAACACAAGUCUGAAACCUUUGAAAAGUUCAAGGAAUUUCAGAGUGAGGUUGAGAAUCAACGUGACAGGAAAAUAAAGUUCCUGCGAUCAGAUCGUGGAGGGGAAUAUUUAAGUCACGAAUUUGGCACACACUUAAGGAAAUGUGGAAUCGUUUCACAACUGACGCCGCCUGGAACACCUCAACGAAAUGGUGUGUCCGAACAUCGUAAUCGCACUCUAUUGGAUAUGGUGCGAUCUAUGAUGUCUCUUACCGAUCUACCGCUCUCAUUUUGGGGCUAUGCUUUAGAGACUGCCGCAUUCACUUUAAAUAGGGCUCCGUCGAAAUCCGUUGAGACGACACCGCAUGAAUUAUGGUUUGGGAAGAAACCUAAGCUGUCGUUUCUAAAAGUUUGGGGAUGCGACGCUUAUGUCAAGAAACUUCAACCUGAAAAGCUCGAACCCAAGUCGGAAAAAUGCGUCUUCAUAGGAUACCCUAAGGAAACCAUUGGGUAUACCUUCUACCUCAGAUCUGAAGGCAAGAUCUUUGUUGCCAAGAACGGGUCCUUUCUGGAGAAAGAGUUUCUCUCGAAAUAAUUGAGUGGGAGGAAAGUGGAACUUGAUGAGGUGAUAGUCACCCCUUCCGAACCGGAAAGUAGCGCAGCGCGGGAAGAUGUUCCUGUGGUGCCUGCACCGACUAGGGAGGAAGUUAAUGAUGAUGAUCAUGAAGCUUCGGAUCAAGUUACUGCUGAACUUCGUAGGUCCACAAGGACACGUUCCGCACCAGAGUGGUACGGCAACCCUGUCCUGGAAAUCAUGUUGUUAGACAACGGUGAACCUUGUAACUAUGAAGAAGCGAUAGCGGGCCCGGAUUCCAACAAAUGGCUUGAAGCCAUGCAAUCCGAGAUAGGAUCCAUGUAUGAAAACGAAGUAUGGACUUUGACUGACUUGCCCGAUGAUCGGCGAGCCAUAGAAAAUAAAUGGAUCUUUAAGAAGAAGACAGACGCGGAUGGUAAUGUGACCAUCUAUAAGGCUCGACUUGUCGCUAAGGGUUAUCGACAAGUUCAAGGGGCUGACUACGAUGAGACUUUCUCACCCGUAGCGAAGCUGAAGUCUGUCCGAAUCAUGUUAGCAAUUGCCGCAUUCUAUGAUUAUGAGAUAUGGCAAAUGGACGUCAAAACGGCAUUCCUUAACGGCUUUCUUAAGGAAGAAUUGUAUAUGAUGUAGCCGGAAGGUUUUGUCGAUCCUAAGAAUGCUAACAAGGUAUGCAAGCUCCAGUGCUCCAUCUAUGGGCUGGUGCAAGCAUCUCGGAGUUGGAACAUUCGAUUUGAUGAGAUGAUCAAAGCAUUUGGGUUUACACAGACUUAUGGAGAAGCCUGGGUUUACAAGAAAGUGAGUGGGAGCUCUGUAGCAUCUCUCAUAUUAUAUGUGGAUGACAUACUAUUGAUGGGAAAUGAUAUAGAAUUCUUGGAAAGUAUAAAGGCCUACUUGAAUAAGUGUUUUUCAAUGAAGGACCUUGGAGAAGCUGCUUAUAUAUUAGGCAUCAAGAUCUAUAGAGAUAGAUCAAGACGCCUCAUUGGUCUUUCAUAGAGUAAGUACCUUGACAAGAUAUUGAAGAAGUUCAAUAUGGAUCAGUCCAAGAAGGGGUUCUUGCCUAUAUUGCAAGGUGUGCAAUUGAGCACGGCUCAAUGCCCGACCACGGCAGAAGAUAGAGAAAAGAUGAGGGUCAUCCCCUAUGCCUCGGCCAUAGGGUCUAUUAUGUAUGCCAUGCUGUGUACCAGACCUGAUGUAAACCUUGCCGUAAGUUUGGUAGGAAGGUACCAAAGUAAUCCCGGCAUGGAACACUGGACAGCGGUCAAGAAUAUCCUGAAGUACCUGAAAAUGACUAAGGAUAUGUUUCUCGUAUAUGGAGGUGACGAAGAGCUCGUCGUAAAGGGUUACGUCGACGCUAGCUUCGACACAGAUCUGGAUGACUCUAAGUCACAAACCGGAUACGUGUAUAUUUUGAAUGGAGGGGCAGUAAGCUGGUGCAGUUGCAAGCAAAGAGUCGUGGCGGGAUCUACAUGUGAAACGGAGUACAUGGCGGCCUCAGAGGCAGCACAGGAAGCAAUCUGGAUAAAGGAGUUCAUUACCGACCUAGGGGUGAUUCCCAAUGCGUCGGGCCCGAUGACUCUCUUCUGUGACAACACUGGAGCUAUUGCCCUUGCCAAGGAGCCCAGGUUUCACAGGAAGACCAGGCAUAUCAAGCGUCGCUUCAACUCCAUUCGUGAAAGUAUUCACAAUGGAGACAUAGAUAUUUGUAAAGUACAUACGGACCUGAAUGUAGCAGAUCCAUUGACUAAACCUCUCCCUAGUUGUCACAUCCCUAGCCUUGCUAUGCACUAGGCUAGCUAGUCAUGCUUGCAUCAUGUCUAAAUUUAUUGAAAGCUGAAAUGGGGAUGACAGAACCCCCAGCACCCCCUGAAACCAACUAGGGUUUACCAAAAUUGGUUUCAAUGAACCCAAAAUGCCCUUCAUAAAAUGUUCAUCAUUUCUGGAUUGGGCUAAAACCCCUGGCAAAAAUGGUGCACACUUUUUAUAGGACAUUCUGGAUUUUUGAAUUAAAUCAUAAGUAUUUGAAUUUGGACAUUUAAAUUCUAUAAAAUAUUUAAACUGUCCAAAUAAUCUUGAAAGCAUUUGAGGGCUGUUGGAAAUAAUUCAAAAGGUGCCCACAAAUAUUUUCAGGAGUUUUGGAAGUGAUUUAGUUUUUUUACUAAAUCAAAACAUAAUAGCAAAAAUAGAAAACAGAAACAAUUAAAGAAAAGAGAGAGAAAGGAGUCUUACCUGGCGCUUACCUGGCCUGGCCCAGCAUGGCCCAGCCCACUGGCCUGGUGCCAGUCAUCGCCUACCUCUGCCAGUAGGCAGAGGAGGGACACCGCGACGCCGCCGCGCGCGCCACGGCGUCACCUGCUUGCCACCUCCUGCCUCCCCCUCGCGUCUGGCGACGCCACGAACCCCCUCGGCCUCUCCCUCGAGCUCUCCCCCUCUCCCCUGGCUCUCUCCCUCGCCGUUCCCCCACCUCACCGAACGCUCCUGCCGCCGCCGACUAGCACCACCGCGGCCAUCGCCUCUCCCUCGUCCCCUUGAGCAGUCCAGAGGCUCCACCUUGACGCCCUCGCCCUCUCCAGCGAACUACACCCCGCCGGGAGGCCUGCUCUGCCGUCACUGCCAUCGGUUUCAACCUCGGGCAUCCGAGAUGCCGCCGGCCGAUUCGUCUGCCCCAGUUCAUCCACGAGCAAGCCGAACCCCUCCUCGUGAUCACUGUGAGCUCCUCCAUCGACUAUCCCUCUUCCCCGACGUCUCCACGCUCCCUAGCCACGGCUCCACCUCCGGCCGAAGCUCUGCUCCGCCAUGGCUGCAGCCCGCGUGCUCCCCGUGCCCCGCUCGUUGCCCCCUGCAACAGGCGUGCUCUGGAGCACCUCCCCUCGUAGCUGCCUUGCUCAGACCCCUCGCCCGUGAGCUCUAGCCGCAACGCUGCACCUCACCGAGCCCCGCCGCCGCUAAAGCUCGUCGCCGGCCAUUUUCCGGCCACCCCGCGCCUCCAACUUCUUCGGUUGGAUGCGGUCGAGCACGGGCUCCCUCCUGGUGCCCUCAGCGCAACCAGCCGCUGCCCCUAGCGCCACCCAGCGAGUCGCCUCCGCACUGGAUGGUCGCCGGCGACCUAACUCCGGCUGUGCCGACGUGGCACGGCCAUUAGGCGCUAACCCCGCUCCUUAAACUGCCCACAACCACUGACAGUGGGCCCCAGGCCUGGUCAAACCCCAGUCAGCGCUGGGUUUGACCGGGAUUAGCCCUGUGUCGCUGACGUGUGGCCCCCACACAUCAGGUUUGACCUGGGUCAACCCAGUUGACUGCUGACACAGGCAUGACGCAGUGCUGACGCAAUUAAUCCUUUUCUGGAUUUAAAAUAAUUCAGGAAAUUCGAGAAAAUGCCCUAAACUUCUAAAAAUCAUAGAAAAUCAACCGUAACUCAGAAUGAAAUAAAUUAUAUAUGAAAAAUGAUCAGAAAAAUCCAGAGAAUCUGAAUAUGGCAUUUUCAUGCAUGUUAGAACAACUUACAGCUGCUGUUUAGGACAAAUCAUGUAAAUGGCAUUUGAAUUCCCACAUAUGAAGUUUGAAUUUGAACCUAAGGUUCAAACCAACUCCAUUUAAUAUGUUGCUAGCUGCAUUAGCUCAAUUCACAGCAUAUUGUCAUGUCACAUUCAUGCAUCAUAUUGUUGCAUUGCAUUGAUUGUGUUUCCCCUCUGUUGCCGGUAUUUGUCCCCUCUCGGUAGACGAUGUUCCGGCGUUGUGAUCGUUGACACUGAUGAAGACUCAAUGCUAUCUUCAGAAGUGCCAGGCAAGCAAAACCCCCUUGCUCAUUCCGAUACAAUCCCAAUCUCUCGCUCCUGCUCUCUUUUACUGCAUUAGGACAACAACGAUUCAUCUGUUACUUGCUGCGGUAGCUGAACCCCUUUAUCCUCUGCAUGACCUGUCAUUGCCAUAGUAAAUAGAUGAAACCCACUAGCAUGAUUAGGAGUUGUUUGAGCCCUGAUGUGCCUACUCAUUCUUGCUUGUUUGUCAUGCCUGCUAUUGCCUAGAGUUGUGUCAGGUCUGAUUCAUCGGGAAUGAAUUAGAAAGUUGUGAACAUGUCCUACUGUUGAGAGCUAAUUGUGUGAACACGAUUUGGUAAAGGUAGCGGUGAGAGGCCAUGUAGGAGUACAUGGUGGGUUGUCUCAUUGAAACCGUCCUCAGGAACUGAGUUCUGUGUUUGUGAUCCAUGAACAGUUACUACCACACAUUGGGUUCCAGUAACUCGACCCCUCUCGGCUUAUUAACCGCCUCGAUCUCUGUCCAGGAGUUGCAACUAGUCUCUGGUGUUUGUAGGUAGUGUUAGUAGUCUACCAAGUGGCACCCGGUACAGGUGGGCUUGGGACAGACUAGGCACACGUGGCCCGGUGUACCGAGUGGCACCCGGAUGGUGGGCUCGGGAACCCUGCACACAUCGUUUGGGGCCGUGAGCGACACCCCGGCCGGAUCUCCUUGCGGAUGGAACCCGAAUAGGCGAUAAACCUGGACUAGAGACUUGUGUGGUUAGUCAGGUCGUGGCCGACUCCCUCGCCAGGCUUCCGCUUGAAGGUUGCCAAGGUACACGACGUGUACAUGGUGGUAAGUGGCGAGAGCGUGUGUGACGAAGUACACCCUUGCAGGGUUAAUAUGAUCUAUUCGAAUAGCCGUGUCCGCGGAAAAGGACUUCUGGGUUGCCUGUACAGUUCAUAGACAAGUGAAAGUGGAUACUCUAAAAUGCGCAAGAUAAGCGUGAGUGCUAUGGAUGGCGUUCUCGUAGGGAGACGGGAGCGGAUCCAUAGUGGAAUAUUGAUAUGGUGAAUAUGUGGACUCGUGUGCGCCACCUCAAAAGAGUUACUUGCAGUAGUAGUUCAGGAUAGCCACCGAGUCAAAGCUGGCUUGCUGCAGUUAAACUCCACCACCCCCUUUGUUGACACCGAUGCAUAUGUAGAUAGUUCUGAUGUAAGUCUUGCUGGGUACAUUUGUACUCACGUUUGCUUAUUUUAUGUUUUGCAGAGAGACGACAGUCUCGCUAGUAGUUCCGUGUGGACUUCGACGUUUAGCUUGUUACCUCAGCUACGAUCUUGUGCCCUCGGCAGGAUCUAGUAAAUAGUCAGGCUUCUCAGCCUUUUUCAUUUGUAGAUGUCUGUACUCAGACAUGAUAAGCUUCCGCAUGUGCUUUGACUUGUAUGCUCUGAAUGUUGGGUCAUGAGACCCAUGUUUGUAAUAUCUGGCUCUUCGGAGCCUAAUGAAUAAAUACUCUGAGUCGUAGAGUCUUGUUGUGAUGCCAUGUUGUAUUUGCACAUAUCGAGCAUAUUGUGUGUAUGAUUGAAAUGCUUGGUAUGUGUGGGAUCCGACAAUCUAGUUGUCUAUCCUUAGCAGCCUCUCUUAUGGGGAAAUGUAGUCUAGUGCCUCCUUGAGCCAUAGUAGUCCGCUACAGCCCGGUUCACCGGAGUCCUGCUAGCCCAGCACUACUGCUCUGGACACUUGACUGGCCGGCAUGUGUUUCAUAUCGUUCCUGUGUCUGUCCCUUCGGGGAAAUGUCACGCGGUGACAUCCGGAGUCCUGCCUAGCCUGCUACAGCCCGGGUUCCCGGAGUCCUGUUAGCCCAGUGCUACAGCCCGGAUUCGCACGCUGCUGACCGACACGUUCGAUGUUGAUUCAUGUAUGCCUGUCCCCAUACGUUAGUGCCGCUUUGGGUUCACGACUAGCCAUGUCGGACCGGGUUCUCUGUCAUAUGGAUGCUAGCGACAUUGUCAUAUACGUGAGCCAAAAGGCGCAAACGGUCCCGGGCCAUGGUAAGGCGACACCCGUGGGAGUACCGUGCGUGAGGCCGCAAAGUGAUAUGAGGUGUUACAGGCUAGAUCGGUGUGACUUGGAAUCGGGGUCCCGACAUCCCUAGAGCAAAACAUGAUCAACACCAGAACUCUAUGGGUGUUCGAUUCAUCACAAUGUAACUAGAUUAUUGAAUCUAGUGCAAGUGGGAGACUAUUGGAAAUAUGCCCUAGAGGCAAUAAUAAAAUGGUUAUUAUUAUAUUUCCUUGUUCAUGAUAAUCUUCUAUUAUUCAUGCUAUAAUUGUAUUGUCCGGAAAUCGUAAUACAUGUGUGAAUACAUAGACCACAACGUGUCCCUAGUAAGCCUCUAGUUGACUAGCUCGUUGAUCAACAGAUAGUCAUGGUUUCCUGACUAUGGACAUUGGAUGUCAUUGAUAACGGGAUCACAUCAUUAGGAGAAUGAUGUGAUGGACAAGACCCAAUCAUAAGCAUAGCAUAAAAGAUCGGGUAGUUUCGUUUGCUAUAGCUUUUCCAAUGUCAAGUAUCUUUUCCUUAGACCAUGAGAUCGUGUAACUCCCGGAUGCCGUAAGAGUGCUUUGGGUGUACCAAACGUCACAACGUAACUGGGUGACUACAAAGGUGCACUACGGGUACCUCCGAAAGUGUCUGUUGGGUUGGCACGGAUCGAGACUGGGAUUUGUCACUCCGUAUGACGGAGAGGUAUCUCUGGGCCCACUCGGUAAUGCAUCAUCAUAAUGAUCUCAAUGUGACUAAGGAGUUAGCCACGGGAUCAUGCAUUACGGUACGAGUAAAGUGACUUGCCGGUAACGAGAUUGAACAAGGUAUUGGGAUACCGACGAUCGAAUCUCGGGCAAGUAACGUACCGAUUGACAAAGGGAAUUGUAUACGGGAUUGAUUGAAUCCUCGACAUUGUGGUUCAUACGAUGAGAUCAUCGUGGAACAUGUAGGAGCCAACAUGGGUAUCCAGAUCCCGCUGUUGGUUAUUGACCGGAGAGGCAUCUCGGUCAUGUCUGCAUGUCUCCCGAACCCGUAGGGUCUACACACUUAAGGUUCGGUGACGCUAGGGUUGUAGAGAUAUUAGUAUUCGGAAACCCGAAAGUCCCGGAUGAGAUCCCGGACGUCACGAGGAGUUCCGGAAUGGUCCGGAGGUGAAGAAUAAUAUAUAGGAAGUCCAGUUUCGGCCACCGGGAAAGUUUUGGGGGUUAUCGGUAUCGUACCGGGACCACCGGAAGGGUCCCGGGGGUCCACCGGGUGGGGACACCUAUCCCGGAGGGCCCCAUGGGCUGAAGUGGGAGGGGAACCAGCCCCUAGUGGGCUGGGGCGCCCCCCCUGGGCCUCCCCCUACGCCUAGGGUUGGAAACCCUAGGGGUGGGGGGCGCCCCACUUGGCUUGGGGGGCAAGCCACCCCCUUGGCCGCCCCCCCUCAGAUGGGAUCUCCAGGGGGCCGGCGCCCCCCAGGGCCCCUAUAAAUAGUGGGGGGAGGGAGGGCAGCAGCACCACAGCCCCUGGCGCCUCCCUCCCCCCUGCAACACCUCUCCCUCCCGCUUGCGCUUGGCGAAGCCCUGCCGGGAUCCCCGCUACUUCCACCACCACGCCGUCGUGCUGCUGGAUCUCCAUCAACCUCUCCUUCCCCCUUGCUAGAUCAAGAAGGAGGAGACGUUGCUGCUCCGUACGUGUGUUGAACGCGGAGGUGCCGUCCGUUCGGCGCUCGGUCAUCGGUGAUUUGGAUCACGACGAGUACGACUCCAUCAACCCCGUUCACUUGAACGCUUCCGCCUCGCGAUCUACAAGGGUAUGUAGAUGCACUACUUUCCCCUCGUUGCUAGUAAACUCCAUAGAUGGAUCUUGGUGAUGCGUAGAAAAUUUUAAAAUUCUGCUACGUUUCCCAACAAUUUGUUCACCCACCGUAAUACUUAUGCUAUCUUGAGAGAAGCCACUAGUGAAACCUAUGGCCCCCGGGUCUAUCUUUUAUCCUAUAAGCUUUCAAUCUACUUUUAUUUGCAUCUUUUACAUUUCCAAUCUAUAUCAUAAAAAUACCAAAAAUAUUUAUCUUAUCAUAUUAUCUCUAUCAGAUCUCACUUUCGCAAGUGGUCGUGAAGGGAUUGACAACCCCUUUAUUGCGUUGUUUGUGAGUUCUUGUUUGUUUGUGUAGGUGCGUGGGACUUUUGAGGAGCCUCCUACUGGAUUGAUACCUUGGUUCUCAAAAACUGAGGGAAAUACUUACGCUACUUUGCUGCAUCACCCUUUCCUCUUCAAGGAAAACCAACGCAAGCUCAAGACGUAGCACAAGGGUCUUGCUGGGGUCUCGUGGGCGUCCCCGACAAGAGUCUUGCCGGGGGUCUUCGUCUUCUGGUUCUUAUCUAGUCUUACAGGACUUUGGUCUUCACAAAGAUCUGCAUGCCACCACGCAGGCGCCCCUAAGCCUUGGUCCUGACAUUCUCAAUGGUGUUAGAACUCUCAGGCUCAAGGGUGGCGGUCUUGCUGGUGUUGGGCAAUUUGCCCCAGCAAGGCUUUUGCCGGGGCCACAUAGGCCGCCCCAGCAAGGCUCUUGCCGGGGGAAGCCCAUCUUGCCCCUUUGCUCUUCGCGCCUCUGGCUUGAGCGCUGCUCUGGUAGUCUUGUAUCUUUGCUUCUUCUGCCUCGCCAAGCCUGGCCGCAGGUGCGGCUACGACUGCCUGUGCACAAGUAAAGGGGUACAGAAGGCCCCUACUUUUGUACACCGACACAGGCCCCCCAAUCUUGCCUCGGUUGGGAGAUGCAAAAUCAAGUGCUACAUUUCAUUAAUGAAGCCCGGCGGAAAGAUCUUCUCUAACUUGCAGAUCAACUCCGACGCCAACUCUUCCAUUUCUUCUAGCAGGCCAGGCGAUAGUUCUUUCGCACAAAGAACACGGAAGAAAUAGCUCAGCUCUGCCAGUACUAGCCAUUCAUCCUCAGGGAUGAAUCCAUGCAACAUCACCGGCAUUACCCACUCAAUCCAUAUAUGCCAAUCAUGACUCUUGAGACCAAAUAUCUUCAAUUUAUCAAGACUCGCUCCCCUCUUUAGAUUCGCUGCAUACCCAUCAAGGAACAUCAACUGCUGUUGCACCCACAAGAUAAUUUCCCUCAUAGCUGGCCUUCCAAGAUUAAAACAUGCCUUUGGCUUCGUCCAGUUCUGCUUUCCUUUCGGUUCUUUCAUGUUUUGUAACAGACUAUCACAUAGCGCCUCCAGAUCGACUCUAGCCUUAGUAUUAUCCUUUGACUUCCCAUCUAUGCCGAAACAAUGUACCAAAAAGUGCCUUGGCGAUAUUCUUCUCAGUGUGCAUCACGUCGAUGUUGUGUGGGCAAAGGAGGUCUUUGAAGUAAGGCAGAUCCCACAAGUAUGUCUUGUGAGUCCAGGCGUGUUUCAAAUUAUACCCCUUGAAAUACCCUGGACGCUCUGGAUCUGGCUCGAGAGCGUUUAACUGAUCCAGGGUCUCUUGGCCUGUCAACGGAGGUGGUGCAGGGUUUUUGACAACUCUACCUCUGAUGAAGUUCUUCUUGUCUUUCCUGAACUUAUGGCGAGGAUCCAGGAACUGCCUAUGCAUGUCGAAGCAAGAAAACUUGUGACCGGCCUAAAGCCAACGAAACUCAAGAGCUCCCUUGCAUGUGGGGCACGGGAACCUUCCAUGCACACACCAACCAACGAAUAGCGCAUACGCUGGCAAGUCAUGCGUCGAGUACAUGUACCAGACACGCAUUAUGAAGUUCCGUUUGCUAAAGGCGUCGUAAGUCUUGAACCCAUUAUCCCAGGCUUCUUGCAAUUCGUCCUUCAGCGGCUGCAUGUACACAUUCAUAUUCUUCCCCGGAUAGUUGGGCCCUGUAAUUAUCAACGUCAGGAAAAUGAUCUUUCUUUGCAUAAUCUGUCCGGGGGGGAGAUUGAGUGGAAAGACAAAUACGGGCCAACAACUGUAUUGGGCUGCCGUCAGACCAAACACACUGAACCCAUCCGUGCUGAUGCCGACUCGAGGAUGCCUCGGAUCUGCCGCUUUGUCAUCAUGUAAUGCAUCGAAGCUCUUCCAUGCUUGACCGUCCGAUGUGUGCACCAUCAUCAGCUUCCCAUCUGCAUCUAGUUGGGUUCUUUUGCCCGUUUUGUGCCAUUUCAUCUAUCUGGCCGUCUCUUCGACCAUGAAAAGACAUUGAAGUUUUGGUACGAUUGGCAUAACCGAAGAACAUUAACGGGGAUUUUGGUCUGCGUCUUCUCACCCAUACCAUUGUCUACCACAACAUACUUGGAUGACUUGCAAAUGGGACAAUAGUUCAAGUCCGCAUACUGAAGCCUAAAUAAAGCACAUCCUUUCUCACAGGCAUGUAUCUUCCCAUAGGGCAUCUUAAGAGCAUGGAGGAUUUUGCCUUACUGGUACAGGUUUGCAGGUAGUGCAUGGCCUUUGGGUAGAAAACAUCCAAAUAUUGUCAUCAUUGUGUCAUAGCAUUCUCUGCCCAAGUUGAAUUGAGCCUUCAGAGCCAUUAUUUGUGAGAUGGCAUCCAGCUGAUAAAACUCGGUGUGCUUGUGAAGAGGACGUUUUGAAGACUCCAACAUUUCAUUGAAGGCCUUUGCAGAUUCCUCCAUCUCAUCGUUCGAGUCCUGAGCAUCAUCAAAGUCUUGCACCAUGUCUUGCAUCCCGGUACCAUGCUCGUCGGUGCGACGAUGAAGCACCUCAGCUCUGGCAUGUUGGGAAGACUCGCCAUGAAAUGUCCACACUGUAUAAUCUGGCGUAAAACCCCACUUCUGCAGGUGUUUUCCCAUUUCAUCCUCUGUCCUCUUGUGCCAAUUGUUGCACCCGGCACAGCGGCACCAUGUUGUCCUCUGGCCAUUUGCAAAUGCGGCUCUCAGAAACCCCUUGGUUUUUGUUAACCAUUCAAUGAUCAUGUCUUUCUGACUAGUGUGACCGGUGUACAUCCACGCACGAUCAGUCAUCUUGCCUAGCUACUGGACACAUAAGAAAUAUAUAUAUAUAUAUAUAUAAAUCAACAUGUAUAUAUUCAUCAGUUAAUGGAGUUUGUCACUUUUAUUAUGUCCAUGCAACCUAGACGCUAAUAGGUAAAGAUAGGUCCUAAUCCCACCCGAGUAUCUGUAGAUUGGGUUUGUUUUCCCAUGCUCUACUCUGGAUCCGACGCAAAAUUUAGGCAGCACCUCCCCACUGUUCUCCUGAUACACGUCUCGGCAAUAAGCAGAGAGGAUGUGUACCCAGAGAACAACAAGGAGGCACUGACGAAAUUCUGCAUCGGAUCCGGAGCAGAGCAUAUGGGAAAACGAACCCAAUCUACACAUACUCGGGCUGUCCAUAGAUAAAGUGGGACAAUUCAAAAGAAUCACGGUUAUAAUAUGCAAAUGCAUGCAUAUUUAUAGAUGUAACCCUUUCGAACGGGAGACGCAUAGUGGUCACGCAUACUGAUGAUUGAAGACCUAUAGCUAGAAAGUUUCAUCGGCACAAAGACCAGAAUAGAGCAAAUCAAGGGGGAGGAGAUGCCAUUUGUGCUAACCCACAAACGCAGGGGCGGAGCUCGUCGAACACUAGACCCUCGCAGCGACGAAAAAACUGCACAUUUAAAUCGAAAGAUGAGUUUCAUAGCAAUAUUGUUUUUUCCGUCAACCUAAGUAAAUAUUUACAACAGGGCGAGCGGGUUAGGGGUUCCUCGGCGUCGAUAGAACCCUAAAUAGCAAGUAUCAUCGGUGCAAGAUACAUGAGGCGCUCGGUGUUGAACACUAGAUCCACGUCCCACAAGUGACGACGGCGCCCGGCGUCCUGCAACAAUAGUUCUGGUGGCCGAUGACGGUCGAACACCUUGGCAAAUUUGUCUGGCAGCCUCUGCGAUGAGGAUUAAUGCCAAGUAUUGAAAUUUCAAACAACCAAACCGACUUGAGUCAGUUUGGGUGUUUCAAGUUUCAACACUUAGCUUUCAAUCGUCAUCUCAGAGGCUGCCAGACAAAUUCGCAAUGGUAUUCGACCGCCAUCGACGCCGAGAACUGUUGAUGCAGGAUGCAGGACCCCUGUGUCACUUGUGGGACGUGGAUGUAGUAUUCGACACUGACGACCACAUGUAUCUCGCACUGACGAUACCUGCUAUUUAGGGUACCAUCGACACCGAGGAACCCCCUAACCCGCUCGUCCCCGGGUAAACUAAAUUAGCAUGCAUUCAAUAAUAAAAACUACAUCAUCUCUUGCAUCCGUACAUCAUAGAAUAUUAUCACUAAUACAACUCAAAUAGUAUCAUACAUAUAGCAUCGCCAAUACAGCUAGAACCGUAGCGAACGACGGGUAUCGGCGCGGGCGAUGGAUACCCAAAGAGAAGGAACCAUCACAGGAUCAUAGCUCCAGUGAGAUCCCUGAAGAACCUGCCAGGUAUUGUCGAACCUGCCCUCCAACGCAACCAUGUAGCGACGGACGUGCUCGUCCUCCUCGCUGACACGGUGACGUACCACCUCCGCAGUGUCUGAAAGCCUCGGCACCGUCACUGGCCCAGGCGACCGCCACCAAACAAGGUUCGGGUCAACAACGGGGUGGCUGCUCACCAAGCUGCGCCCCCCGGAAGGUAGAACCCCCAGUACCAGCCCGGCGGAGCCCAGUCUCGGACAUGGCCCCUCUGAUCAAGCAGGCCUCCUCCGCCGAGUCGACGACGAGGAUGCGGCAUAGGCAUCGUCGACGUCGAUGCGGGAAUAAAUGCUUGAACUAAAAAAUAAUAACAUAUUUCACAUAUUCAAAAUAAACCAGAAACUUAACCUAACCUAAACUAAACUAAACCUAAACUAACUAAACUAAACUAAACCUAAACUAAACCAGAAACUUAACCUAACCUAAACUAAACUAAAUCUAAAGUAAACUAACUAAACUAAACAAAACCUAAACUAAAUUAUACUAAACCUAAUUAAACUAAAUCUAAAAAAACAGAAAAAAGAAGAAAAGGUCUCACCUUGNNNNNNNNNNNNNNNNNNNNNNNNNNNNNNNNNNNNNNNNNNNNNNNNNNNNNNNNNNNNNNNNNNNNNNNNNNNNNNNNNNNNNNNNNNNNNNNNNNNNNNNNNNNNNNNNNNNNNNNNNNNNNNNNNNNNNNNNNNNNNNNNNNNNNNNNNNNNNNNNNNNNNNNNNNNNNNNNNNNNNNNNNNNNNNNNNNNNNNNNNNNNNNNNNNNNNNNNNNNNNNNNNNNNNNNNNNNNNNNNNNNNNNNNNNNNNNNNNNNNNNNNNNNNNNNNNNNNNNNNNNNNNNNNNNNNNNNNNNNNNNNNNNNNNNNNNNNNNNNNNNNNNNNNNNNNNNNNNNNNNNNNNNNNNNNNNNNNNNNNNNNNNNNNNNNNNNNNNNNNNNNNNNGGGACGGCGUGGACAGGGUGGCGCGGAUGGGAUGGGGCGGCGAGGCCGGCCGGAGCGGCACCGUGGGGCGGAGUGGCCCGGUGCGGCAACGCGGGCCGGGGCGGCAACGGGGGCCAGGGCGGUGAGGCGAGGCGUGGUGGGGUGGCGGUGUGGGGUUGGGAUGAGGGAAGCAAGGGAGAGAGAGGGGUAGGGCGAGGGCUUUUUGUUAGAUAGGGCACAACUCUUUGCCGUCCGCUAGCAGACGGCAAAGAGCCUAGCUAACGGAUGCUCUGAGCCGAUUUCAACAUCACGAAGAGCUCGGGAAUCAUUUUCGUUAUCCCUUGCAUAUUAUAGUUCAUCACGAAGUUCUAGUAGCUUGGUGAUAGUGACUAGCGAACUUUGUCAAUCACUAUCUUAUCUGGAAGAUUAAUUUCCACUUGAUUCAAGCGAUUGUAGUACCUAGACAUUCUGAGCACAUGCUCAAUGGUUGAGCUAUUCUCCUCCAUAUCGUAGGCAAAGUACUUGUCAGAGGUCUCAUACCUCUCGACACGGGCAUGAGUCUGAAAUACCAAUUUAAGCUCUUGGAACAUCUCAUAUGCUCCGUGGCGUUCAAAACAUUUUUGAAGUCCCGGUUCUAAGUCGUAAAGCAUGUCGCACUAAACUAUUAAGUAGUCAUCAUAUCGAGCUUGUCAAACAUUCAUAAUGUCUGCAUCUGCUCUUGCAAUAGGUCUGUCACCUAGCAGUGCAUCAAGGACAUAAUUCUUCUGUGCAGCAAUAAGGAUAAUCCUCAGAUCACGGACCCAGUCCCCAUCAUUGCUACUAUCAUCUUUCAACUUAUUUUUUCUCUAGGAUCAUAUCAAAAAAUAAGGGAGCUAUAUCGCGAGCUAUUGAUCUACAGUAUAGAUAUGCAAAACUAGAAGACUAAGUUCAUGAUAAAUUAAGUUCAAUUAAUCAAAUUACUAAUGAACUCCCACUUAAAUCAACAUCCCUCAAGUUGUCUAAGUGAUACAUGAUCUAAAUAAACUAACGCAUGUCUGAUCAUCACAUGAGAUGGGGUAGUCAUCAAUGGUGAACAUCUCUAUGUUGAUCAUAUCUACUAUAUGACUCACGUUUGACCUUUCAGUCUCUAGUGUUCCGAGACCAUGUCUGUACAUGCUAGGCUCGUCAAGUUACAUGUACAAAACUAUCUUACACCCGUUGUAUGUGAAUGUAGAGUGUAUCACACCCGAUCAUCACGUGGUGUCUCGAAACGACGAACUUUCGCAACGGUGCAUACUCGGGGAGAAAACUUAUAUCUUGAAAUUUAGUGAAGGGAUCAUCUUAUAAUGCUACUGUUGUUCGAAGAAAAAUAAGAUGCAUAAAAGAUAAACAUCACAUCCAGUCAAAAUAUGUGACAUGAUAUGGCCAUCAUCAUCUCGUGCUUUUGAUCUCCAUCUCCAAAGCAUCGUCAUGAUAUCAAUCGUCACCGGCUCGACACAUUGAUCUCCAUCGUUGCAUCGUGGUCGUCUCGCCAACUAUUGCUAAUGCAUAGCGAUAAAGUAAAGCAAUUACAUGGCGUUUGCAACUUAUACAAUAAAGAGACAACCAUAAGGCUCCUACCGGUUGCCGAUAAAUUACAAAACAUGAUCAUAUCAUACAAUAACGUAUAUCAUAUCAUGUCUUAACCAUAUCACAUCACAACAUACCCUGGAAAAACAAGUUAGACGUCCUCUACUUUGUUGUUGCAAGUUUUACGUGUCUGCUACGGGCUUCUAGCAAGAAUCGUUCUUACCUACGCAAAAACAACCACAAAGGUGAUUUAUCAAGUUUGUUUUCUAAUCUACUUCAAGGACCAGCCGUAGUCAAAUUUGAUUCAACUAAAGUAGGAGAAACAGACACCCGCCAGCCACCUUUAUGCAAAACAAGUUGCAUGUCAGUCGGUGGAACCGGUCUCAUGUGCGUGGACAUGUAAGGUUGGUCCGGGCCGCUUCAUCCCACAAUACCGCCGAAUCAAAAUAUGACGUUGGUGGUAAGCAGUAUGACUAUCACCGCCCACAACUCUUUGUGUUCUACUCAUGCAUAUCAUCUACACAUAGACCUGGCUCUCAUACCAUUGUUGGGAAUCGUUGCAUGGAAAACAAAAAAAUUCUACGCACUAGCAAUGAUCUAUCCAUGGAGAUGCAUAGCAACGAAGGUAAGAGUAUGUCUACGUACCCUCGUAGACCGUCAGCGGAAGCGUUUCACAACGCGGUUGAUGUAGUCGAACUUUCUUUGCGAUCCAACCGAUCGAGUACCGAACGUACGACACCUCCGUGUUCAGCACACAUUCAGCUCAGUGACGUCCACGCCUUCUUGAUCCAGCAAGACGGCGAGGUAGUGGAUAAGUUUCGACAGCACGACGGCGUGGUGACGGUUAUGGUGAAGUGAUCUCUGCAGUGCUUCGCCUAAGCACUACGAAAAUAUGACCGGGGGUGUAAACGGUGGAGGGGGGCGCCACACACGGCUAGGCAAUUGUCUGUUGUGUGCUAGGCGCCCCCUCCCACAUAUAUAUAGGUGGGAGCGAGGGAGGAGCAGCCAAAGAAGGCGCCCAAGUAGGAGGAAUCCUACUUGGGGUCUCUCCCAAGCCACGCCCCCUUUCCUUAUUUGGAGCGCGAGGAAAGGCAGGGGAGGGUGGCGCCCCCCUUUCCUUUCUCCCAUGAGAGGGAAAGGCAGGAGGGGCUAGCUCUCCCCCUUUUCCUUCCCUAGGCCUGGCCAACCAAGGGAGGAGGCGCACCAGCCCCCUUGUGGGCUGGUCUGUCUCCUCCUUUGGCCCAUAAGGCCCAUAACUUGCCGGGGGGUGCCCGGAACCCGUUUCGGUGACCCGAUUCAUUCCUGGUACGUCCCGAAACACUUCAGGUGUCAAAAUACGAUCGUCCUAUAUAUCAAUCUUUACCUCUUGACCAUUUCGAGACUCCUCGUCAUGUCCGGCAUCUCAUCCGGGACUCCGAACAACAUUCGGUCACCAAAACAUAUAACUCAUAUAACACUAUAUCAUCAACGAAUGUUAAGCGUGCGGACCCUACGGGUUCGAGAACUAUGUAGAAAUGACCGAGACACCUCUCCAGUCAAUAACUAAUAGCGAAACCUGGAUGCCCAUAUUGGCUCCUACAUAUUCUACGAAGAUCUUUAUCGGUCGAACCGUUAUGACAACAUACGUAAUUCCCUUUGUCCAUCGGUAUGUUACUUGCCCGAGAUUCGAUCGUCGGUAUCUCUAUACCUAGUUCAAUAUCGUUACCGACAAGUCUCUUUACUCGUUCCGUAAUACAUUGAAGGAAAUAUACCCUAGAGGCAAUAAUAAAGUAUUAUUUAUUUCCUUAUAUCAUGAUAAAUGUUUAUUAUUGAUGCUAGAAUUGUGUUAACCGGAAACAUAAUACAUGUGUGAAUACAUAGACAAACAGAGUGUCACUAGUAUGCCUCUACUUGACUAGCUCGUUAAUCAAAGAUGGUUAUGUUUCCUAGCCAUAGACAUGAGUUGUCAUUUGAUUAACGGGGUCACCUCAUUAGGAGAAUGACGUGAUUGACUUGACCCAUUCCGUUAGCUUAGUACUCGAUGUUUAGUAUGUUGCUAUUGCUUUCUUCAUGACUUAUACAUGUUCCUAUGACUAUGAGAUUAUGCAACUCCCGUUUACCGAAGGAACACUUUGUGUGUUACCAAACGUCACAACGUAACUGGGUGAUUAUAAAGGUGCUCUACAGGUGUCUCCAAAGGUACUUGUUGGGUUGGCGUAUUUCGAGAUUAGGAUUUGUCACUCCGAGUGUCGGAGAGGUAUCUCUGGGCCCACUCAGUAAUGCACAUCACUAUAAGCCUUGCAAGCAUUGUAAUUAAUGAGUUAGUUGCGGGAUGAUGUAUUACGGAACGAGUAAAGAGACUUGCCGGUAACGAGAUUGAACUAGGUAUCGAGAUACCGACGAUCGAAUCUCGGGCAAGUAACAUACCGAUGACAAAGGGAACAACGUAUGUUGUUAUGCGGUCUGACCGAUAAAGAUCUUCGUAGAAUAUGUGGGAACCAAUAUGAGCAUCCAGGUUCCGCUAUUGGUUAUUUACUGGAGAGGUGUCUCGGUCAUGUCUACAUAGUUCUCGAACCCGUAGGGUCCGCACGCUUAACGUUACGAUGACAGUUUUACUAUGAGUUUACGUAUGUUGAUGUACCGAAGGAGUUCGGAGUCCCGGAUGAGAUCGGGGACAUGACGAGGAGUCUCGAAAUGUCCGAGACGUAAAGAUUGAUAUAUUGGACGACUAUAUUCGGACUUCGGAAAGGUUCCGAGUGAUUCGGGUACUUUUCGGAGUACCGGAGAGUUACGGGAAUUCGUAUUGGGCCUUAAUGGGCCAUACGGGAAAGGAGAGAAAGGCCCCAAAGGGAGGCCGCACCCCUCCCCAUGGACUAGUCCGAAUUGUACUAGGGAGGGGGGGCGCCCCCUUCCUUCUUUCUCCUUCUCCCUUCCCUUUUCCUACUCCAACAAGGAAAGGAGGAGUCCUACUCCCGGUGGGAGUAGGACUCCCCCCUUGGCGUGCCUCCUCCUAGGCCGGCCGCCUCCCCCCUUGCUCCUUUAUAUACGGGGGCAGGGGGCACCUCUAGACACACACAAUUGAUCAACGAUCUUUUAGCCGUGUGCGGUGCCCCCCUCCACCAUAUUACACCUCGAUAAUAUCGUGGCGGAGCUUAGGUGAAGCCUUGCGUCGGUAGAACAUCAUCAUGGUCACCACGCCGUCGUGCUGACGAAACUCUCCCUCAACACUCGGCUGGAUCGGAGUUCGAGGGACGUCAUCGAGCUGAACGUGUGCUGAACUCGGAGGUGCCGUGCGUUCGGUACUUGAUCGGUCGGAUCGUGAAGACGUACGACUACAUCAACCGCGUUGUGUUAACGCUUCCGCUAUCGGUCUACGAGGGUACGUGGACAACACUCUCCUGUCACAACCGGUUUUCCAAUAAAAAUAUUUAUUGAGAGACCGAUCCCUUUUAUGGACCAGUAAAGAAGAAUUCCUUCUCACUGGUAGACAAUAUCUUGGUCACAGAAGAAAAAUACCAGGAGUACUGAAUAUAAUACAAGGUUGAGCGGAGACUGCUCAACAAUUUAUUACAAGCGCGCCAAUAAUACAUAAAGGCGGAUAGGGUGGCAUAACUACUAACUCACGAUAAAAGCGGUGGUGGAAAAUAUCACAGCGGAGUGGGUGAUAUGACUCCUGAAAACUAACAGCUCUUCGAGCGUCGGAGUGAGGCUCGAGGAGACUUAUUGAGGGUGGCGGAAGCGUAUACGAUACAAGUGACCAAUAUCCAGGAUCGCACGGGGCUGACUGGGAUUCCUCUAGGCGUCGAACUCACUAUCAAACUCUUCAUCCAUGAGAUCGCCUUCGUCAACAUCUGGCCAAAUCAACAAGCCAGGUGAGUACUAUGAAAGUACUCGCAAGACAGUUCGGACAUAAGAUAUAACAAAUGUAAACAUGAUGCAUAUGAACAGAUUAACAAGAGCACUCAGACAGAGGGAUAAUGAUGCGUGGGAAAUAAAAGAGAAGUCGGGCGGUAGUCCUCCCGAAAUCGCAAAGUAAAUACUGAGGGCCAAACGAGUGUCUGAAUGACUCCUCGAGAGGAAAAUACAAGAAUAAUAAUGCCGCAGUCGGGCGUCAAGGCGACACCACAUAAAGGGCUUAUAAUAGAAUAUAAAAGACAGUGCGUGCCACAGUCGGACGUCUGAGCGACAUCACAUAAAGGGCUUUAAUAGAUUAUAAAAGACAGUGCGUGCCACAGUCGGACGUCUGAGCGACAUCACAUAAAGGGAUUUAAUAGAAUAUAAAAGACAGUGCGUGCCACAGUCGGACGUCUGAGCGACAUCACAUAAAGGGCUUAUAUCAAAAGUAAAUAACGAGAGUGCCACAGUCGGACGUCUGAAGCGACAUCACAUAAAGGGCUUAUAUUGAAAGAAUAAAUAACAGUGCAUGCCACAGUCGGACGUCUGGGCGACAUCACAUAAAGGGCUUCAUAACUUAAUAUCUCAGUAGCUCAAGAAUUUAAUUCAUAUCAAGGGAAUAAUCAGGUAUGAGAUAAACAACCGGGGUUAGUCCAUCCACAGGAAUAACGUUCAACCAAGUUUACCACUCAAGUUUGUUCACCGGGGAUUUACCACGAAGAUUGACAUAGAUAUGGAUUUACUGGCCAUGGUCCUUGACCAUGGAUACGAUGACUCGGAAGGAUUUUGACUCUGCAGAGUUUCUACUUUAACCACAGCCAACGGAUUUCAGUAGUCACGGGGACUAGUUCCGUUUACGGUGUUUUGGAAGAAACACAUCUAACCAGUACACACCCAUUCAACAUUUCGAAGCCAGGAAUCACCCUCGGCAACGUUCAAGAAAAACCUUGAGACGGGGAGGCUACAACCUCGCGUAGCAUGGGAUCAAAUUUAUAUACGCGCGCUCUAAGGGGUGCCCCCCUCUCGGUCCCAACCGGAAACACCCAUGCCCCCUGACCGGAUGACUGGCUUUAAUCCAGGGCCAUGGAACCCUCAUCCCGGCCCCUCUAUUUGGUGUGUACAUGGAAAGAGGUUACCAACUUACUAAACCGUAUUCUUGGCAGAAAACAUGUGGCGGCACGGAAGGGGGAAGAACGAUAACGUGACUCCGUCCACGUUAACGUCAGAAUUUAUCGGACCUCGUAAGGCUGGCAUGCUACAACAAUACCACCUUAUUGCCUUUCAUGUCACCACAUGACUAGGCCAUCUCCCAUCAGAGAUCACAGUAACUUCGGAACUCACGGAUAGUUGCCUCACAUGCAACGAGAUACUCACCGAUGCUCAUAUGCCAUGCACAACCAUUCAAGCAAACAUGCAAAACACCUAUCAUAUCAAAGGUUCAAACAUGCUUGCCUGGUUCGGAGAAGUCGGAGUCUAGCUCGGCGAAGUUCGCGGCUCCGUCACCUCUUCCGGAACCUACGGUAUAGCGAAAACGUAUACUAACGUGAAAAUCAUCGCGUGCAUAAAAGUUGUUCCAAAAAAUUUCCAAAUAAAUACUAUAAAAAACUAGACAAAAAUAUAAGACUGUCAGAAAAAGAAUCACUUUUCAUUAAAAAGUUAUAAGGGUUUUUGUUCAGGGACUAAUCUAUGAUGAAACAGAAAAGAACCAGGGACUUAACUGAGAAAACAGAAAACGGUUCGAAGAGAAACGCGCCAGCCCACAGAGAAAAUGUACUCGCCCGAAGGCGCCAACAGAAAACGCUUCGGGGAGAGAAAGAAGAGAGGCUGACGUGGGGGUCCCACAUGUCAGGUUUAAAUCCUCGCCGGCGCCCGAAGGCUGCGGUGGUCGCCAGCGUCGAACCACGGCGAGUCAGGGAGAUCGGAGUGUACCAAGAGGUUCAGCGUGUUCUUCCGCGUCGGUGGGUGGUGGACUUGGUCGUCGGAGAGCACCACGUCGACGGCGACACUUUCUCCGGCGGACGGCGGCUCGGGCGAUGGUGGAGAACUCCGGUGGGUGCUGCAAACUCCGAAUUGAAGCGCGGGUCAGGAGAGUGGAUGCAUAAGAGAGCUACUGGCAAGAGUUGGGGGUUAGAGGUGCACGCACGGGAGCGAAUCGAGCUGGAUCCCGUGGCGGGUCGCGGCGGCCGGAGUUGGGGAAGAAGGCUCCCUCGGGGCUCUUCCAGUGGCUAGGCGUGGUGUUGGAGGUGUGUAGAGGUGGUGUGGGUUCUAGUUGGAGCUCGGGGCCUCUAUUUAUAGGCGGUUCGAGGGGGUGGCCGUGAACGGGAUCGCUCCGGCGAGCAAUUACGGCGAGGUAAUGGCUUGGCAGGGAGCUUAAGUGGCCAGGCAGCAUCAGGGAGGUGUAUUGGUACCGUUCCCCCGCUAAUCCAGGUCGGGCUUGGCGUAAUGGCGCCGGUCCUCGACGGGGUGGCCGUACGGGCACGGCGGCGGCAGAGAGCGCGCUCCGCGCCUAGCGGUUCACGACGAGGGUGGUAGCGCGCACUGGGGAGUGGAUGGCCACGCGGCGACCUCCGGUGGCUUGGGCGGUGCUGGGUGGCGCCGUCUGCGCUGCGCCUCUCUCUGGUGGCCGCAAAGCCGCCGCUGCCGUCGGUCACGGGGCGGCGCACCUCCUCCUGCUCGUCGCCGACGCUCGCAACCCUCCAGGUGCUCGUGCGGUGCAGAGGACAAGGGGAGGGGACAGGAAGCACGGCGACGCCGGGGCACUGGCGAGAUCGACAACGGACACUGAAGAAACGACAGUAGUUUCAGACACUGUUAACUGAACUUGACUGAACAUUAGAGAAACAGUGUCCAGCAGGUGUUCGAUGAAAUGAUUUGGCAAGAAGAAAAAUUUUCCUGGAGCUGGGAUUUGGUGAGGUGACCUCUCAAUGCACCCAGAGGCUGCCUGAUUUUUCUCAGAUUUUUAGGAGAAGGAUUUGAAUGAAUUUCAUCAAAUUUGGCAAAUCUGGUCGAAACUUGCAGCAAGUAUAGUUUGAAAAUUUUGAACUGGAGACCAAUGGAUCUUCAUGGAUCCUGGUUGAGGGUUCAAAGGACUAGCUAGGGAAAUUGGUUUGGAGACAAAAUUCAAAGCAGAAAGAGUAGCUCCUUUGUAAACCUCCAAGGAUCAAGAUAGAAGGCAGAAAUUGUUUUUGAUAAGAAAUAAAUGGAAAUAAAUAUAUGGAGAGGUUCAACUUGCUGGAUUUGAGGUAUAUUAUGAUCCAAAGGUGGGGAAAGGUUUAUGGGAGUGGAUUUGCACUAAGGUCAUGGCAAGAGAGAUUUUUGAAAGUGGACAAGGAUCAUUCCAAAAGCCAUAGGGCCUUUUUAAAGGAAUUUUCAAAAGACAUUUUUUUCCAAGUGAAAAGCAUUUUGGUUUGAGUCCAAAUAAAAAGGGCAAACCUCCAAGACCAAAAUCAAGUCUUGGGUGAAUCCAAAUGAAACACUUGCCAUAAAGGAAAGUUUUUGAGAGGGAGAGUUCUUUAGAAGAAAAUUUAAAUACCCUCCUCAAAUAAAAGUUUGAAAAAUCCAAUUAAAAAUUUUGGGUGUCACAUCUCCCCUCUCGUUGCUAUGCAUCACCAUGAUCUUGCGUGUUCGUAGGAAAUUUUUUGAAAUUACUACGUUCCCCAACAGUGGCAUCCGAGCCUGGUUUUAUGCGUUGACGCUAUGCACGAGUAGAACACAAGUGAGUUGUGGGCGAUAUAAGUCAUACUGCUUACCAGCAUGUCAUACUUUGGUUCGGCGGUAUUGUGAGAUGAAGCGGCCCAGACCGACAUUACGCGUAUGCUUACACGAGACUGGUUUCACCGUUGCGAGCACUCGUUGCUUAAAGGUGACUGGCGGGUGUCUGUCCCUCUCACUUUAGUUGAACCGAGUGUGGCUACGCCCGGUCCUUGCGAAGGUUAAAACAGCACCAACUUGACAAACUAUCGUUGUGGUUUUGAUGCGUAGGUAAGAACGGUUCUUGCUAAGCCCUUAGCAGCCACGUAAAACUUGCAACAACAAAAUAGAGGACGUCUAACUUGUUUUUGCAGGGCAUGUUGUGAUGUGAUAUGGUCAAGACAUGGUGCUAUAUUUUAUUGUAUGAGAUGAUCAUGUUUUGUAACCGAGUUAUCGGCAACUGGCAGGAGCCAUAUGGUUGUCGCUUUAUUGUAUGCAAUGCAAUCGCCAUGUAAUUGUUUUACUUUAUCACUAAGCGGUAGCGAUAGUCGUAAAAGCAAUAAGUUGGCGAGACGACAACGAUACUACGAUAGAGAUCAAGGUGUCGCGCCGGUGACGAUGGUGAUCAUGACGGUGCUUCGGAGAUGGAGAUCACAAGCACAAGAUGAUGAUGGCCAUAUCAUAUCACUUAUAUUGAUUGCAUGUGAUGUUAAUCUUUUAUGCAUCUUAUCUUGCUUUGAUUGACGGUAGCAUUAUAAGAUGAUCUCUCACUAAAAUUUCAAGAUAAAAGUGUUCUCCCUGAGUAUGCAACGUUGCGAAAGUUCUUCGUGCUAAGACACCACGUGAUGAUCGGGUGUGAUAGGCUCUACGUUCAAAUACAACGGGUGCAAAACAGUUGCGCACGCGGAAUACUCAGGUUAAACUUGACGAGCCUAGCAUAUGCAGAUAUGGCCUCGGAACAUGGAGACCGAAAGGUCGAGCGUGAAUCAUAUAGUAGAUAUGAUCAACAUAGUGAUGUUCACCAUUGAAACUACUCCAUCUCACGUGAUGAUCGGACAUGGUUUAGUUGAUAUGGAUCACGUGAUCACUUAGAGGAUUAGAGGGAUGUCUAUCUAAGUGGGAGUUCUUAAGUAAUAUGAUUAAUUGAACUUGAAUUUAUCAUGAACUUAGUACCUGAUAGUAUUUUGCAAAUUAUGUUGUAGAUCAAUAGCUCGCGUUGUUGCUUCCCUGUAUUUUUGAUAUGUUCCUAGAGAAAAAUUAUGUUGAAAGAUGUUAGUAGCAAAGAUGCGGAUUGGAUCCGUGAUAUGAGGAUUAUCCUCAUUGCCGAACAGAAGAAUUAUGUCCUUGAUGUACCGCUAGGUGACAGACCUAUUGCAGGAGCAGAUGCAGACGUUAUGAACGUUUGGCUAGCUCAAUAUGAUGACUACUUGAUAGUUUAGUGCACCAUGCUUAACAGCUUAGAAUCGGGACUUCAAAGACGUUUUGAACGUCAUGGACCAUAUCAGAUGUUCCAGGAGUUGAAGUUAAUAUUUCAAGCAAAUACCCGAGUUGAGAGAUAUGAAGUCUCCAACAAGUUCUAUAGCUAAAAGAUGGAGGAGAAUAGCUCAAGCAGUGAGCAUGUGCUCAGAUUGUCUGGGUACUACAAUCGCUUGAAUCAAGUGGGAGUUAAUCUUCCAGAUAAAAUAGUGAUUGACAGAAUUCUCUAGUCACCAUCACCAAGUUAGUAGAACUUCGUGAUGAACUAUAGUAUGCAAGGGAUGACGAAAGUAAUUCCAGAGCUCUUCGUGAUGCUGAAAUCGACGAAGGUAGAAAUCAAGAAAAACAUCAAGUGUUGAUGGUUGACGAGACCACUAGUUUCAAGAAAAGGGCAAAGGGAAGAAGGGGAACUUCAAAAAGAACGGCAAGCAAGUUGCUACUCAAGUGAAGAAGCCCAAGUCUGUACCUAAGCCUGAGACUAAGUGCUUCUACUGCAAAGGGACUGGUCAUUGGAAGCGGAACUACGCCAACUAUUUGGUGGAUAAGAAGGAUGGCAAAGUGAACAAAGGUAUAUUGGAUAUACAUGUUAUUGAUGUGUACUUUACUAGUGUUUAUAGCAACCCCUCAACAUUUGAUACUGGUUCAGUUGCUAAGAGUAGUAACUCGAAACGGGAGUUGCAGAAUAAACAGAGACUAGUAAAAGGCGAGGUGACGAUGUGUGUUGGAAGUAGUUCCAAGAUUGAUAUGAUCAUCAUCGCACACUCCCUGUACUUUCGGGAUUACUGUUGAAACUAAAUAAGUGUUAUUUGGGGUUUGCGUUGAGCAUGAAUAUGAUUUGAUCAUGUUUGUUGCAAUACGGCUAUUCAUUUAAAUUAGAGAAUAAUUGUUGUUCUGUUUACAUGAAUAAAACCUUCUAUGGUCAUACACCCAAUAAAAUGGUUUGUUCGAUCUCGAUCGUAGUGAUACACAUAUUCAUAAUAAUGAAGCCAAAAGAUGCAAAGUUAAUAAUGAUAGUGCAACUUAUUUGUGGCACUGUCGUUUAGGUCAUAUUGGUUUAAAGCGCAUGAAGAAACUCCAUACUGAUGGGAUUUUGGAAUCACUUGAUUAUGAAUCACUUGAUGCUUGCGAACCGUGCCUCAUGGGCAAGAUGACUAAAACGCCGUUCUCCGGAACUAUGGAGAGAGCAACAGAUUUGUUGGAAAUCAUACAUACAGAUGUAUGUGGUCCUAUGAAUAUUGAGGCUCGUAGCAGGUAUCAUUAUUUUAUGACCUUCACAGAUGAUUUGAGCAGAUAUGGGUAUAUCUACUUAAUGAAACAGAAGUCUGAAACAUUUGAAAAGUUCAUAUAAUUUCAGAGUGAAGCGGAAAAUCAUCGUAACAAGAAAAUAAAGUUUCUACGAUCUGAUCGUGGAGAAGAGUAUUUGAGUUACGAGUUUGGCCUUCAGUUAAAACAAUGUGAAAUAGUUUCACUACUCACGCCACCUGGAACACCACGGUGUAAUGGUGUGUCCCAACAUCGUAACCGUACUUUAUUAGAUAUGGUGCGAUAUAUGAUGUCUCUUACCGAUCUACCACUAUCGUUUUGGGGUUAUGCAUUAGAGACAGCUGCAUUCACGUUAAAUAAGGUACCAUCUAAAUCCGUUGAGACGACAUCUUAUGAACUGUGGUUUGGCAAGAAACCAAAGUUGUCGUUUCUUAAAGUUUGGGGUUGCGAUGCUUAUGUGAAAAGGUUUCAUCCUGAUAAGCUCAAACCCAAAUCGGGGAAAUGUGUCUUCAUAGGAUACCCAAAGGAGACAGUUGGGUACACCUUCUAUCACAGAUCUGAAGGCAAGACAUUCGUUGCUAAGAAUGGAUCCUUUCUAGAGAAGGAGUUUCUCUCGAAAGAAGUGAGUGGGAGGAAAGUAGAACUUGAUGAGGUAACUGUACCUCAUCGCUUAUUGGAAAGUAGUUCAUCACAGAAAACCGGUUCCUGUGACACCUACACCAAUUAGUGAGGAAGUUAAUGAUGAUGAUCAUGAAACUUCAGAUCAAGUUGUUACUGAACCUCGUAGGUCAACCAGAGUAAGAUCCGCACCAGAGUGGUACGGUAAUCCUGUUCUGGAGGUUAUGUUACUAGACCAUGACGAACCUACGAACUAUGAAGAAGCGAUGGUGAGCCCAGAUUCCGCAAAAUGGCUUGAGGCCAUGAAAUCUGAGAUGGGAUCCAUGUAUGAGAACAAAGUAUGGACUUUGGAUGACUUGCCCGAUGAUCGGCAAGCCAUAGAAAAUAAAUGGAUCUUCAAGAGGAAGACAGACGCUGAUAGUAGUGUUACUAUCUACAAAGCUAGAAUUGUCGCAAAAGGUUUUCGACAAGUUUAAGGUGUUGACUACGAUGAGAGUUUCUCACUCGUAUCUAUGCUUAAGUCUGUCUGAAUCAUGUUAGCAAUUGCCGCAUUUUAUGAAAUAUGGCAAAUGGAUAAACAAAACUGCAUUCCUUAAUGGAUUUAUUAAAGAAGAGUUGUAUAUGAUGCAACCAGGAGGUUUUGUCAAUCCUAAAAGUGCUAACAAAAUAUGCAAACUCCAGCGAUCCAUCUAUGGACUGGUGCAAGCAUCUCGGAGUUGGAAUAUACGCUUUGAUAAGUUGAUCAAAGCAUAUAGUUUUAUACAGACUUGCGGUGAAGCCUGUAUUCACAAGAAAGUGAGUGGGAGCACUACAGCAUUUCUGAUAAGUAUAUGUGAAUGACAUAUUGUUGAUCGGAAAUAAUGUAGAAUUAUUCUGCAAAGCAUAAAGGAGUGUUUGAAAGGAGUUUUUCAAAGAAAGACCUCGGUGAAGCUGCUUACAUAUUGAGCAUCAAGAUCUAUAAAGAUAGAUCAAGACGCUUGAUAAGUUUUUUCAAUGAGUACAUACCUUAACAAGAUUUUGAAGUAGUUCAAAAUGGAACAGUCAAAGAAAGAGUUUCUUGCCUGUGUUACAAGGUGUGAAAUUGAGUAAGACUCAAAGCCCGACCACGGCAGAAGAUAGAAAAAGAAUGAAAGUCAUUCCCUAUGCCUCGGCCAUAGGUUCUAUAAAGUAUGCCAUGAUGUGUACCAGAUCUAUUGUAUACCCUACACUGAUUUUGGCAAGGGAGUACAAUAGUGAUCUAGGAGUAGAUCACUAGAUAGCGGUCAAAAUUAUCCUUACUGGAAUAAGGAUAUGUUUCUCGAUUAUGGAAGUGACAAAAGGUUCGUCGUAAAGGGUUACGUCGAUGCAAGUUUUGACAUUAAUCUAGAUGACUCUAAGUCUCGGUCUAGAUACAUAUUGAAAGUGGGAGCAAUUAGCUAAGAGUAGCUCCGUGCAGAGCAUUGUAGACAUAGAAAUUUGCAAAAUACUUACGGAUCUGAAUGUGACAGACCCGUUGACUAAAAUUAUCUCACAAUCAAAACAUGAUCACACCUUAGUACUCUUUGGGUGUUAAUCACAUAGCGAUGUCAACUAGAUUAUUGACUCUAGUAAACCCUUUGAGUGUUGGUCACAUGACAAUGUGAACUAUGGGUGUUAAUCACAUGGUGAUGUGAAUUAUUGAUGUUAAAUCACAUGGCGAUGUGAACUAGAUUAUUGACUCUAGUGCAAGUGGGAGACUGAAGGAAAUAUACCCUAGAGGCAAUAAUAAAGUAUUAUUUAUUUCCUUAUAUCAUGAUAAAUGUUUAUUAUUCAUGUUAGAAUUGUAUUAACCGGAAACAUAAUACAUGUGUGAAUACAUAGACAAACAGAGUGUCACUAGUAUGCCUCUACUUGACUAGCUCGUUAAUCAAAGAUGGUUAUGUUUCCUAGCCAUAUACAUGAGUUGUCAUUUGAUUAACGGGGUCACCUCAUUAGGAGAAUGACGUGAUUGACUUGACCCAUUCCGUUAGCUUAGCACUCGAUCGUUUAGUAUGUUGCUAUUGCUUUCUUCAUGACUUAUACAUGUUCCUAUGACUAUGAGAUUAUGCAACUCCCAUUUACCGGAGGAACACUUUGUGUGCUACCAAACGUCACAACGUAACUGGGUGAUUAUAAAGGUGCUCUACAGGUGUCUUCAAAGGUACUUGUUGGGUUGGCGUAUUUCGAGAUUAGGAUUUGUCACUCCGAGUGUCGGAGAGGUAUCUCUGGGCCCACUCAGUAAUGCACAUCACUAUAGGCCUUGCAAGCAUUGUAACUAAUGAGUUAGUUGCGGGAUGAUGUAUUACGGAACGAGUAAAGAGACUUGCCGGUAACGAGAUUGAACUAGGUAUCGAGAUACUGACGAUCGAAUCUCGGGCAAGUAACAUACCGAUGACAAAGGGAACAACGUAUGUUGUUAUGCGGUCUGACCGAUAAAGAUCUUCGUAGAAUAUGUGGGAACCAAUAUGAGCAUCCAGGUUCCGCUAUUGGUUAUUGACUGGAGAGGUGUCUCGGUCAUGUCUACAUAGUUCUCGAACCCGUAGGGUCCGCACGCUUAACGUUACGAUGACAGUUUUAUUAUGAGUUUAUGUAUGUUGAUGUACCGAAGGAGUUCGGAGUCCCGGAUGAGAUCGGGGAUGUAACGCCCACGAUGCGGCUAUAUCUCCCACGUGUCGAGGCAAGACUUAGAGGCAUAACCGCAUAGUGGUUUUGUCGCAAGAAGGGUCAUCUUCACACAAUCCCAUGUAAUGAACAAGAAUGGGAUAAAGAGUUGGCUUACAAUCGCCACUUCACACAAUACAUGAAUAUAAUUCAUACAUCAUCCAAAAUACAAACAUAUAGACCGACUACGGUCAAAAUCCAAAUGAAAAUAAGAUAACCCCAAAUGCUAGAUCCCUGAUCGUCCCAACUGGGCUCCACUACUGAUCAUCAGGAAAAGACACAUAGUAACGGCCACGUUCCUCAUCGAACUCCCACUUGAGAUCGAUCCCAUCAACUGCACUGGCAUCGUCGGCACCUGCAACUGUUUUGGUAGAAUCUGUGAGCCACGGGGACUCAGCAAUCUCACACCCGCGAGAUCAAGACUAUUUAAGCUUAAGGCAAAGGAUGGUGUAAUGAGGUGGAGCUGCAGCGGCAAAAGCAUAUAUGGUGGCUAACAUACGCAAAUGAGAGCGAGGAGAGAAGCAACGGAACGGUCGUCAUCUAGCAAUGACCAAGAAGUGAUCCUGAACUCCUACUUACGUCAUUCAUAACUCAAACCGUGUUCACUUCCCGGACUCCACCGAGAAGAGACCAUCACGGCUACACGCACAGUUGAUGUAUUUUAAUUGGGUCAAGUGACAAGUUCUCUACAACCGGACAUUAACAAAUUCCCAUCUGCCUCAUAACCGCGGGCACGGCUUUCGAAAGAUAAUACCCUGCAGGGGUGUCCCAACUUAGCCCAUCAUAAGCUCUCACGGUCAACAAAGGAUAAACCUUCUCCCGGAAAGACCCGAUCAGUCUCGGAAUCCCGGUUUACAAGACAUUUCGACAAUGGUAAAACAAGACCAGCAAAGCCACCCGAAUGUGCUGACAAAUCCCGAUAGGAGCUGCACAUAUCUCGUUCUCAGGGCACACCGGAUUGUCCAAGCUUCCGAUAGGCCAGACCAGAAUUGCCCCUGGUGGCCACCGGCGACUGACAGUUUGGACCAAUACUCAGAGGAGCACUGGCCCGGGGGUUUAAAUAAAGAUGACCCUCGGGCUCUAGAAAACCCGGGGGAAAAAGGCUUAGGUGGCAAAUGGUAAAACCAAGGUUGGGUCUUGCUGGAGGAGUUUUAUUCAAGGCAAACUGUCAAGGGGGUCCCAUAAAUCACCCGACCGCGUAAGGAACGCAAACUCAAGGAACAUAAUCCCGGUAUAUCAGUAACUAGGGCAGCAAGAGUGGAACAAAACACCAGGCAUAAGGCCGAGCCUUCCACCAUUUACCAAGUAUAUAUAUAGAUGCAUUAAUUAAAUAAGAGAUAUUGUGAUAUCCCAACAUAUCCAUGUUCCAACAUGGAACAACUUCAACUUCACCUGCAACUAGCAACGCUAUAAGAAGGGCUGAGCAAAAGCGGUAACUUAGCCAAACAACGGUUUGCUAGGAAAGGAUGGUUAGAGGCUGACAUGGCAAAAUGGGAGACAUGAUAUAGCAAGUGAUAGGUAGCGUAGCAUGGCAAUAGAGCGAACAACUAGCAAAGCAAAGAUAGAAGUGAUUUCGAGGGGUGGUCAUCUUGCCUGCAAGGUUCUCAGAGUUGUCGAAAGCUUGAUCCUCGUAAGCGUACUCAACAGGUUCCUCGUUCACGAACUCGUCUCCCGGCUCUACCCAAGACAAAAACACAAGCAACGGAACCACAAUCAAUCACGAGAAAUGCACAAGCAACAUGAUGCAAAACAUGUAUGCUAUGCAAGAUAUGAUAUGCGAUGCGUAUGCGUGCUCCGGAAGGAAAAUGAUGAACAAGGCAGUAACUUGGCAAACCAAGCAUGCCACUGGAAAUAUGAGAUGAUUUCGGUCGAAAUCGAUAUAAAGAUCACCGGAAACGGAUGCACGGUUUGCAAAUGGCAAGCAAAACAAGAAUGACACGAAUCUGCGAUAAACAGCAUGAUAGCACUUAAAAUGCAACAAGUAACAAUGCUACAACACUCCAACAUAGCAACAAAGCAUAUGACAGUAAUCUACAGGAGAUGCUUGACAAAAGAUGAACACUGAGCUAUGGCUAGAUCACAACAUAUCAAGCUCAAACAAGCAUGGCAAAAGUGCAAAAGAUAACAGGUUCUCAGACUUGGUGAAAUUACUGGACAUGGCAGAAAACAGCAUCAGGUAGCAAUGUUCAGAGCCCGAAAUCAACAUGCUACAGGAACUUAACAUGGAAAAACAAGGCAUGGCAGUGUUCUACUAAAUGCAUAUGACAAAAGUCCCUUACUGACCAUAAGCCAAAAAGGACCAGAAGAUAUGAUGGCAAGCAUGUAAACAUAGCAAGUUUCGUUAACAGGUUUUAGACUUUGCAGAAAACAGAGCAUGGCAGAAUCAAUAAUAUGAAGGCCUCUUUGUGAGCUUGAUGCACUCACCACAAGGCAAUGCAUGACAAAACAAGCAUACCUACAUCAAUAUGGCAUGUUUAUGAAGCCAACCAUGGCAAGAACAAAAGGAGAGCAUGUAUGGAUCAACUACAAUAAGCUUGGCAAAAGUGCAUAUCAUGUUAAGAAUCUGCCAGAAAUAUUUUAUAGCAAAAGUAGAGCAAGAUUGAGUCAUGCUAUGACACUCCAUAAUUGCAAACAAGGGAAGGAAUGGAUCAAUUACAACUAUAGCUACAAAACAUCCUUACUGAACAUCUCCAAAAUAUGCAUGGAUCUCUCUGUAGCAUCAAGUUUAUAUGGCAACAAAAUAACAGCAGACAAAGACAGAAAUCACUAAGUCCGUGAAAUCAGAAACAUUACGGAGCCUACUUUGCAUGCUUCUGAUAGUCACCACAGAGAUCACAAAAAUACAUGGCAUACACCCUUGGAAAGAUGGCAUGGCAUACACCCUUGGAAAGAUGGCAUGGCAUGGUAUUCACACAUGUAUUUAAGUUUCUGAUCAAUACAAUUCUAGCAUGAAUAAUAAACCUUUAUCAUGAAUAAGGAAAUAUAAAAUAACAACUUUAUUAUUGCCUCUAGGGCAUAUUUCCUUCAUUAUGGUUUACCGAACCUACAGGGUCACAUGCUUAAGGUAAUCAUGAUCUGCUGAGUGUUAGUAGGACGAGAGUAUCAAGGAUUUAUUUGUGAAAUAGUUUCGUUAAUAUUCAUAAUAGUUGCUAGAGGAUCCGAAAGCAUUUCAGGAUCACCGGAAGGGUUUCAAAGAGUAUUGGGUAAUACCGGGUAAUACCAAUAAUUUAAUAUAUAGGUGGAAAUUUUUUUGGGGCUCUUAAAUUAUACAUAAUAUGCUCUAGUAAUUUUUAGAGGGCUUUUAUAUCUAAUUUAAUAUCAACGAGCCUAAAAAGGCCAAACGGUGGAAGGCAACUUGGGUCACCAAGGCCCAAGUGGGGAGGCGCCCCCCUUUCCCCUUUAGGGGAGGCCGAAUUGGGGAAGGGGAGGGACUCCCCUUCCUUCCUUGGCCGUCGCAAGGGGAGGGGAGUCCUUCCCCUCCUCUUGGAUGCCCCUCUCCCCUAUAACCUAUAUAUAGUGGAGGUCUUGGCCCCUUUUCUACACACAAGUUUUAUGUGCCUCCUAUAGCCCAAUACUACUAGUUCUAAUUGAGAUAAUUAGAGCUAGUUCUAGUUCCUCUAAUCCUCAUAAUUAGAAGCCCAGUGUGGCUCUAUGCUCCUCCUCUAAUUCUCUGGCGGUGAUUAGUUCUGGACGGCCCGCGCUGCUGGAUCGUGAAGACCGUACGCUUGCAAACUGUAGAGAGUCCAUGCAUUCAGUCUUCAGUUUGGGAUCGUUCAAGGGCGGUUCGUAGGACCGUUCAUCAAUGGUUCGAGAGACUCCAAGUACGAUUAACACCGACUCUUCUGCUUCGACUACAUACUCAGAGUUGGUAACGAUCAUGAUCCCGGGUGUUUGUAGGGCGAUUUUUUUUUGUUUUCUACUAUGUUUCCCAACACUUUGAUCUCCACCUGUACAACUCCAAGACAAAGACAUGGGGUGCCAAGCUGAUCCAUCUUGAUUCGCCGCAGGAUUUCGAGUUCCACUCUCCGAACAAAGGGAUCACCAUUAGAGGGGAGCUCGGUUCAGUGGGUUGGGUUGACCUCAGGUGGGGCAUUGUCAUCUAUGCCCUUCUCCUCCUUGACAUCCACCAGAGCCUUCGCUACAUCCUACUGCCUUCACCGCCGUCGCCCAGUCCACUCAAGCGUUAUCCGUUGUAUGUUCGGAACAUCAUUGUCCUGCAGCGUUACAUCAAGUAUUUCCACGAUAACGACAGACCUGGCUCAAACAAUGGAAGCUCCCCGAUCUGCCAAGGUUGGAUUGCCGCAACAAAAAAGUUUUUCAAGCAUUAUUGGUUCUACUUCUAGUAGCAACUGGGAGGAGGACCGCACGAUCAGAUGCUCUGAUGAUGUACCAUUGGAUAGCCCCGUGUAUGCCCGAAUGCUAGUACCUAAUCUGCAGGAGGGUGAUGAUACCAAGCCAAACCUCAAGAGAAUUUGUUUAGUCUAUCCUGCUCCUAGCUUGCAUGACGGUUGACGGUGAUGUUGUUUACGUCAUGCACCUCAUGCACACACGUGAUCCCCGUGAGGACAAGUGAUAUAGACCAAACCUCGAUGGUGAGAUCCGAUCUGUUAAUGCGGCCCGACCUUUCACGACACUCCAUCUUCAGCAGCAGUACCUCUCGCCCGCGCAUGCGAUGUACACGAAAUAGAGGGUUUGAACCUUGCGGCUCAGCACGAAAAAACCAAUCUCAAGAUGGUACUCACGCGCAAAAACAAUUUCAUAAAGAAAUCGCAACACAGAGGUUUUCUAAAGAUCCCUCUAAAACUUAUACGGGUGUCUAUCCUUCAAAACACAUCGUGUCUCUUUUAUAAAAAAUAACCUCCUUUUUACAUGGACGCACUUGGCUUUAUAUAUAGCCUGCAAAACAUCUACGGAACAUGGUCUCAAAGAAAAAUAAGCAACCGACUAACAAGUUACGUACGUAACCAGGACAAACUAGCACACGUAAUAAAACUCUUCUCCAAUUAGAGGGUGCUUGGAUUCAAGAGACUUAUUUUAGUCUGACUAAAAAUAGUCUCUUUAAGAGGCUAAAGUUCCAAGCAGCCCUGACUAAAGAGGGGUUAAAACUAGUCUUGAGACUAAAUUUUUUUAGUCAGGGGUACCCCUACUACAAUGUGGAUUAGUCCUCUCUCUUCUCAUUUAACUCCUCUCCUUUAACACAGACGAGUUUUGGAUUGGAGGGUUUGAAGGAUAAUAAAUGCUCAUUAACUUGAUUUUAGUCUCUUUAGUAUUUGGAUCCAAACAUGGGUGAGGCUAGCAAGUUUUAGUUCCGCUACUUUUAGUCAUGGGACUAAAACGUAUCCAAGCACCCUCUUAAACUACCUUUUAAAUCUUGAUGGAUCCUAAACUUACAACUAAAUAAUAUUGGAGGUGGACCCCAGCCCGUGUCCUUUAAUGACAAGAAAUCACGUACGAGUCUCCAACUCUCGACACAUUGAGAAACUUCCUUCUUACGUGGAGGUGGCAAAAACAGAAAUAAAUCCCUGUCAUUUAUAUUGUUGGCCGAACCAAAUAAAUGACACCCCGCAUGCUCCCUUCCAUUAACGUAGGUUUCCAUCUCUCUAUAAAUGGACACUGAAUUUUCCUUGCCAAAACGAGCCUGAUUAAUCUUGCAUGCAUAUCUCUGAGUUAAUACAUUACCUUGCAUGCAAGUAUUCCCCUUUCCCUUUGAAUCAUGCACGUCCCUUCCUUCUCAUUGGCACAAAGCAAAGCAACGUCUUGUUUUACUGUAACUGAAAGUAAUUCAUCGUCGCUUGGCACCUAGAUAUCCUUAACCUUUAAUCCACUGACAUGCGGCAUUAUUUUGCGAUCAUCAACAAUACUAAGAUUAGUCUUGGCCGUAUCAACAAGGCAUGUGUGAUUGCUCUUGAUACGAGGAACAAGAGUACAAGACUAUAAAAGGCGUGGCUAAUUUUGCCUCUGGAAACCCCUCGGUCAUUGUUUCACCUACCUUGAGAGUGUGAUCUCCAAGCAUCUGGACAUUUAAAUUCCAUGGUUUCUGUUUGAGGAGAUAUAUAAAAAGGCUUGAUUUAAAAAAUGCGGGCAAGUGGCCAUCACCGACCAUGUGGGCAAGAGGCCGGACAGACAAGACCCUCCGCAUUUGAAGUAGUGCCCCUAUGAGACACCUAAUGAAGGCAACACCCUCCCCCGGUUGGCUGCAUGCCAAUUGGGUCCACCUGACGCAUGCAAAUGCUGACAGCCAAACCCGUCUCAACCGUCGCGUGCGAAGCAGCGCGUGAGAGAGUGCACACAAGCGCGAUCGGAAACACCGCAGGAGGGUGGCCCUGGCCGCACCCGCGGGCCACGUGUUAUGGACCUCGAGGAAAAUUGUCCAAGUGUGAGGCAGCCUUUGAGAUCGAAACACGCGAAACGCACCAAGCAGCCAAUCGUGCGAGGCCCAGGAGCAACAAACGGCGUGGUUGGCACUCUCGCGUCGCGAGGCCCCUAGGAGGCGGGUACUUCAACAUCAUUUAUAGGACUAAUGUAUAUGCUAGUAACCUCACCAUUAGAAUAAUAGGUUACCACACUACACUUCAGGCAACACAUAACCAAACAACGACACAUUGCAUAUGAGGAGCACAUACCCACAACCAAAUGUCGUGCUUGCGUUUGUGCUGCCAUGUAGUGUGGGGAUUUGUGGGCAAUCAAACAAAGUGUAGAACCUGGUUUAGAGCAUGUAUGUAGGAGGUCCGAAAUUGAUCCAGGGAACAAAACCAAUUACACCCAACAUUGUUUUUAGGGACAUUUACAUUUGUGCCCCUAACUCAAACCCACUACACAGAUUACCCCUAAUUUCAAAGCAUUCUCAAAUUUGCCCCUGUGUCGUUAUGUGCCCUUACAGAAAUGCCCUCCGUGCCAUAUCCGCCCGGUCAAAGUCCUUUGACCAUCAAUGGGGCGUUUCCUGGACAUAUUUGCCCCUCUAUUCACUUGUCACUUACAUGCGGGUCCUACCCUAGGAAAAAGAGAAAAAAAAAUUGUCUUAUUCACUCUCACUCACUUAUAACAUAAAAAACUCUCCCUCUCUCAUAACCUCUCUCUCCUUGACAUGUGUGCCAAGGACCCACUUGCAGUGUCCACACCAGUCCACGCGCUCCAAAGCAAGGCAAGGCUCGCCAGGUGGCCGUCGCCGAUGAGGGGCGGCGCGCCUACAUGUGAAGACCAAGGGGACAGGUUCGGGGUGGUUUGUCGAAGGAUUUGCAGGUGGUGGUCGAGGCGGGUGGCGGCGGACUGCGACGCCAUGCACGGGGAGCGCAUGAGACAUUCCGCGGAGGACGUCGAUGCUAGCUGUCUCGGUCGAAGGCUAGAUCGAGACCAAAGAGCAUGGCCAUGUGCCCCUCUGGCCGCCUCAAUUGGGCCUGGGGCCGCCUGUAGACAACGGACGGGACUCUGAUCUCCGCCAUGGAUGUGCUUUUGAGCUCCUAAAUUCGUCCGCCCCGAGCCACCGUUGACCUCCUCGACCUCAAUGCCUCGUCGCUGAAAUCUUGUGGACCUACUCCCCUCUUCCACUGCCCGACCCCGUUCCCGGAGCGCCCUGCCCGAAGCUGGCCGCCAUGAUUAACCUCGGCUGGCUCGGUCAUCUGCGCGUGCCCACCUACCUACGAGUGAUGUGCCCGUGAAGAUGAAUUGGUGUGCAAGGAGUGCCUCACACAGCUAUACUGCCCGCCUCACACUCUCCUCCCGCGACCGUCUAUAGUCACGUACGGCGAGCCGUCGGCGAGCGCAGCCGGCCGGACAUGCGUUUGGGGACGUGUGGACCGUUGUUGACCCUCGCAGUGGGUCCCAUGGUCCACAUGUCAGAGAGAGAGUGUGUUUUAUUUUUAUUUUUUAUGCUUGUUGGGGUCCAUCUAUAAGUUAGAGAGAGGGGAUGAGAUAGUGAGUUUUUUUAACUUUGGGCAGGUCCAUGUGUAAGUUAUCUAUGCAUCGAAGGGCAAAUAUGUCUAGAAAACGUCCUAUUGAUGGUCAAAGGCCUUUGACCAGACGGAAAUGGCACAGAAGGACAUUUUUAUAAAGGCACCUAACGGGAGAGGGAAAAAUUUGAACACGCUUCAAAAUUAUGGGUAAAUCUUAGUAGUGGGUUCGAGUUAAGGGCUGAAAUAUAAAUGACCCUUGUUUUUUAUAAUAGCAGAGAUAAAUGGUGUUUCCUAUUUGACUAACAUGCCUCAAAUAGUCGCCUAUUGGCACAUGAGCGACCGAGUUGGGCCGACCAAUUUAACGCUAGAUAAAUUGAAUGUUAGUUCCGAUUUUGGAAACCUUCUACAAGGUCCCUGGAUCGGUGUGUGUCCCUUUUUUGUUUCUUUUUUAUUUUCUAUGUUUUCAAAAAGUUGCCUUUUUUAAAAAAAUGUUUGGAAUUUUUAGAAAAUGCUUUUAGAUUAAAAAAGCAUUUUUGGGUGUGUUUUCAAAUAUUAUUUGGAAUUUAAGAAAUCCGCAUUUUCAGAAUUUGUUCACAGUAAAAAAAGCAUUUAAAAAAUUGUUUUUUAAAUGAUUCCAUUUUUUAGAAAACUGUAACUUCAUUUUUCAGAAAUUUGAAAAGUUGUUCGCAUUUUCAGUAAAUAUUUUCUUUUACAAUAAAAUAUAUUCAUAUUUCGAGAAAAGUUAGAUUCGUUUAAAAAAGGUUGCUACAAUUGACCUUUUUUAGAGAAUGCAACAAUGAGCUUUUUGUUUUUGAGAAUGAUGCAACAAUGAGCUGAUUGCUACAGUACCGAGCGCUACAGAGUCGGGCCGGCCCAGUCGUUGCCUCCUCUGUGUGUCGGAGUCCCCGAGAUAAAUAUCGACUCGUUCAGUGUGUGCCAGCGAGCCCAUCCAUAGAUUCAUCUCUCCUCCCUGCGUUAGGGUUCCACUCCCGUUCCUCCUCCGGCCGCCACCUCCGCAUCGACCUCCUCGGUUGCCAUGGUGAUGGAUGACAACCAACUCCGGGUGCUCCAGAUCCCUCCGCCUAUCCACCCCGACGAUCCGGAUUCUCCUCUCCCGGAGACCAUCCUCAUCGACUCGUUCGGCUACCUCAGCGACCGCACCAACGCCACCACCGCCAGGGGCCGCAGGAGCAGGACCAAGAAGAAGGGCAAGCGCAUCCUGGUCACCUUCUGGCCGGUUGCCCCGCCGCGCGUCUCCUGCUUCACCGUCCACUGCCCAGAUCUGAAGCCCGAUGUAUUCGCUGACAUCCCCAAGAUCUCCUAUACGGAGGACGACCUCGUCCUGCUCAGCAUCACCAUCUGCCCCGAGCGCCAGCACGUGUACGGCCAGAACAUCCGCUACUUCGUCUACCAGGCCGGCACCAAUAAGACGCCGCCGUCGGUCAAGCUCGUCCACUGUCCCGCCUACUUCAGGAUCUACGACCAAGAGGUUGCCUUACUGCACUGCCACCACCAAGAGAUGUUCUUCAUCGCCGUGCUCCGCUGGGCCUUCAUUGAUCGGGAUUACACCGACGGGCACUUUAAUCUCCACCUGUACAACUCCAAGACAAAGGCAUGGAACAUCAAGUUGAUGCUUCUUGAUUCGCCCAAGGAUUUUGAGUUCCGCUCUUUCAACAAGGGGAUCACCAUUGGAGGGGAGCUUGGUUCAGUGGGUUGGGUCGACCUUAGGCGGGGCAUUAUCAUCUGUGACCUUCUCCUUGACAACCACAGUCUUCGCUACAUCCCACUACCUUCGCCGCUGUCGCCCGAUCCAGUCAGGGGUUAUAUGUUGUAUGUUCGGAACAUCACUGUUCUCCAAGGUUACAUCAAGUAUUUUGAGAUGCACAGUAACGUCAGACCGGGCUCAGACACUGGAAGCUCCCUGAUAUGUGAAGGUUGGAUGGCUGCAACAAAAAAAAUAAAAAUUUCAAGCAUUGGCUCUACUUCUGGUAGUAGCAACUGGGAGGAGGACUGUACUAUCAGAUGCUCAGAUGAUGUACCCUUGGAUAGCCCUGUGUAUGCCCAAAUGCUACCUAAUCCGCAGGAGGGAGAUGAUGCCAAGCCAAGCCUGAAGAAAAUUCGUGUAGGCUAUCCUGCUCUUAGCUUACAUGACGGUGAUGUUGUUUACCUUAUGCACAUGCCUGAUCCCCGUGGGGAUAAGGCCUGUGUGAUUGCUCUUGAUAUGAGGAACAAGGCUGUAAAAGGCGUGGCUAAUUUUGGCGGCUCUGGAAGACCCCUGGGUCCUUCUUACACCUACCUUCCGAGUGGGAUCUCCAAGCAUCUGGGCAUUUUCUCAUCAACCAGGUAAUUUCGUUAAGAGCUUUCAUAUCCUUUCGUAGCAAAAUGAUUUACAAACUGAAGUAUCAAAGGUAAACCAACUUGUACUGGCAGCAGAGAGUACUUUGGGUACUUUUACUGAGUGGAUGUGGAUUUGUUACAUCAAUGUUUUUAUUAUGUUGUGCAAGUUAAUAUCACAAAAGAAUGGGUUCCAUCCAUUACAAUUCUGGUCAUUAUUUAUUAUUUCAUUUGAUCAUGUGCAGCUACCAGCUAGUAUUCUUUAGAUCUACCUGAUUUGUUGUUUCAAAAUAACUACUGUAUUUGUUUGAGGACGGUGAACAUUGUGCCUGCAUUUAUCUCGCUAGCAUUUACGUUUCUGUCCAUAAAUUCAGCACUUACUGCUCCCCUGUCACCGCAUUUAAAUUCCGUGGUUUCUGUUUGAUUAGAUGUAUAAAAAAGGCUUCAUUCAACAGACAAAAUAACAAAAGUAAAGACAGUGUCCAGCUUAACUUCACCGCAUUGUUCCCUAACCAAAGUUUCUGCUUGCUUAUGGUGUGUUGCACAUGAAUGAUUUCAUGAGUGCGCCAUGUGCUGUAUCUUGCACGCCAUGUAGUGUAACUAACCCCUAUUGAAAAUAAUUCCACAGCCAUUGUUCAAACGGUGCAAAUGUGCACCAAGGAAAUAAAAUAAUCCUAUAGUUGGCUUAUUUGAGGGGAAAAUAUUGCACACCAUUGGUAGGUUAUCUCAUACCCAGGAUUCAGCUUUCAUGCAUUGCGUCUUUCGUGCCAUACUAUUUCCUGGGCCAUUGUCAAAACGAUAAGAUGCACUAUCUGCACGAAUUAAGCAAUGUUUUCUUUUGUUGUGUGCAGCUGUUUGGUAGAUAAUCUUGCUUUUGUAUUAAAUGUUUAUUUCUUUUGUGGGAACCGAAAAGUUUCCAUCGCACACAAAAUAAGCAAAGUGUAAGCCUAACCCAGCUGUUUUUCACCGGACAAAAUGGGCAAUUCCUAUGGUUGGCUUAUUUGAGGGGAAAUGUUGCAGUGGCUCCAUGGCUCCUGUAAAAAUGGCAAUACAUUUAGGUCCCUGUACCUCAUAUUAGUUGUAAUUCUAGUUUUGUUCAAAGACAAACCUUUCUUUCUAUCUGUAACUACCGAUUUCUAGAAAUGCGCAUAGUUUAGUCUUUAGUGUAACUCCAUUUUUCACCCCCUAGUUUAACAAUUGGCCCAUUUAGCAGAAAUUCUUCCCACUUGCCCCAUUUAGUAAAAGUUGUGCCAGCUUUCACCUCCUUUUAAACAUUAUCCAUUCUGUAAGGUGGGCCGAGUCAUCAGGUCUACGUGGCUUGCCAUAUCAGAAGCAUAUUUAAUCUCCGACUACCUUCUCAGGUCCUCGUCCGCACCGUUGUGCGGCAACUGUUGCAGCCACAAUGUUCCCACCAUUUGCUAGCCAGACACAGCUAAAUGCCAGAGCUAGCUAGCGCAUAAUAGUGCACUAGUAGUAGUACACUUGUAUCAUCUUCAGCAAACUACUCCCUAUUCCCAAGAAAUUGCACGUAUAGGGAGAGUUGAGGCAAAAAACCUGCUUCAGCAGUCUCCCUAAACCCAAAAAAUUAUCUCCUCAAAUAGUGGAGAGUUGCAACCCUCCCCAUAAAUUUUCAAUGCUUGCCAUGUCAGUGCGCCGCCUCCAUUGACCGCCGCGCCACUGGACCACUGCCGCCUGCUGGAACACCACCGCUGCCGCCGGACUUCUGUGCUGCCGUUGCUGGACAUCCGCGCCGCCGCCACCUGCCACCGCAGCCUUGACGAAAAGAUGCAAAUGAGAGAGAGGAAAAAAAAUGACCCACUGGCAGGCGUGGCCCAUUUGUUAGGGAGAGUAUUUCUGUGUGCCCUACUAGCAAUGGACUUGUAUAGGGCACUAGUAGUAUUUGUAGCCAGAAGAAUGUUCUCACCUUCUGUGAUGCGUAUGAUGUGUUGCAUUGCCAAUGGACUUGUAUUACUAAAAAUCUUAUGCAUUGUAUCGACUAUAUUUGUUGGCCGUGUGUGUCCACUAUGUUCUAUGCUAGCCAUGUGAGGUCUAUAUAUAGACUUGCUAAAAUAAGCCUAAACCCAAUCUUUUUUUUAUCAUUAAUUUCCUAGUGGUAACUGGAUGUAGUUGAUAACUAAUUUUAGUGAAGCCUUGUGCGUGCGCUGGUUUAUCUGGCUCCAUGGUCGCGGGCUGUUAGUCCAGUAGUGAAACAUUACUGCUCGUAUCUUGCUCUCGUAGUCAGGGCAUCUUCAAAGUCCACCCUUAAAUCACUUUCCUACGUCUGGACCUUCGAAGCCAUUCAACACAGGCAUGGGCCGCCAUUCAAUAUGAGCAUGUAUUGGUUUGCUUGACGGUUUAGACCCUCAAAUCACGCGUUGUUCGUUCAGUAGUGAAACAUUAUUGCUCGUAUCUUGCUCUUGUAGUCAGGGCAUCUCCAAAGUCGGCCCUCAAAUCACUUGCAUACGUCUUCGUUCAGUAGUGAAACAUUAUUGCUCGUAUCUUCUCGUAGCAUCUCUAAAGUCGGCCCUCAAAUCACUUGCAUACGUCUGGACCUUUGAAGCCAUCCAACAUAGGCAUGAGCUGCCAUCUAACAUGAGCAUGUAUUGAUCCGCUUGACGGUUUAGACCCUCAAAUCACUUGCAUACGUUCGGACCUUCGAAGCCAUCCAACAUAGGCAUAGGCCGCCAUCCAACAUGAGCCUGUAUUAGUUCGUUUGACGGUCUAGACGUGUUUUUUUUUUCCGCAGACAAAGUGAUGAACUUUUAAAAAAAAAA